rnacentral:lncRNA from 1 species
UUUAUUUUCAUAUCGACAUUUGGUUUCAAUUAGAUCACCGGAGGAAAUACGAUGGGAAGAACACAGAUCAUCUCAAAGAGCACCGUCUGUGCAGCAAUUCACAAGGAACCAAACCUUAGAAUCGAUUUAACUCCAUGGGAUCUUAAGCUCAUUCAAUUUGAUACCAUUCAGAAAGGACUUCUCUUCCGCAAACCUUCAGAGGAUAACACCGAUACCAGCAGCUUGAACUUGAUCCACCACCUCAAGACCUCCCUUUCACGUACGCUAGACUACUUUCCCCUCGCCUAGCCACCAUCGAGCAUCGUGAUCACAGCAACACAAUUUCUGUUUACAUAAAUUGCAACAAUGCCGGCGCAGAGUUUGUGCACGCCAUGGCCGAUGGAGUCUCUGUUGCAGAUAUCAUUUCACCUGUUUAUGUUCCUAAUGAAACUGUUUACUCUUUUUUCCCACUAAAUGGAGUAACAAACUGUCAGUGUAUCUCCGAGGCCAAGCCGUUGCUUGGGGUUCAAGUGACAGAGCUUGUGGAUGGAAUCUUCAUCGCUUGCACUAUCAAUCACUCCGUUGUUGACGGCACUUCCUUUUGGCAUUUCUUCAAUUCCUGGUCUGAAAUCUCACGGGGUUCUGAUUGUAUUUCAAAAGUUCCAGUUCUCGAACGUGGGUUUCUCUCUGAAUCAGAAUAUUUUCCCAUUCGCCUCCCUCUCUGGAGCAUUGAACCUUCCGGAACUCGCACUCCACCGCCUAAUUUGCAACAAAGGGUUUUCCACUUUACGAAGGAAAAAGUUGCAAAACUCAAAGCAAAAGCCAAUGCUGAGAUUGGUAGUACCAACAAAAUCUCCUCUCUCCAAGCAAUCCUUUCCCAUAUUUGGCGAUCUGUUACUCGUAAUCGAUCUCUUGAUCCUGAUGAAGAAGUUCAUUUCAUGUUAGGAAUGGGAGUUAGACAAAGAUUGCAACCACCACUGCCACCAGAAUAUUUUGGAAAUGCAGCUCAGGUACUGGGAGAGUUCGCAUCCAUGAAAGCGAGAGAUCAACUUGAGCAAGGGCUUGGAAAUGUGGCAUUGAAAAUGAACAAGUUCAUCGCUGCGUACACAGACGAAAAGAUAAAGAACUUCUUGGAGUCUUGGGGAAAAAACCCUGAGAUCCUAACAUGGGAUAGCCUGCCGACGAAGAAUAAUGCUUGCUUCGUAAGUAGCUCGCCGAGGUUCAAUUUCUACGGUAACGAUUUCGGGUGGGGAAGACCAAUUGCAGUAAGGAGUGGUCCAGCGAACAAGGCUGCUGAGGGGAAGAUCACCCUGUUUGCCGGAGUGGAAGAAGGGAGUGUCGACGUUGAAGCUUGCUUUUUGCCUGGGACACUGCAAGGUAUGGGAAAUGAUACAGAAUUCAUGCAAUUGGUAUCUUAAUUGUUAAAAAUCUUCCGUGUUCUGGGGCUUUGCUCAUUAACCAUUAUAUCAAUGAAAGCUUACUUUUAAAUACAUUUAGGAUUUCAAUUAAAAUAUAUCUAAUUUUGAUAUUUUUGAAAAAUAAAGCCAUGGUGAAAUAAUUGACAUAACAUCAAUAUUAUAUCAGUAGUUCAGUGAUUUUUUUUUUCUUUUUGGGUACUUGCACCUUGCUGAUAUAGACUUUGUAAAUUAUUUUGAAUGCUUAACAUAUUUCUUUUAAUGUGAUCAAUAAAAGUUUUAAAAGCAGUCUAACAAAUUAAUGAUAAAUAAAUUUGUUUCAUAUUAAAAAUAAUUCUCGAUGACUUGAUAAUCCUGUGAAGAAGUUCCUUUCGAACUAUCGAUAGGAGUUAGAAUAAGAUUGCAACCAUCACUGCCGCCUGAUGAAUAUUUCGGAAAUGCAAUUCUAUAAAGCGGGAGAUCAAAUUGAAUAUGCGGCACUGCGAAUGAGCAAUGUUAGUGAAACUGAUAAAAUGUGAAGAACAGAGGAAACGAGUACAUGCUGUAACUAGGGGUGGGCAUUUUACCCGACCCGACCCGACCCGAAAUUUAUCGGGUCGGGUCGGGAUCGAAACCUGAUCGGUUUGAAAUUUACAAACCCGAUCGGGUUGUGAUCGGUUCGGGUCAAACCCGACCCGAUCCGAAUACCCGAUCGGGUUCUUAAAAAAAAAAAAAAACGUACUGACCUGAAUUGACCUGAUUUCAACCGACCCGAACUGACCCGAAUUGACCCGAACUGACCCGAUUUCAACCGACCCAAAUUGACCCGAACUGACCCAAAUUGACCCGAAUUGACCCGAACUGACCCGAACUGACCCGAACUAACCCAAAUUGACCUGAACUCAAUCCUACCCAUUUUAAAUCCAACCCGAUCCAACCCGAACAUAGUUCGGGUCGGGUCAUUAAUUCGGGUUAUGUUCGGAUUGUUCCUUGUCUAACCCGAACAACCCGAAACCCGAUCGGGUUGACCCGAACCCGACCCGAACCCGAUUUUGCCCACCCCUAGCUGUAACUAUGUAUUUGACAGCAGCUGAAUAGCUCACUCAGCUGACGUGGCUUAGUUAGUUAUUUUGAUUUAAGCAUUCUUCACAUGUGUGUAACAAAUUGCCAACAAUUAGUAACAAGUUGCUUUCACUUGCUAUAUAUAUGUAUAAUCUGUACUCAUUCGAUUAAUGAGAAGUUUUUACAAGUUUCCAUUAUGAGUUUUUCAUUCAUUUUCCUUUUAACUUUCUCGCUUCCCAAACACAAAUACUUGAGUUUCUAUCAUGGUAUCAGAGCCAUCAAUGGUGUUGUAAAAAAUUUUAAUAUACUCGUAAGCGCACGAAUGUAGAAUAAAAUAAUGGUAAUAAGGUCAAACCCACAGGGAUUAUUAUAAAUUAAAAAGUCUAAUUUAAAUAAAUUAAUAUUAAUUCUAACAUAGUUGAACAAAUUGAGUUUCUAAUAAAAUUUAACCAAUUAAACUAAGAAAACAAUUAAAACAAAGGAGAAUUUAAUAAGACAAAAAUUACUAAGGUUUCAGAAUCCACCACUAAUCAACUAGUAAUUACCUAAUUAUUAAUUAAUCCCCAAUUUUAGAGUGACAACUCGAAAUCAAUUUAUAUCAUCUCAUGGAUAUAACAAUUAAGCCCAAAUAAAAUUAUUCUUGUGUUGGUUCUUUUUCUUCUUAAUAAUAUGAUAUCUAAGCAUCCCAUGUAAACAUAUUGAAUAACAAAGAGUCAAAGUUUUCCGAAGCACUCUGUGUAAACAAUUUAAUGAAAGACACAGAAUCAAAGAUAAUCAUGUAUAAACUUUAAAGACUCAAGCAUAAAUUUAAUCGGAUAUUAAUUGUAACAAUCAAUAAUACAUGACAGAAUUGAUGAAAAAAUUUUAAUGCCCUUUUUAUCCUUAAUCUUUAUUCCUUCCCAAUUUGAACUUCUUCAUGCCCUUUUUAUCCUUAAUCUUCAAUUAAUUUCCUAUUCAAUAAAAUAAUUCAAUUAAUUAAAAAUAACAAAUAAAAAUAACUAGUAAAUAUGUAAUUACGGGUAAAAUAUGUAUAUAAAUUAUGAUCAUCAAAUGGCAAGCAUGAUUCAAUCCAAUACAUCCUCCUCUCCUUCAAAUAAUUCCCUACCUCAUAUCAUUCCUGCACCUCCUCCCAUUGGUCAUCCUAUGAUGACCAGAUCCAAGAAUGGCAUAUUCAAGCCAAAGUCUUAUCUAUGUGCUCUUUUAGCCUAAUCAUUUGAACUUUCCUCUGUCUCUCAAGCUUUAUCUGAUCCAUUAUAGUUCAAAACCAUGCAAGAAGAAUUUCAAGCCUUACAAGCCAAUCACACAUGAGACUUGGUACUACCUACUGCUCCUGUUAAAGUGGUUGGUAACAAAUGAGUUUUUAGAAUAAAAUACAACCCUAAUGGGUCAAUACUAAAGUACAAAGCACGACUGGUUGCUAAAGACUUCCAUCAGAUACAUGGUCUUCAAUUUUACAAUUGUGGAGCUAUGCAGAUCAACUCUUUUACAUAUUCAGAUUGGGCUUGUGAUCGGGAUGAUAGAAAAUCAGUAGUUGGUUUUGCUGUUUAUCUAGGUGCCAAUCUGGUUUCAUGGUCAUCCACGAAACAAUUAGCUGUCUCAAGGUCCAGUACAAAAGCUGAGUACAGAGCUUUGGCUCAUGCUGCAUCAGAGGUCAUUUGGAUAUAGUUUUUACUUGCUGAGCUAAGAAUUCAACUAAGUACUACACCAAUUAUGUGGUGUGAUAACCAGGGAGCAAUUGCCUUAGCUUAUAAUUCAGUUUAUCAUGCUAAAACAAAGCAUGUUGAGCUGGACAUUCAUUUCAUCAAAGAUAGAGUGGGAUAAAAAGAAAUAGCUAUUUUUUUUGUGCAUAGUGAAGAUCAAACAACAAAUGUCUUAACUAAGGCUCUUACUUUCACUUAGUUCCAUUGCUUGCGCAGUAAAUAAAAUGUUUAUCCCAGAAACACCAGUUCCAGAGGGGAUAUAAGUAAAGAUGAUAAUUUGUGAAGAAUAAAAGAAUGGAGUAAUGUGAAAAGCAGAAACUCCAGCUUAAGAGGGGAUGUUAGUGAAACUGAUCCCUUGGAGUCCUGGAGACAAAACCUUGUGGUCUUAACAUGGGAAAGCUAGAAGACGAAAUCUUAUUGGUUUCCAAAUAGUUCGUCGAGGUUCAAUAGCAAUGAGAAGUGGUCUAGGGAAUAAAGCUUAUGGAAAUAUCACUUUGUUUACAGGAGUGGAAGAAGGUAAUAUCGACAUUGAAGCUUGCUUUUUACCGGAGACACAAUAGGGUAUGGGACAUGAUACAGAGUUCAUGCCAUCUACGUGUUAACGUCUUUGGUGAUCCUAAAAUAUUACUUUCUAAUAAUUCAUUUACACGUUAUCACGUGUAAAUGAAUGGUAUCAUAAUUAGUUAAAAGCACACAAAUGAUAAAAAGUGAAUUCAUUACUAUAACUAUGCUUUAUUUAGGCACCUCAUGCAAUAAAUUAUUUCAUCUCAAAACUCAAUUUAAUAAUUAAUCCCAUGAACAUCCAUUCGUUAGAGCAUGACAACAAAAUUUCUGUAUGGCAUCUGUGGCAGAGCAUAAUAGCUGUAGAGAAAUGGAAAUUGAAAGGAAGGAGCUGGUAGCUUAUAACUGUGAUUCAAGUUUUUGCUUUAGAAUCUUUCAGAAAAAAAAAGUUUUUGCUUUAGAAAUUUUUUGACUCGACCUAGUAAACUGGUCAAUACCUCACGAGCUCAUUAAACUAUCAAAUUUGGGGCCCAAUUUGAUGGGCCUAGUUGGUUGCAGUGUUGGGUCUAGUUAGUCUCAACAAAUACUGGUCGUAGCCUUGUAGGCAGUUCGCAUUAGAGAUUUAUGAUGAUUGUAAUGUGUGAAUGAGUAAUAGAAAGCUCUAUUUAUUGGCACAAGGAGUAACCUUUGUGCGGUUGUGCAGAUAAAAAGAGAAAACAUGUAGUGGGUAAUAUGAAAUUAACAGUAAUAUGUUGUUAUAAACACGAUUAGAAAACUCAUGAUUUAAGCCAUAAAAGCCUUCAACUCAACACCAAAGUAUUCAGGGAACUACACUCAUGGUUUGAAUAGAAAUGCACAACCAUGGUUCUAAUACCAAUGGCUAAAAUAAUUUUAAGCUUUACGGCAAUGAAUCCAUUCAACAUAUUUCAUAAGGGAGAAAAACUGCAUUUUAUCUUGGUUGGCCAUGAAAAAGACUUGCUGGUCAGCUUGUUUCUUGCCCGUUAAUUCAACCUUUUGUUCUUGGCUUCAAUCUCAACAGCAAAAUCAAGCUCCUCAUUCACUGCACACACACACAAUUAGGAGAAAGGAGAAAAAGAAAGACAGUGUAUAAUGAAACUGCAUUUUAAAGAAAUGUGUAGAAAACAAUCAAAACCUUUACAGAAUUCUUAGUAUUUUUGUCAACACAAUACUUCUUCUUUUAAAGACAUUUAUGCCAUAGUACAAAACCUUAGCCUACAAGAUUUGUACACACAAAAUGAAAAAAGAGCCAAGUAAUUCAUGAAUAAAAAACAUAGAGCAAAGAAGGGAUAAGUAACAUAAACACGCACACAAAAUUGGCACAGAUGAACAAAGAACGAGUUGCAAGCUCUUUAUUACCGAAAGAAACGAGCCCCAUAUCAUAUGAUCUCCCUACAAGCUUUACAACGAGCUAUCAUAUGCUUUCUAACUCUCAAAGAUUAACAAGUUACAGGCCUUAGAAAUUGCCCUCGUAAAUUCAUUUUAAAGCUAAAUUUUCUUACUAUUCAUGUGAUGAGCAUAUACUAUAUACAUAUUUUACCCUUAAUUAUAUAAUUACUAAUUAUUUUUAUUUGAUAUUUUUAAUUAAUUAAUUAUUUUGUUGAAUAAAAAAUUACGUGGAGAUUAUGAAUAAAAAAAGGGCAUAAAGGAGCUCAAUUUCGGAAGCAUUAAUUAAUUGAUUUUCGGAGCAAUUAGGCAUAUUUGCAUGUGAAGCCAAGCCAAGGAAACCAAAUUAAACAAAUUAAUUCAUCCAUGCACAUGAAGACAAAGAAGAUUAUGGCCAUCACGUGAGAAGCAAUCACCAUUAUUGUUAGCAUGUGCAUGUCAUUAAAAAAGGAAUUCUAAUGCAAUUCUAAGUGGUGAGCACGUGUGAGAGCAAAACAAAUUAAAAGGCCAAGCCUUUCGGCUUUAGAAUUGGAAUGGUUGGUGGCUCAUUUUGGAGAUUAUAAAAAGAAAUAUGAACUUUGGCUUUUAAGAGGCCAACCGCGAGAAGAGAAAAAAGAGAGCAACGUUAGGCAUUCGGCAGAGGAGAAAAUAGCGGCAGAAGCUCUUUAAUUCUUUUAUGGUUGGUUUUAUUUUAUUUGUUGCUCUCAAUUCAAGUAUGUCUAGCUAAUUUUCUUUUACUGAGGUUAAAGAUGAAACCUUAUUCAAUGAAAUAAUUAUCUUUUUAUUUAAUGAAUUCCUUACAUGCGUGUUUUAAUGUUUAUGUUUUUUUAUUUUACAUGAUUAGUUGGAUGUUAUUAAAUCUUUUCAUCAAUUCUGUCAAGCAUUAUUGAUUGUUAGGAUUAAUAUUCAAUUAAAUUUAUGCUUUGGUCUAUAAAGUUUUUAUAUUAUUAUCUUUGAUUCUAUAUCUUUCAUUAAAUUGUUUACAUAGAGUGCUUAGGUAAAUUUUGACAUUUUGUUAUUCAAUAUGUUUACAUAAAAUGCUUAGAUAUCAUACUAUUAAGCAGAAAAAGAACCUACAUUAGAUUUAAUUACUUGGGCUUAAUUGUUAUAUUCAUAAGAUGACAUAGAUUGAUUUCGAGUUGUCACUCUAAAAUUGGGGAUUAAUUAACAAUUAGAUAAUUACUAAUUGAAUAGUGGUGGAUUCUGAAACCUUGAUAAUUUUUGUCUUAUUAAAUUCUCUUUUAUUUUAAUUGCCUUAGUUUAAUUAGUUUAAUUUAUCAUUGCCUUAGUUUAAUUAGUUUAAUUUAUCUUAAAACUUAAUUUGCUCAACUAUUUUAUAAUUAAUAUUAAUUUUAGAUUUAAAUUAGACUUUUCAAUUUAUAACAAUCCAUGUAGGUUUGACCUCAUUACCACUAUUCUAUUUUUAAAUUCGUGUGCUUGCAAGUAUAUUAAAAUUUUUCACAAUAAGUUUUUGGCGUCGUUAUCAGGGAUUGUGCCAAAAAGUCAGUUUAAUCUAGAUUGAUUUGAUUUUUCCACUAGUUAUAAUUUAAGUUGUCUUUUAUUUUUAUUUUAUUUUAUUAAUAAAAAACACAAAAAAUAUUUAUUUGUCUUUAAAUUUAUUGUUUGGUUGUUUGAUUUGUUAUAUUUUAAAUUCCGUUUAUUUUUAUUAUUGUUGCUUUAUUUUCCUUUCUUUGUCUAGUUAGUUUAUGAGUGUUUGGGAACGCGAUUCAACAAAUCGUUUGGUAAGAAAAGAGUUUAAAAUUGAUAGUAGUCGAGUUAGUUCUUCAAAAGUGAUGGAUGACCCAAAGAGAAUAUUGUCAGUACUUCCACCAGUGCAAACAGAGAAAAUCCUUAGAGAAUAUUUUUCACCACUUGCAGCCAACCAACCAUCUUGUAUUAUGUUGCCACAGACUACAGCAACACACUUUGAAUUCAAGCCCUCUGUCAUUUAGCUUUUACCAUCUUUCCAUCAAAAUUUUAAUGAUCAGUCAAUUAGGUUUCGUAUGUUCCCUUUCUCAUUAAAAGACAAAGCGGAAGCUUGGUUGAAUUCACUUCCUGCUGGGUCUAUUACUACAUGGGAUGAAUUAAGUAAUAAGUUCUUUACCAAGUUUUUCCCUAUGUCUAAAACAAAUGUCAUUAGGAGAGAGAUAAAUGAUUUUUGUCAAAGAGAGGGUGAACAAUUUUAUGAGUGUUGUGAAAGAUUCAAUGAUUUACUCCUCAAGUGUCCCCAUCAUGGUUUUGAGAAAUGGAGACUUAUACAGUGCUUUUAUAAUGGUUUAACUAUAUCAAAUCAUCACAUGAUAGAGUCUAUGAAUGGUGGGAGAUUUUUUAAUUUACAUGAAGGGGCUGCAUGCGAUUUCUUUAUUUUACUUUUUGAGAAUUCUCAACAAUGAGAUUUUUCAAAUCAAAGAAAAAAAUGAUCUCAAGUUUCUAGGAAAGUCUAUAUGAAGUUAAUGAUGAUUUUGAUGUUAAGGUCAUUCUAGCUACACUUUCUAGGAAAAGUAGAUGCCUUAACUCUGAACCAAUCAAUGAAUCAUCACCCUAGUGUACCUAAUGAAGUUUGUACUCUUUGUUCUAACUUGUCUCAUACAGCACAUAAUUGUCCAUCAUUACCAGCCUAUCAAGAGGCUUAUUCUGAGCAGGUACAUGCCUUACAAUCAUAUGAGAAAACCCCCAAUAAUCCAUAUUCACCCACAUAUAAUCCUAAUUGGAGGAACCACCCUAAUUUUUCUUUGAAACAAAGUCAGCCUUUAUCAAACCAAGGAGGACAACAAUUCAACGUACCCAAUCAACAAUUUGUCCUUUCUAACCAAGUAUAUCCUCCUGCCCAACAGCCUAUGUCUCAAUUUGUUACACCUUAGCAAAGAAAAUGUUCUUUAGAUGAUACACUUUAAAGUUUCAUUCAGUUAACCCAACAAGCUUUUCAGUCAAACACUCAAGCUAUUCUAAAGCUUGAACAUCAAUUGGGUCAAUUAGCAACUGCUGUGGCUGAGAGAAAAAAAGGAAAAUUCCCAAGUCAACCAGUUCUUAAUCCUAAAUGAGUGCAUAAAGUUGGAUCAACUUCAAGCCAUCAGUAUAAAGAAGCAAAAUCUAUUAUGACCUUGAGAAAAUGAAAAAUAUUUGACAACAAGGUGGAGGUUCGAACAAGAAAGACAUCUGAACCUACUUCUGCAGAUCCAGUUCCAUCACAAGACUCAUCACUAAAUGAUCCAGAAGAAAGUAAUCCACCAGCUUACAUUCCUAAGGCUUAUUUUCCUUAAAGGUUAACAAAGGUAAAGAAAGAGACUUCAACAUGUGAGAUUAUGGAAAUCUUCAGGCAUGUAAGUAUAAGCAUCCCUUUACUCGAUGUUAUUAAGCAAGUUCCUCAUAUGCCAAGUUUUUGAAGGAUUUAUGAACUAAAAAAAGAAAUUUGCAUGUCACCAAAAAUGCAUUUUUAACUGAACAAACUAGCAAUUUACUUCAAUAUAAAAUGCCACCAAAAUUUAAGGAUCUAAGUUCCCCUACUAUCUCAUGUGUUAUAGGGAACCAAUUGUUUGAUAAAGCAUUAUUGGAUUUGGAUGCAAGUGUUAAUCUCUUGCCUUACUUUGUUUACAUGCAGCUUGGAUUACAUAAAUUAAAGUCAACUUCCAUUAUUUUGCAACAUGCAGAUAGGUUAAUGAAAAUACCUCAUGGUAUUAUAGAGGAUGUGUUGAUACAGAUUGAUAAAUUUUAUUAUUUUGUUGACUUUAUUGAUAUUGAUACUCAGCAUGUACAGGAUCCUAAGAAACACACCCCAGUUAUUUUAGGUCGUCCUUUCUUAGCUACAGUUGAUGCUCUUAUUAAUUGCAGGAAUGGAAACAUGCAAUUAUCUUUUGGUAACAUGACCAUGGAAUUAAAUAUUUUUAAUGUUCCUGAUAACUCUAGGAAAUGAGAGUUAUUACAUCAAUUCUAAACUUAAAUCAAGAUCACUUAGAGAACAAAUAAGGUGUUUUUAUUACAUUUUGGUUAUAUUUUGCAUAAACAUUCAUUUUAGUUAAGUUUUAAUAAGUUUUGUUUGAAUCAAAGUAAUUGGUGCUAAAAACAGGUGCAUAAUUGUAGCUUUUCAGAAAGUCUUAAUUCAUGAGAGGAUGGUGAGACAUUAGAUGAGCAAGAGGAGGAAAGAAGAUAGCCGCAAAAGAAGAAAAGCACAAUGGGGAAUAGUACAGUAUUGUAGCGGAUGUUAAAGCAACCAGUGCUAUAACAAUCUUGGAGCAAUGCUGGAGAAAAUUCAGGCGCGGGUCAGCUGCAGAAUCGCGAUUUGCAUGUUUCCUAAUUUAACUCAUGCACGCUUAUGGACUUUUAUUUUACUCUAGUUUGCAGUAUAAAAGAGAGGCGUGCACCACAUAGAGAGGCGACAAGAGGAAUUAUCAUAAAAAAUCAUUAGAGAGAAAAAGAGAAGAAGAUCAGAAUUGAAGAGUGUUGUUUCGGCAACAUUGAGGAAUCUGGUAGAAUUAUUCGAAUUUGUCUUUCACUGUGCUCAACUGAUAUUUAUCUUCCUCCUUUGAUUGUUUUAAUGUAUCCCGUGAACAACAUAUUUUUGUUUGUUUUUCUUAUUCAGAAUAUGAACUAGAUUUGCUUGUAGUUGAGUGACAAACAAUCCAAUGGGUUCUUGACUGUUCUUAUGUGUUGUUAUGUCAUUGCUGUAGUAUUAUACUCUAAUAGUUAUUAUUAAUAUAACUGUUAUUUCGGUUGACCACCCAUUUAAUAGUUCCAGUUAAGAUAGAGCAGUAAAAGUGCAUGUCUUAGCGGACAUUAUUAGAAUAUUACUUGAUCUUAAGUUAAGUUUCCUAGAUUAAGUUAUCUUGAAUCCCAUAAGGGCAAUGACAUAACAACACAUAAGUGCUCACCUUGUAGGGUGGAGAGAUAAAAAUGGAUCAUAAAGCCAUAUCAUGAGUAGAUUAGCAACUGGUCAUUGCUAGUGUAUUUAAGGGUAUGAGAGUUCCAAUAUGCGACAGCUGAGGAUGCAGAUUAAUUCCGCCCAGUGCUGCAGCACUUGCCGUAACAAUUGGAGUCCACUUGAUGAAAAACAGUCAGCCCAUAAGGAGAGUUUGAUCAUUCAACUACCAUGUUCUUACUUGAAUCUUAGACACAUUCAGUUUAGUUUAUUUCAUUGUGGUUUUGUUUAUUUUAUUCUCUCACAAUAAUUAAUUACGAUAGAACACAUUUUACGUUUGUUAACUUCGGAUUUGAAUUAGUUUGCACUAUUGUGAUUGCUACAAUAUUUUUGGUAACAUCAAUCCCUGUGGAGACGAUCUUGAAUACUCAUCACUUUAUUACUUGUUGUGUACACUUGCACAUUAACAAUAAUAGCAUUUGAUUAUAAAAUCAACCAAUAAGUUUUUGGCGCCGUUGCUGGGGGUUGAUUAUUUAUUUUUGAAGUGUGAAGUAAAUCUUGAUAGCACCAAAUUUGAUUUAAUUCAUUCUAUUUAUUGGCAGAUCAAUACUUGCAUGCGCAAAGACAGAUCUGUGAUAUUUCAGUUCGAUCCUGAGAUUGAAAUGACUGUUAGGAGAUUGCGAAGAGAACAAAGGAAGUCAAAAACUAUUUCAAGCAUGAAUAAUUUACAGGAUGAGGGAAAUUGAACCCUGACGGGCCCUUAUAACCAGUUAACAUUCAAGAAGAGCAGAAUGAACAUGCUAACGAGAGACAACCAGGCAAUAAUAAUAUUAUUUACAUGGCUAAUGACAGAGACAGAGCUAUUAGAGAUUAUGCUGUGUUAACUCCUCAAGUUGUACACCCUGAGAUAAUCAGACCUGAAGUAGAAGCUGUAAAUUUUGAGUUGAAGCCAGUGAUGUUUCAAAUGUUGCAAACAGUUGGUCAAUUAAAUAGAUUACCAAAUGAAGAUCCUCAUCUCCAUCUUAAGUUGUUCUUGGAAGUGAGUGAUGCUUUCAAGAUUGCUGGAGCAACACAAGACGCCUUAAAGCUGAGACUUUUUCCUUAUUUCUUAAGAGAUCGAGCAAGAGCAUGAUUCGUUACCAUCUGAUUCCAUCACUACAUGAAAUGAGUUGGCUGAUAAAUUCCUAAUGAAAUAUUUUCCACUGACAAAAAAUGCAAAGUUGCGGAAUGAGAUAACUUCUUUUCAUCAACUUGAAGAUGAAAGUUUGUACGAGGCUUUGGAAAGAUUCAAAGAACUGCUCAGAAGGUGUCCUCAUCAUGGCAUUCCUUGUUGCAUUCAAUUGGAAACUUUCUACAGUAGGUUGAAUCCAAGUACAAGGUUAAUGGUGGAUGCUUCAGCAGAUGGAGCCCUGUUAUCCAAAUCUUACACUGAAGCUUAUGAAAUUCUGGAGAGAAUUGCCAAUAAUAAUUAUCAGUGGCCAUCAACCAGGCAACCAGCAGUAAGAGGAUCAGUAGGGGUACAUAACAUAGAUGCAAUUACAACCUUAUCAGCACAAGUAACCUCAUUGACUAACAUGGUAAAGGCCAUGUUCUCUGCUCCAACAGUAGUGAAGCAAGUUGCAGAACUUUCUUGUGUAUACUGUGGUGAAGGACAUGACUUUGAUAAUUGUCAUGGAAAUCCAGCAUCAGUAACUAUGUGGGUAAUUUCAAUCGACAGCCUCAGAACAACCUAUAUUCAAAUACUUACAACCCUGGAUGGAAACAACACCCAAAUUUCUCAUGGAGCAGUCAGAAUCGAAAUGCUCCAGCAGUAAAUGGACAAAAUAUGAACAAUCAACCAUCUGGAUUUCAUCAGCAGAGUCAGGGGAAAAAACAUAGCAAUCAGGAUCCAAUCAUUUCACUGGAAGCAUUGAUUAAGGAGUACAUUACAAAGAAUGAAGCAAUUGUGCAGAGUCAAGCCGUAUCCUUGAGGAACCUGAAAAAUCAAAUGGGACAACUUGCCAUAGCAAUGAGUAGCAGGACUCAAGGAAGUUUCCCUAGCAACACAGAAGACCCUAGGAGAGAGGGUAAAGAACACUGCAAAGCAAUUAAUUUGAGAUCUGGAAAAAAUGUUAAUAUCCUAAUUGAUGUGAUUAACAAGGGUAAGAAAGUUAAUUCCUCACAAAAACCACCUCAAGAUGGAAGCAUGUUACAACAACCCAACCAUCAAAACACUAGUUACAUGGGCCAAGCUACAGCAACUGCAGAGGGAGUUCAAUCAGAACAUGUUGAAAAAGAAGUUGCAACACCAGUAGCCACGGCCUACACCAAGCCAAACAAACAGAGUUUGGUACCUCCUAAAGCUACCCAGCAGUUUAGACAUCCACCACCUUUCCCACAGAGAUUCCAGAAGCAAAAAUAAGACAAACAGUUCAGUAAAUUCCUGGAAGUGCUGAAGCAAUUACACAUAAAUAUACCUUUUGUGGAAGCCUUGGAGCAAAUGCCAAAUUAUGUGAAAUUUCUAAAAGACAUCUUGGCACGAAAGAGAAUGCUGGGAGAGUUUGAAACUGUUGCUUUAACACAGGAAAGCAGUCAUAUGCUCCAAAGUAAGAUUCCUACAAAAGUGAAAGAUCCAGGAAGUUUUACAAUAUCAUGCUCUAUAGGAACUAGGUAUACUGACAGAGCACUUUGUGAUUUGGGAGCUAGUAUUAAUUUAAUGCCAUUACCUGUAUUUAAGCAGCUGGGAGUAGGGGAAUACAGACCAACAACAGUCACUCUGCAAUUAGCUGACAGAUCUCAUGCAUACCCUGAAGGAAAAAUUGAGGAUGUACUGGUGAAGGUGGACAAAUUCAUCUUCCCAGUAGACUUCAUUGUACUAGACUUCGAAGCUGAUAAAGAGGUGCCCAUUAUACUUGGAAGACAUUUUCUAGCAAUUGGAAAGACUUUGAUAGAUGUGCAGAAAUGAGAGCUCACCAUGAGAGUAAAUGAUCAGCAAGUCACAUUUAAUGUACUAGAGGCUAUGAGAAGUCCUGAUGAAGUAGAAGAUUACAAUUUCCUAAGUGUUGUGGAUUUUGUUGUAACAGACAGAAUGGACAGAUGCUGCAGUAAUGAAAUCAACAAAGUCACCACCUUUGAGAAUGUAGAAGAGGAAGAUGUUGCAGAAAAUCAGAUAGAUUGGAUGAAAGAAAAGAAAUCUGAUAGGCACAACAGGUUUAUUGAGCAUCUGAAUCUUUCAGACAGGAAAGUAAAAAUAACUUUACCAUAUAUUGAAUCACCUCCUAGUCUUGAAUUAAAAUUGUUAUCUUCACAUUUGAAGUAUGUUUAUCUUAGUCAAAACAACACACUCCCUGUGAUCAUUUCUUUUACUUUGGAUACAGGUUGAGAACAGAGUUUAGUAGAUUUGUUGGGAAAAUACAGUAGAGCAAUUGAAUGAACCAUGGAAGACAUCAAGGGGAUAAGCCUAUCAAUAUGCAUGCAUAAAAUCCUGUUAGAAGAUUGCUACAGCAAUUCGGUGGAGCACCAGAGAAGGUUGAACCCUAUUAUGAAAGAAGUGGUGAAGAAGGAAACCAUCAAAUGGUUAGAUGCUGGACUCAUAUACCCAAUAUCAGACAAUUCGUGGGCGAGCCCAGUUCAAUAUGUUCCAAAGAAGGGAGAGAUAACUGUGAUAGCUAAUGGGAGGGAUAACUGUGAUAGCUGAUAAGAGAGAUGAACUUAUUUCUACAAGGACAGUGACUGGAUGGAGAGUAUGUAUGGAUUACAGGAAGCUUAAUAAAGCCACAAAGAAAGACCACUUCCCACUCUCAUUCAUAGAUCAGAUGUUGGACAGACUUGUUGGAAAACAAUACUAUUGUUUCCUAGAUGGGUAUUCAGGCUACAACCAGAUUGCUAUAGCUCCAGAAGAUAAGGAAAAGACUACAUUUACUUGUCCUUAUGGAACAUUUGCCUUCAGAAGAAUGCUCUUUGGGUUGUGCAAUGCUCCAGCAACUUUUCAGAGAUGCAUGAUGUCUAUUUUUUCUGAUAUGGUAGAACAAACUUUAUAAGUUUUCAUGGAUGACUUUUCAAUUUUUGGAGUGACAUACAAUGAUUGUUUACACAACUUGGAAGAAGUUCUUAAAAGAUGUGAGAUGACUAACUUAGUACUUAAUUGGGAAAAAUGUUAUUUCAUUGGGCAAGAAGAAAUAAUGUUGGGUCAUAAGGUGUCCAAGAAAGCCAUUGAGGUAGACAAAGCCAGGAUAAAGGUAAUAAAUAAACUGCCACCCGCCACUUCAAUAAAGGGUAUAAGGAGUUUUUUGGGCCAUACUGGAUUUUAUAGAAGAUUCAUUAAGGAUUUUUCUAAGGUAGCUAAACCAUUAUGCUCAUUGCUGGAACAUGACAAGCCCUUUCACUUUGACAAAGAUUGUCAUCAAGCAUUUGGAGAAUUAAAGAAAGCUCUGAUCACUGCUCCAGUAGUUAUAUCUUUAGACUGGAUGUUACCAUUUGAAUUGAUGUGUGAUGCUAGUGAUCAUUCUGUUGGAGCAGUAUUAGGGCAAAAAAAGGAUAAGGUUUUUCACUCCAUAUACUAUGCAAGUAAAACUCUUACUCAAACUCAAAUCAAUUACACCACUACAGAGAAAGAGUUGCUAGUAGUAGUAUUUGUUUUUGACAAAUUCAGGGCCUACUUGGUGGGUACUAAAGUGACUGUAUAUACAAACCAUGCAGCCAUCAAAUACUUAAUUUCAAAGAAUGAUGCCAAGCCAAGAUUAAUCAGAUGGAUCUUAUUGCUUCAAGAAUUUGAUCUGAAAAUUAAAGAUAGAAAAGGGACUGAGAAUCAAGUAGCAGACCACCUGUCACGGCUGGAAGCAAAUACAAGUACAUUGACAAGAAAUGACAUCACUGAAACUUUUCCUGAUGAACAGAUGUUGGUAGUACAUCAAGCACAGAUGCUGCAGUCAGGAUCUCCAUGGUAUACAUAUUUUGCUAACUACUUGGAAGUGGAUUGCUACCACCUGAGCUGAAGUUCCAAGAGAAAAAGAAAUUUCUUCAUGAUGUAAGAAGUUAUCAGUGGGAUGACCCACAUUUAUAUAAGCUGUGCUCAGAUCAAGUAAUACGAAGAUGUGCUGCAGAAGGAGAGAUUCCCCACAUACUGGAGUCAUGCCAUGCUGCAGCAUAUGGAGGACAUUUUGGUGGUCACAGAACAGCUGCUAAAGUUUUGCAAUCAGGUUAUUACUAGCCUACCAUUUUUAAAGAUGCUUAUGAAUUUGUUAAAUAUUGUGACAGGUGUCAAAGGACAGGGAACAUAACUAGAAGACAUGAAAUGCCAUUGACCAAUAUUCUAGAAGUGGAAGUUUUUUAUGUAUAGGGAAUAGAUUUUAUGGGACCUUUUCCACCAUCCUUUGGGAACUUGUAUAUCCUUGUUGCUGUGGAUUAUGUCUCCAAGUGGGUAGAGGCUGCAGUAUUACCUACCAAUGAUGCUAAAGCAGUGGUGGUUUUUCUUCAGAAAAAUAUUUUUUCCAGGUUUGGCACUCCUAGAGCAAUUAUUAGUGAUGAGAGUACUCAUUUUUACAACAAAGUCUUUGCUGCAGCUAUGGUAAAAUAUGGAGUCAGACACAAGGUAGCAACAACAUAUCACCCACAGUCCAAUGGUUAGGCUGAAGUGUCCAACAGAGAAAUUAAAAAGAUCUUAGAAAAAAUGGUGAACCCAACAAGGAAGGAUUGGUCUUUGCAAUUACAUGACUCUCUAUGGACCUACAGAACAACAAAAAAACUCCACUUGGCAUGUCUCCUUACCGAAUUGUUUAUGGGAAGGCUUGUCAUUUGCCACUAGAGCUAGAGCAUAACGCACAUUGGGCACUGAAGAAAUUAAAUUGGGACAUUCAUGCUGCAGCAGAGCAAAGAAAGCUUCAACUUUGUGAGCUUGAUGAAUUACGGCUAUUUUCAUAUGAAAAUGCUAGAAUCUAUAAAGAAAGGACAAACCACUGGCACGACAAGCAUAUUCAACACAGACAGUUCAGCCCUGGUCAACUAGUGCUGCUCCGCAAUACAAGACUAAGAUUAUUUUCAGGAAAGCUAAAAUCAUGAUGGUUUGGAAUUUUUAGGCUGUUAAAAUGUUAUCCUCAUGGAGCUGUUGAUCUUUUAGAUGAACAAACAGGUCACAAAUUUAAAGUUAAUGGACACAGGGUUAAGCAUUACAUACACCCAGCAACAGAUUGUUCAAAGGAGGUUUUACUCCUUAAAGAACCCAGCUAUUGAGCAGUGAAAGAAGGUCAGGCUGAAGGACCUUAAAUCAAGCGCUCCAUGAGAGGCAACCCAUUGUGGAGAUAGCCACUUCAAACCAAGUUUGAUCAUCUUUGGUUUUGUUGACGGUUCUCCCUUUCUUCCAUUUUAUUUAAUUUUGUUCUUUAAUUUAAGUUACUUAGUUUUAUCUUUUCACAUUAUUGCAUUUUUUUUAUAUUGCUAUCAUUUGAUCUCUUUAUUUUUAAUUAUAUUUUUAGAAUCGAUUUUAGUUUUUGUGGUAAGUAUGAGUGGCAUUAGAUUUUCAUUUUAACCAGUGGGGUUGUAUGGUGACAGAGUGCAGAGGCAAGCCACGUGUCAAAGAGCAUUGGAGGGACGUAUGUAAUCGUUGCUAGAGCAAGCUGCAACACCUAAUAUUACCAUUACAGUAAAUUAAAAAUUAGAGCCUCUCACUUACCGUUGGAGAUAAAUCAUGAUAGAUGGCGGCAUGGAUUUGGAUAGCAAUUGCGAAGAAAUCUCCGAAAUUAAUGCAUUAAUUUCCCUGGCCUAUGUUUUAGGGAUAUACAUAUUAAAUUCAAAAUAUUUUCUUCCCUUAUUUAUCUGUAGUUACCAGAUUUAUCUUCACUUAAAGUCCACUAUAAAAGGGAGUCACUGUGCGUAGUGAUCUACGGCACUAUUCCCCAUCUCCUUCGCAAAUACAACUCUCAUAAUUCUUAACCUCUUCUUCUCAUUUUACUCUCAGAUUGUUACUGCUAUAGCAAUGCCAAGGUAUAAGAAAAUAGCCAGCCGCCUCAAAGAUCCUUCACGCUUCCAGAGUUACCACGCCGAAGAAAAAUAUGAAGAAUUCGUAAGAUUCUGGAAGAAAAGUGGUUUCAAUUUCCAGAGCGACUCAUCGGAAUUGUGCAAACAAUACACAAUGCUGCAGUAAAGCGUGGAUGGUUGGACUUUUGCAACCACCCUCGAAAUCCUGUGCUACCAGUAGUAAAGGAAUUUUACGCCAAUUUGGUAAGCCCUGAUCAGCACAACAUUUGGGUAAGAAACACACUUGUUCCAUUAGACUCCCGCGUUAUAAAUGCUUUUUAUAAUUUACCUGCUGAAAUUAAUUGUGAGUAUGCCAAGUUGCUUGAUAAAUUGACCCCAAAGAAAUGGAACACCAUCUUCAUAACUCUUACAAUUGAAGGGGCAUCAUGGGCUAACGAGGAAGGGCGUGUAGUUAAUAGGAUAGAUUUGAAACUUAUUGUUAAGGUUGGGUGAAAUUUUUGAAAUCUAGGCUUAUGCCAACCACUCAUACUACUACGGUUUCACAAGAGAGGUUGGUCUUGUUAUAUGUCAUUGUUCGAGGGCUUCUCAUAGAUGUAGGUAGCAUCAUCGAAAAAGAAAUCAGGGAUUGUGCAGUUAAGAAUCAUAAAACUGAUGCUCUACUAUUUCCUUCGCUCAUCACCAGCAUUUGUGUAGUAUCCGGUGUUCGUCUUGACGUGAGAAAUGACCAUAUCAAGAAUGAUGGUGCCUUUACGACACGUACCAUUGAUAGAGUUGUUGGUGAGAGUACUGGAACAACAACUGAACCAACUACUGUAACAAGAGCAAGACGAGUUAUUGGUUUAGAAUAAACAAUUCAGGUGCUCAGCAAAGAUCAGCAGAGGGAAAAUGAUCGGUUUUGGAGCUAUUUACAGCACCUGAACAACCAACUACACUAAUUUGCUCUGUACAUGAAACACACUCACCGGAACUUCCUUGAUUCAUUGCUCCAGCAAUACAAUUUUGACACCAACACCACAGGUACUCCAGCAGCAGCCAGUGAAGAAGCCACUGCCACAGAUGAACUAGAAGAAGAAGCUGCAGCCGAACCACAAGCAGAGGUAGAAUCAGAAGAUGCUGAAACAUCUGAUCAACCUGAGGAAGAAGGUGACAAGUCUGCAACUGAUAGCUCACCCAUAGAGGCAGAGGACAACUCUGAGAAAGAACGUGAGGAACUUUCCAUUCCAACUCAUUCCAAAACCAGGAGGAAGAGGAAAACCCUGAAGAGGAACCUUCCAUUCCAGUCAUUGCGGGCAAGGACAAGGGCAAGGGCAAGGGCAAGGUAAAAAUAGCAACAUCUCCAGCCUCUGAAGAUGAAAUGGAGCAAAUCGAUGCAGAGCUAGCUGCUGCAGUAACCAGAGUUACGCCUACACCUGCAGAAGCCAAACAGCUACUUGAUAUCAUUGCUGCCAUCACAGCUGAAGGUCAGGCAGCUGAUGCCUCAACUCCAAUUCCUCCACAGAUGACUCCUAGCCAACCUGUUCGUACCAGUCCGUGAUAAUCCAGUAAAAGAAAAGGCAGUACGUAUAAAGGCACUGCUACAACAGCCUCGCCUCAACCAAAACGGACCAGGUCGGUGUCAACUACACAACCUACCCCAGCCGCAACUCCUCUCGCCAGCCCAGUGACGAAAAAGACAAAGACAUUGCCAGUCACUUCCCCACAAGUUUCACCAAAUGAUAAGCUGCGCAGUGCAUCCAAGAAACGCUGAUAUCAUCCCGUCAUUUGCAGCAGUCCCAACCACAUGGGAGUAUCCCUACCUUGCUAGUUAAUUUAUUGUUAAAAAAAAACUUUUCUUUCAGUUUUAUUGUUAAAGAAAAACUUUUAUUUCAGUAUGUUUUUCAAAUUUUGUGGUAUUUUCUAAUGUCUUCCAUGUCCUUGUCCACUUGUGUGCCUUUGUUAUGUAUGCUUGUGAGGACAUAGCAACUCUCAAGUUUAGGGGGGUUGUGUUUCCAAAUGUUUGUGUUUAUGUGUAUGCUUGUGUUGUGUGUUGUGUGAAGCUCUGUUAUCUAAUAUUUGUGUAUGGAUUUGAAAACCUAAUGAAGAUAUAUUGAGUGUUAUUCAAGAUUUAAGAGAAUGCCAAGUAGAGAUAGUUAUAGAUGGAGGUUGAAAUUAUGUCCUGACACUUAGACUUUGGUUGAAUUGUAUGAGAUUGCUAGAGCAAAGCCAAAAGAAUAGAAAAGAGCUUAAGUUUGGGGGGGAAAAUAAGUUGAUUGACUGUGAUAUCUAUGUAAUAAACUCUGUUUCAAUGGCUCAAGUUGCUGAAUAACCAGAUCUUAGUAUGUACCCCAUAUGCAGAAUUGUGUUCAAAGGUAGCAAGAGUUAUGAGCAAUGCUGUAGCAUUUAAAAAAAAAAAAGCCCUCUGUCUAAGGCAUUGAGUAGCCAGGUCUGUUCAUGAGCCCCAUGUUCAGCCUUGAAUAAAAAAUAUCUCUAGAUAAGACUAUAUUACAGAUAUUGCUACAGCAACUCUGAUCUGUGCAUGGUUUGAGUAAUUGGGUGUCAUCAUUACAAUUGAUUGACAUUCACAUGAAAAAUAAAUGUUGCAGUGAGGAAGUUGAAUACUCUCCAGUUUCUCAAUCUUAAAAUCAUCACAGUUCGAGUAUGUGAAAUUUAUGCUGCCCCAUAUAUGAUGAAGUUUUAUCACUGCUGAAAUUCAUGCAGUCUCUUAGUGAUGUUAUAGCAUCUCUAGAAUACAAUCAAAAUAGCACACACACACAAUGGACAGAAAGAAGCUUAAGUCUAGAACUGGUUUACUAUAGUCACGUUGCAUGAUUGGGAUUGUGAUCUGAAGGUGGAAGAAUCCUUGCAAAUUUGAUAAAAGAACUAAAGUUAUUUUGCAUGAUUGUUUGUGUGAAGUAUUAGUAUGUUGUCAUUACUUGAGGACAAGUAAUGGUUUAAGUUUAGGGGUGUGAUAACUCUAGGAAAUGAGAGUUAUUACAUCAAUUAUAGACUUAAAUCAAGAUUACUUAGAGAACAAAUAAGGUGUUUUUAUUACAUUUUGGUUAUAUUUUGCAUAAACAUUCAUUUUAGUUAAGUUUUAAUAAGUUUUGUUUGAAUCAAAGUAAUUGUUGCUAAAAACAGGUGCAUAAUUGUAGGUUUUUAGAAAGUCUUAAUUCAUGAGAGGAUGGUGAGACAGUGGAUGAGCAAGAGGAGGAAAGAAGAUAGCUGCAGAAGAAGUAAAGCACAAUCGGGAAUAGUGCAGUGUUGUAGCGGAUGUUAGAGCAACCAGUGCUAUAGCAAUCUGGGAGCAAUGCGGGAGAAAAUUUAGGCGCGGGUCAGCUGCAGAAUCGUGAUUUGCAUGUUUCCUAAUUUAACUCAUGCACGCCUAUGGACUUUUGUUUUAUCCUAGUUUGCAGUAUAAAAGAGAGGCGUUCACGACAUAGAGAGGCGGCAAGAGGAAUUAUCAUAAAAAUCAUUAAAGAGAAAAAGAGAAGAAGAUCAAAAUUGAAGAGUGCUGUUUCGGCAACAUUGAGGAAUCUGGCAGAAUUAUUCGAAUUUGUCUUUCACUGUGCUCAACUGAUAUUUAUCUUCUUCCUUUGAUUGUUUUAAUGUAUCCCGUGAACAACAUAUUUAUGUUUUUUUUUCUUAUUCAAAAUAUGAACUAUAUUUGCUUGUAGUUGAGUGACAAACAAUCCAAUGGGUUCUUCACUGUUCUUAUGUGUUUGAUUUUUCUACAAAUUUUUUUUCCAAGUCCAUUGAUUUUCUGCCUCUCUUACUAAUCAUGUUAGGCUUGGAAAUAUCCACUUUGGUAUUAUUAUUUUAUAAAUUUUAAUUAUUUUAAUUAUUUAUUAAUUAUAUUAAUUAUUAUUAUUAUUAUUGUUAUUAGUUUUAUUAUUUUAAUUAUUAUUAUUGAUUAAGACUAGAAAGUGUACAUUUGAUCAAAGUUAAAAUUAUCAUUUUCCACUUACAUUGUUGAUAAGACUAACAAUGGCAUCAAAUUUACAAAUCCCUAACACAUUUUAUGAAUUUUCUAUUUUUAUUGGUUUUAAAGUAUGAUUUUUGUGCUUUGUAGAUAAAUCCCUAAAUUCAUGAUGUUUGGAUCAAAAAAGUGAACGUGAAAUUUAGAUUCUGGAGACUCAAAAUCCUUUAGAAGAAUUGCUACCCUUUUGAUCCAACAUUAAUUAUAAACGGUUGAGAUCAUGCUAUGUGUCUAAGCUAAAGUGCACCUUAUUGUACUAGAUUUAACAGUUAUCAAUUUGAUAGAUCAACUAUCUUGACAAAUGAGCCUAUGGAAGAUCUCAUUUUGACCUCAUUUAUAGCCAUUGAUUAUAUUGAAUUCGACUAUUCAUAAUGGUUGCAAUUUUAAACCCUUGGAUUAUAUUAGAAAAAGUUUCCUCAUAAUCGAUUCCCUCUUUCUGAGUAAACCCUUUGGCUACUAAUCUUGCUUUAAAUGUUUCCACCCUUCCAUCUACUCCUCUUUUUCUCUUGUAGAUCCACUUGCACCCUAUAGGUUUUACCUCAUUUGGUGCCUCUACAAGUUCCCAGACUUUAUUGGAAUACAUAGAUUCUAUUUCUUGAUUCAUGGUCUUUUUCCAAAAUUCAACAUCUCUAUCUAUUAGAGCUUCGUUGUAACUAGUGGGAUCUUGUACAUGUUCAUCUGAGAUAGCCGUAUAGGUUUCUCCUAAAAGCAUGUAUCUUGCAGGUAACUUAGUUACCUUCCCACUACGACGAGGUUCUAAAAGUGAUGGUUGUUCAGGGUUAAUCCUGUGUUGAUCAUCUGGUUGUUGCUGUUCUUCCUGUUCUGUAACAGGCGUUGAAAGCUAAGCAUCAACCUGAUCACCUGACAGUUCUUCGAGUAUUACCUUACUCUUAGGUUUGAAGUUAUUCAUAUAGUCUUCCUCGAGGGAAGUGAAAUGUGUGCUCACGAUCACUUUCCUAUCUUGAGGACUAUAAAAUAAACCUCCCAUUGUUCCUUUGGGAUACCCCACAAACAUACAAACCUCAGAACGUGAAUCCAUUUUGUCUGCCUUUGGUUUCAGCACAUGUGCUGGUGAUCCCCAAAUAUGGACAUGUCGUAAACUUGGUUUGCGACCUGACCAUAAUUCUAUUGGGGUUUUAGGCACUGACUUAGAUGGAACUAAGUUCAAAAGGUAAACUACAGUUUCCAGUGCUAGUCCCCAAAAAGAGAUUGGUAAUGACGAAUAACUAAGCAUAGAUCUCACCAUAUCCAAAAGAGUUCUAUUUCUUCUUUCAGCUACCUCAUUUUGUUGUGGUGUUCCCGGGGCAGUCAACUGAGAUAUAAUCCCAUUUUCAACUAGAUACUCUUUGAAAUCUCCUGAGAGAAAUUCACCACCUCGAUCAGAUCGAAGUUUCUUUAUGUUCUUAUCUAAUUGCUUUUCUGUCUCAGCCCUAUACUCUUUGAAUUUCUCAAGAGCUUCAGACUUAUGACGCAUCAGAUAAACAUAACCGUAUCUUGAGUAAUCAUCAGUGAAAGUGAUGAAAUACUCAUAACCUCCUCGAGCUUGUACAUUGAUUGGUCCACAUACAUCUGUAUGUACCAAUUCAAGUGGUACUGUUGCACGUACUCCUUUAGCCGAGAAUGACCUUUUGGUCAUUUUCCCUUCUAAACAGGAUUCACAGAGUGGCAAUGAUUCAUUUUCUAAUGGACCCAAGAGCCCAUCUUUGAUCAUUCUCUGUAUUCUAUUUUGGUUUAUAUGACCCAAGCGUAAAUGCCAGAGGUAACAUUGGUUGGAAGAAAUAUUUUUUUUCUUAGAUAAAUGUGUAUGCUCAUCAUUAUUUAUCACUGUGUCAUGCAUAUAAUGGAUCAUUGGACUUAAAUGAUAUAAAUUAUCUUCCAAUGUACUAGAACAAAUAAGUCUCUUAUUAUGAAAAAUAGAAACAGAGGAUCCAAAAUUUACAGUGUACCAUUGCUUUGACAAACAAGCUAAUGAAAUUAAAUUCCUCUUAAUGUCUGGAACAUAAAGACAAUUAUUCAAAACUAAAGUCUCAUUAUUAAAAGAUAAUAAAACAGAUCUAGUCUUCACUGCUGACACGAACUGUCCUGUCCCUAACUGCAGCUUGACGCUUUCUUCACUUAUUUUCCUGGUUUCCUGAAACCAAUAAAGUGAAUUACAAAUAUGAUUAGUUGCUCCUGAAUCCAACACCCAAGUGUCAAUAGGAUUCUGAACUAAACAGGCCUCAAUUACAAAAAGAUUUCCCAUACCUGAUUUCACAAUCUUAGGGCAAUCCUUUUUCCAGUGACCUUUCUGUCCACACUUAAAGCAUUUGCCUUUCGGCUUGCCAUCUUGCUUGGUAGACGGUUUCUUUUUCCCAGCUUUCUUCUUACCUUUGCCUUUCGGCUUAGGCCCAGAAGAUGAACUUUUUUCAGUAAUAUUUAUGCUUCCCAGAGAUUUCUCAGCACGAUAGAUCUCUUCAGCAGAAUGGAGUUCGUUAAUCAAUUCAGUUAAGGUCAUGUUUCUUUUGUUCAUGUUAUAAUUGACCUUAAACUCCUUGAAUGUUUCUGGUAGAGAUUCUAGCACCAUGUCAAUCUUUGAGUUAUCAUCGAUUUGUGCUCCUUGAAUCUCAGCCUCAUUCAAAUAGUCCAUCAUUUUGAGGACAUGAUCAUGAACUCUUAUGCCCUUCCCCAUUUUACUGUUCAUAAUUCCUUUCAGCGCUGCUUGUCUUGCUGAGCGAGUACUCUGCCCGAACAUCUGUUGGAGACUAUCCAUUAUUUCAGUGGCAGUCUCCAAGUUCUGAUGUUUGCUCUGCAGAAUAUUAGAAAUCGAGGCUAAAAUGUAGCACUUUGCCAUUUCAUUGGCCUUUUGCCAUUUCUCAUAAAGCCUCCUCUAAUUUCUAUGAGCAUCAUCCGCUGGAACUGGAGGGCAUGGCUGGGUUAAGACAUAUUUAUAAUUUUCAGCAGUCAGGACAAUGAAUAGAUUUCUUUUCCAAUCUAUAUAGUUCUCCCCAGUGAGUUUGUUUUGACUCAGAAUAAUAGUAAGUGGGCUCAGGGAAGACAUUUUCUGAAAAAUAAAACAUCCAUGCAUAAAUAAUUUGAAAUAAUAUUCACAAUAAAUGACAAAAAAGCAUAAAACCAUAAAUGCAUUUUAAUUUAUUGUAACGAUAAUCUAGUUCCGCUUUGACAAGCUAUCCGGUGGGGAAGUCAUGUCUAUACUUACUAGACCCAAUUACCCAUUGGAUUAUUUACUUUCAUGUAGAGACAUGAUAAAUAAUUAUCGUUAUCUUUUUGGGCCUAAAUUUGUUAACAGAGCUUCGUUGGGAAGGUUAAUAACAAAUUUUAGUUGAGUGUAUAACCAUUAUUUCAAUCUAUGUAUUUUUCAUAUCAAUAGUCACCGUUGGGGUGAACAAUCGAUUGAAAAAUAUUUCAAUUUUAUCUUUGAAGAAGUUCAUCAAAUAAAAUAUCUAAUAUAUAUACCCUCCGAAGGGAGCAUCACCGUAUCAUGAAGUCGAGGUAUAUAUAUAAUUUUAUUAUUGAAGUAACAAUGGAGCCCGUGGAAAAAUUAUCUUGAAUUUUCCCUCUCCCACUCAAUAUUUUAAAAUUGGCUUUUCCUUUUUAAAACAUACAUAUUGUUAAUUGCAUGCUUCCUAUAAUAUUAUCUAGAUGAUAUCAAAUAUUAUUAAGCAUACAGAAAUUUCAAACAAUAUUAUGAAAUUCAUUAUUAAUGAAUGACAUGUAUCAUUAUGCAUAGAGUGGCACUACCUAUUCUAUAUGACAUUGUUAUCAUGGCAUGUAAUCAUCCAAAACAUAACAUAUAGAAAAAUAAUUAAAUAAUCUUAAUUCAUAGCUUUCCUAAUAAUGAAAAAUACAUUAACCCUAAGCCUAAUCUUCAUUGGGCUUCUUGUCAAUGUCCAUCUUUCAUAAUCUUGUCUUUGUUAAUUGGCUAGGGGAAAUUGGAUUUUUAAAUUUAUAAUUGGUCCAAUUUUAAUUUUUGGAAGGAAUAAAUAAAUAAUUAAAAUUUUUUACUAAAAUAAAUUUUUUGGACCAAAAAUAAAUUUAUUGUGUUCAAUUUUAUCCAUGCAUUUUAAUCCAUUAAGGCCAAAUAUCAAUUGGGCCUAAAACUAGGAUUCUUUAAGCCCAAAACUGUUUUUGGACUUACAUGCAAAAAAUUAAAACUUAUCAGCCCAAAGAGAAAAUCUAUAGAACUAUAGGGAUCGUAAUGAUAAAAAUCAUUAAAACCCUAAAUCCAUAUUUUUCUCUCCCCAGCCGCCAUCACCACAAAGGGCAGCCACUGUUCACAAUUUCCAGCCAUCUCUGACGUCGAGUUUGCUGCCGCCAUCGCACCGGAAACGUACCAAACACCUCCCUCGCGCUGCACGGAAAGCUCCUGCUCGCGCUGCCUGCUGCGUGUGCUGGCUGUUGCACGCGAGCGUGCGCUAGCUGCUGCACGCACAACGUGCAUUGCUGGCUGCGCGAGCAGCACGCGCUGGCUGCUGGCUUGCAGCGCGCGCUUGCUGGCAGCAUGUGCUGCUGGCCGCGCGCUGCUUGCUGUUGGUUGCCGCUGUCAAAAUUUUCGGCCUCCGUCGCUUUGAUCUUGAAAAUCCGAGAUUAAUUUACAAAUUUCCUAGGCCAAUUUUUGGCUUACAAAAAUUCUAUAACAGUAAAAUAAAUCAAGAGGGAAACAUGAUGAUAAAAAACUACCCCUCUUAUGUUCAGGAUAAGCUCAGAUCAGCAUCGGAUCCAUUUCCCAAUUUUUCUUCCCCAAAUUCUGUUUCUGUACACUGUAAGUAUUUUUCAUCCUCAUUUUCUUGUAUCCAUUUUGCGUUAUGUCACCAUUUAUUUUCAUCUCAACAUUUGGUUUAAAUUAGAUCACCGGAGGAAAUACGAUGGGAAGAACACAGUGUUAGAGAAAAAUCAGGUUUUUAAAUUUUUUAUAAAACCUUUUAAGGACCGCUCUCAUAUAAUGUAUAAGAAUUUGUAAUCUAGAAAUCGUACCUUGAAAAUCCGAUUUGCCUUUUUUUCCGUUGAAGUGAUUUAGGCUCCUAGAUCACGAUCCGCCACCACCACUCCUGUUAGAUCACGAACUGUCACCAAUGAUCUUCCAGGUUAUGACUCAGGUUCGAUCUGCACUUGACGUGUGGGCGCCUUUAUCACUACCAAAGCAACUAGCACGAGAAAUUUUUUCUCUCAACAAUAGAGAGAAAAAUCUUUUUCUCUGAUCUGUAUAAAGUAGCUUCUCUUCUUUCUUUAGAGAAAAAUAAGCCUUUUAUAUCACCCUUUAGUGAAAAUCCUAGGCUCCAAAUAAUGGCCAAAAUAAAACUCACGUUACUUUUCAUUUAAUAGGGGACCCACCAUGUAAAAUAACAUAAGGCCCUUUACACAUAAGCUUAUUAAAUGGAGCCUCCCACUAAAUGAUAUAUUUAGGCUUUUGACCCAAAUAGCUAGUUAUCUUGCUUAUUAGUCCAGUAAUGGUGCAGUCAAUUAAAUGAGCUAACCCGGGGAUCAUUUGGGAACAUACAAUAGUGGCUAUAACAAUUAGGCCUGUAAUUAAACUAGCCUAAUUAUUUAAUUCCAAAUCUACUCCACUAAAAGAUUGGAACUAACUUCCAUAAUUGUAUGCUCGAAUAAUAAUUCGUCCCAAGCCACAUUGAUUUCUUUACUGCACAAUCCUUUGUACCACAUCGUUAAUUAAAUUGAUAUCUCAACUGUCCAAUCAAUUUAAUAACAUCUUAUUCCUUGAUCCUUACUGGUUUUCUCUAAUGAUCAUUUUCAACAUACUAAAUAUGUUGACACACUCUGGCCAGAGAAUUCUAUGAUCAAGUGCCGAAAACCCAUCAAGAGAUGUGUUGUACAAAUUCUAUAUUGUUAAUCCAUAACUCCAAUACUCAUAAUUGCUCCCACCAAGAUACCGAGUAAUCUUGACCACAAGGAUGUGUCUUGCCCAUUGGUAACUCAAAUGGAAUAACAAUUACAAUCAUGAAAUCAUAAUUAACUCAAGAUUAAGAUUACAGUAAAAUCAAUGCCUAUGAGAUUUAAUAAGUCUGACAGUUAUUACAAAGUUAAUUAAAUCUCAUAUGUGAUCCUGUUCAAUGUAGUCGUACUAUAUCAACAAAUUCAUACAUGAUUAAGACAAAUCAUUCAAUGAAUUUAUUACAGUCUAUACCUAAAUAAAGUGCCCAACUUUAUUUAUCAACUGCGAACUAAAUUUAUUUAAUCAUAAGAUAACUUGUAUUUAUGUCUUCUGUGAAUCCACAUGGUGAUCACAUAAAUACAUAUAAUAUGAUUAAAUGGACUUUAAUACAAAUAUUAAUGCAAUUAAGAUAUUUGAAUAAAAUACCUCAUCUAUUUUAUUAAUCAAAAAAAUUAUUUAUUACAAUUAAAAAAACAUAUAUGCUUUUAAAGAGCAUAUUUUCCCAACACACAGAUCAUCUCAAAGAGCACCGUCUGUGCAGCAAUUCACAAGGAACCAAACCUUAGAAUCGAUUUAACUCUAUGGGAUCUUAAGCUCAUUCAAUUUGAUACCAUUGAGAAAGGACUUCUCUUCCGCAAACCUUCAGAGGAUAACACCGAUACCAGCAGCUUGAACUUGAUCCACCACCUCAAGACCUCCCUUUCACGUACGCUAGACUACUUUCCCCCACUUGCCGGUCGCCUAGCCACCAUCGAGCAUCGUGAUGACAGCAACACAAUUUCUGUUUACAUAAAUUGCAACAAUGCCGGCGCAGAGUUUGUGCACGCCAUGGCCGAUGGAGUCUCUGUUGCAGAUAUCAUUACACCUGUUUAUGUUCCUAAUGAAACUGUUUACUCUUUUUUCCCACUAAAUGGAGUAACAAACUGUCAGUGUAUCUCCGAGGCCAAGCCGUUGCUUGGGGUUCAAGUGACAGAGCUUGUGGACGGAAUCUUCAUCGCUUGCACUAUCAAUCACUCCGUUGUUGACGGCACUUCCUUUUGGCAUUUCUUCAAUUCCUGGUCUGAAAUCUCACGGGGUUCUGAUUGUAUUUCAAAACUUCCAGUUCUCGAACGUGGAUUUCUCUCUGAUUCUGAAUAUUUUCCCAGUCGCCUCCCUCUCUGGAGCAUUGAACCUUCCGGAACUCACACUCCACCGCCUAAUUUGCGACAAAGGGUUUUCCACUUUACAAAGGAAAACAUUGCAAAACUCAAAGCAAAAGCCAAUGCUGAGAUUGGUAGUACCAACAAAAUCUCCUCUCUCCAAGCAAUCCUUUCCCAUAUUUGGCGAUCUUUUACUCGUAAUCGAUCUCUUGAUCCUGAUGAAGAAGUUCAUUUCAUGUUAGGAAUGGGAGUUAGACAAAGAUUGCAACCACCACUGCCACCAGAAUAUUUUGGAAAUGCAGCUCAGGUACUGGGAGAGUUCGCAUCCAUGAAAGCGAGAGAUCAACUUGAGCAAGGGCUUGGAAAUGUGGCAUUGAAAAUGAACAAGUUCAUCGCUGCGUACACAGACGAAAAGAUAAAGAACUUCUUGGAGUCUUGGGGAAAAAACCCUGAGAUCCUAACAUGGGAUAGCCUGCCGACGAAGAAUAAUGCUUGCUUCGUAAGUAGCUCGCCGAGGUUCAAUUUCUACGGUAACGAUUUCGGGUGGGGAAGACCAAUUGCAGUAAGGAGUGGUCCAGCGAACAAGGCUGCUGAGGGGAAGAUCACCCUGUUUGCCGGAGUGGAAGAAGGGAGUGUCGACGUUGAAGCUUGCUUUUUGCCUGAGACACUGCAAGGUAUGGGAAAUGAUACAGAAUUCAUGCAAUUGGUAUCUUAAUUGUUAAAAAUCUUCCGUGUUCUGGGGCUUUGCUCAUUAACCAUUAUAUCAAUGAAAGCUUACUUUUAAAUACAUUUUUUAUGAAUUAAUGUAGAUCAAAUUUAGUAUGACAUGUUUAUGUUUCUGAUCAAAUGAUGUAUUUUCAUUGGUCAUGUGAGAAGUAAAAGAGAUCCAACCGCAAGUUGCUUCUACCAAACAUUGACUUUCAUAUUAUUGGCGUGCCUUGGCAAAAGCCCAAUUAGGAUUUCAAUUAAAAUAUAUCUAAUUUUGAUAUUUUUGAAAAAUAAAGCCAUGGUGAAAUAAUUGACAUAACAUCAAUAUUAUAUCAGUAGUUCAGUGAUUUUUUUUUUCUUUUUGGGUACUUGCACCUUGCUGAUAUAGACUUUGUAAAUUAUUCUGAAUGCUUAACAUAUUUCUUUUAAUGUGAUCAAUAAAAGUUUUAAAAGCAGUCUAACAGAUUAAUGAUAAAUAAAUUUGUUUCAUAUUAAAAAUAAUUCUCGAUGACUUGAUAAUCCUGUGAAGAAGUUCCUUUCGAACUAUCGAUAGGAGUUAGAAUAAGAUUGCAACCAUCACUGCCGCCUGAUGAAUAUUUCGGAAAUGCAAUUCUAUAAAGCGGGAGAUCAAAUUGAAUAUGCGGCACUGCGAAUGAGCAAUGUUAGUGAAACUGAUAAAAUGUGAAGAACAGAGGAAACGAGUACAUGCUGUAACUAUGUAUUUGACAGCAGCUGAAUAGCUCACUCAGCUGACGUGGCUUAGUUAGUUAUUUUGAUUUAAGCAUUCUUCACAUGUGUGUAACAAAUUGCCAACAAUUAGUAACAAGUUGCUUUCACUUGCUAUAUAUAUGUAUAAUCUGUACUCAUUCGAUUAAUGAGAAGUUUUUACAAGUUUCCAUUAUGAGUUUUUCAUUCAUUUUCCUUUUAACUUUCUCGCUUCCCAAACACAAAUACUUGAGUUUCUAUCAUGGUAUCAGAGCCAUCAAUGGUGUUGUAAAAAAUUUUAAUAUACUCGUAAGCGCACGAAUGUAGAAUAAAAUAAUGGUAAUAAGGUCAAACCCACAGGGAUUAUUAUAAAUUAAAAAGUCUAAUUUAAAUAAAUUAAUAUUAAUUCUAACCUAGUUGAACAAAUUGAGUUUCUAAUAAAAUUUAACCAAUUAAACUAAGAAAACAAUUAAAACAAAGGAGAAUUUAAUAAGACAAAAAUUACUAAGGUUUCAGAAUCCACCACUAAUCAACUAGUAAUUACCUAAUUAUUAAUUAAUCCCCAAUUUUAGAGUGACAACUCGAAAUCAAUUUAUAUCAUCUCAUGGAUAUAACAAUUAAGCCCAAAUAAAAUUAUUCUUGUGUUGGUUCUUUUUCUUCUUAAUAAUAUGAUAUCUAAGCAUCCCAUGUAAACAUAUUGAAUAACAAAGAGUCAAAGUUUUCCGAAGCACUCUGUGUAAACAAUUUAAUGAAAGACACAGAAUCAAAGAUAAUCAUGUAUAAACUUUAAAGACUCAAGCAUAAAUUUAAUCGGAUAUUAAUUGUAACAAUCAAUAAUACAUGACAAAAUUGAUGAAAAUUUUUUAAUAACAUUCAACUAAUCAUGUGAAACACGAACCAUAAAUAUUAAAGAACAUAUGUAGAGAAUUAAUUAAAUAAAAAGAUAAUUAUUUCAUUAAAUAGGGUUUCAUCUUUAACCUCAGUAUAAAAAAAUUAGUUAGACAUACUAAAAUAGAGAAUAACAAAUAAAAUAAAAUCAACCAUGGAGAAGCCGAACUGUUGUUGCUGCUGCCGCUCCUCUUCAAAGUCAAAUACUCCCUCUUUUUCUCUCCUUUGGCGGCUGCCUUCUCAAAAGCCAAAGUUGGCUUUUUAUAAUGCUUAGCCACCCACUGACUUAACAAAGCCCACUCACCAAGCCCUUUUUAAAUUGUUUCCUUAUUAAGGGUUGAAAACUAGCCACACGUUUAACUUAAAAGUAAAAGGCCAAUUAAUAGUUUCUUCUUUUAAUGCCCUGCACAUGCAUUCCAAAUUGCCAAAUCUUUGCUUUCCAAAUGCAUGCCCACCGUUCAUUAUUUGAUGAGAUUGACUUCCAAUUUUGGUCUUCUUGACUUCCAUUAAUUCUUGACUGUAUUUUUGUCUUCUAAUUUAAUCUUUAUUCCUUCCCAAUUUGAACUUCUUCAUGCCCUUUUUAUCCUUAAUCUUCAAUUAAUUUCCUAUUCAAUAAAAUAAUUCAAUUAAUUAAAAAUAACAAAUAAAAAUAACUAGUAAAUAUGUAAUUACGGGUAAAGUAUGUAUAUAAAUUAUGAUCAUCAAAUGGCAAGCAUGAUUCAAUCCAAUACAUCCUCCUCUCCUUCAAAUAAUUUCCUACCUCAUAUCCUUCGUGCACCUCCUCCCAUUGGUCAUCCUAUGAUGACCAGAUCCAAGAAUGGCAUAUUCAAGCCAAAGUCUUAUCUAUGUGCUCUUUUAGCCUAAUCAUUUGAACUUUCCUCUGUCUCUCAAGCUUUAUCUGAUCCAUUAUAGUUCAAAGCCAUGCAAGAAGAAUUUCAAGCCUUACAAGCCAAUCACACAUGAGACUUGGUACUACCUACUGCUCCUGUUAAAGUGGUUGGUAACAAAUGGGUUUUUAGAAUAAAAUACAACCCUAAUGGGUCAAUACUAAAGUACAAAGCACGGCUGGUUGCUAAAGACUUCCAUCAGAUACAUGGUAUUGACUACACUGAAACCUUUAGUCUAGUAGUAAAAGCCUCUACUGUCAGCAUUACUGUUAUGAAUAAUUGGGUUCUUCGGCAAAUAAAUGUCAAUAAUGCUUUUCUAAAUGGUAUUCUUGAUGAGGAAGUGUAUAUGACACAUCUCGAAGGAUUUAUUGAUCCUCAUAAACCUUAGCGCAUAUGCAAAUUGAGGAAAGCUAUCUAUGGUUCGAAACAAGCUCCAAGAGCUUGGUUUGCCAGACUUAAAACAACAAUGCUUUCUCAGUGGCAUUUUUAGAGCUCCAAGUCAGACAAUUCACUCUUCUAUAAGAGAGAAAAUGGUCAUUUACUUUUGGUUUUGGUAUAUGUGGAUAAUAUUAUUGUUAUUGGUUCUAGCUCAGCGAAAGUUCAACAAGUAAUUCAAGAUAUGUAGAAGACUUUUGCCUUGAAGGAUCUAGGAGAACUCAACUAUUUUUUAGGCAUUGAAGUCUCAAAACUUUAAAAUGGCAUUCAUUUAUCCCAGGCUACGUACAUUGCUGAUAUUUUGGCAAAAGAUGACUUAGUUAAUUGUAGUCUAGUGCCAACACCUAUGUCUACAGGUCAGCAACUCACCAAAGACUCAGGUUCUGAAAUUUCAAAUAUUUCUCAGUAUAGAAGCAUUAUUAAGGCCCUACAAUAUGUUACUCUCACUAGACCAGAGAUAGCCUUUACUGUCAAUAAGCUUAGCCAGUUUCUAUCUAAUCCUAGAACUACACAUUGGGAGGCUUGCAAAAGGUUGUUAAGAUAUCUAAAAGGCACAAUUCAUUUUGGUCUUCAAUUUUACAAUUGUGGAGCUAUGCAAAUCAACUCUUUUACAUAUUCAGACUGGGCUUAUGAUCGGGAUGAUAGAAAAUCAGUAGUUGGUUUUGCUAUUUAUCUAGGUGCCAAUCUGGUUUUAUGGUCAUCCACGAAACAAUUAGCUGUCUCAAGGUCCAGUACAAAAGCUGAGUACAGAGCUUUGGCUCAUGCUGCAUCAGAGGUCAUUUGGAUAUAGUUUUUACUUGCUGAGCUAAGAAUUCAGCUAAGUACUACACCAAUUAUGUGGUGUGAUAACCAGGGAGCAAUUGCCUUAGCUUAUAAUUCAGUUUAUCAUGCUAAAACAAAGCAUGUUGAGCUGGACAUUCAUUUCAUCAAAGAUAGAGUGGGAUCAAAAGAAAUAGCUAUUUGUUUUGUGCAUAGUGAAGAUCAAACAACAAAUGUCUUAACUAAGGCUCUUACUUUCACUUAGUUCCAUUACUUGCGCAGUAAAUAAAAUGUUUAUCCCAGAAACACCAGUUCCAGAGGGGAUAUAAGUAAAGAUGAUAAUUUGUGAAGAAUAAAAUAAGGGAGUAAUGUGAAAAGCAGAAACUCCAGCUUAAGAGGGGAUGUUAGUGAAACUGAUCCCUUGGAGUCCUGGAGACAAAACCUUGUGGUCUUAACAUGGGAAAGCUAGAAGACGAAAUCUUAUUGGUUUCCAAAUAGUUCGUCGAGGUUCAAUAGCAAUGAGAAGUGGUCUAGGGAAUAAAGCUUAUGGAAAUAUCACUUAGUUUACAGGAGUGGAAGAAGGUAAUAUCGACAUUUAAGCUUGCUUUUUACCGGAGACACAACAGGGUAUGGGACAUGAUACAGAAUUCAUGCCAUCUACGUGUUAACGUCUUUGGUGAUCCUAAAAUAUUACUUUCUAAUCAUUCAUUUACACGUUAUCACGUGCAAAUGAAUGGUAUCAUAAUUAGUUAAAAGCACACAAAUGAUAAAAAGUGAAUUCAUUACUAUAACUAUGCUUUAUUUAGGCACCUCAUGCAAUAAAUUAUUUCAUCUCAAAACUCAAUUUAAUAAUUAAUCCCAUGAACAUCCAUUCGUUAGAGCAUGACAACAAAAUUUAUGUAUGGCAUCUGUGGUAGAGCAUAAUAGUUGUAGAGAAAUGGAAAUUGAAAGGAAGGAGCUGGCAGCUUAUAACUGUGAUUCAAGUUUUUGCUUUAGAAUCUUUCAGAAAAAAAAAAAGUUUUUGCUUUAGAAAAUUUUUGACUCAACCUAGUAAACUGGUCAAUAAACUAUCAAAUUUGGGGCCCAAUUUGAUGGGCCUAGUUGGUUGCAGUGUUGGGUCUAGUUAGUCUCAACAAAUACUGGUCGUAGCCUCGUAGGCAGUUCGCAUUAGAGAUUUAUGAUGAUUGUAAUGUGUGAAUGAGUAAUAGAAAGCUCUAUUUAUUGGCACAAGGAGUAACCUUUGUGCGGUUGUGCAGAUAAAAAGAGAAAACAUGUAGUGGGUUAUAUGAAAUUAAAAGUAAUAUGUUGUUAUAAACACGAUUAGAAAACUCCUGAUUUAAGCCAUAAAAGCCUUCAACUCAACACCAAAGUAUUCAGGGAACUACACUCAUGGUUUGAAUAGAAAUGCACAACCAUGGUUCUAAUACCAAUGGCUAAAAUAAUUUUAAGCUUUACGGCAAUGAAUCCAUUCAACAUAUUUCAUAAGGGAGAAAAACUGCAUUUUAUCUUGGUUGGCCAUGAAAAAGACUUGCUGGUAAGCUUGUUUCUUGCCCGUUAAUUCAACCUUUUGUUCUUGGCUUCAAUCUCAACAGCAAAAUCAAGCUCCUCAUUCACUGCACACACACACAAUUAGGAGAAAGGAGAAAAAGAAAGAUAGUGUAUAAUGGAACUGCAUUUUAAAGAAAUGUGUAGAAAACAAUCAAAACCUCUACAGAAUUCUUAGUAUUUUUGUCAACACAAUACUUCUUCUUUUAAAGACAUUAAUGCCAUAGUACAAAACCUUAGCCUACAAGAUUUGUACACACAAAAUGAAAAAAGAGCCAAGUAAUUCAUGAAUAAAAAACAUAGAGCAAAGAAGGGAUAAGUAACAUAAACACGCACAUGAAAUUGGCACAGAUGAACAAAGAACGAGUUGCAAGCUCUUUAUUACCGAAAGAAACGAGCCCCAUAUCAUAUGAUCUCCCUACAAGCUUUACAACGAGCUAUCAUAUGCUUUCCAACUCUCAAAGAUUAACAAGUUAUAGGCCUUAGAAAUUGCCCUCGUAAAUUCAUUUUAAAGCUAAAUUUUCUUGCUAUUCAUGGGAUGAGCAUAUACUAUAUACAUAUUUUACCCUUAAUUAUAUAAUUGCUAAUUAUUUUUAUUUGAUAUUUUUAAUUAAUUAAUUAUUUUGUUGAAUAAAAAAUUACGUGGAGAUUAUGAAUAAAAAAAGGGCAUAAAGGAGCUCAAUUUCGGAAGCAUUAAUUAAUUGAUUUUCGGAGCAAUUAAGUAUAUUUGCAUGUGAAGUCAAGCAAAGGAAACCAAAUUCAACAAAUUGAUUCAUCCAUGCACAUGAAGACAAAGAAGAUUAUGGCCAUCACGUGAGAAGCAAUCACCAUUAUUGUUAGCAUGUGCAUGGCAUUAAAAAAGGAAUUCUAAUGCAAUUCUAAGUGGUGAGUACGUGUGAGAGCAAAACAAAUUAAAAGGCCAAGCCUUUCGGCUUUAGAAUUGGAAUGGUUGGUGGCUCAUUUUGGAGAUUAUAAAAAGAAAUAUGAACUUUGGCUUUUAAGAGGCCAACCGCGAGAAGAGAAAAAAGAGAGCAACGUUAGGCAUUCGGUAGAGGAGAAAAUAGCGGCAGAAGCUCUUUAAUUCUUUUAUGGUUGGUUUUAUUUUAUUUGUUGCUCUCAAUUCAAGUAUGUCAAGCUAAUUUUCUUUUACUGAGGUUAAAGAUGAAACCUUAUUCAAUGAAAUAAUUAUCUUUUUAUUUAAUGAAUUCCCUACAUGCGUGUUUUAAUGUUUAUGUUUUUUUAUUUUACAUGAUUAAUUGGAUGUUAUUAAAUCUUUUCAUCAAUUCUGUCAAGCAUUAUUGAUUGUUAGGAUUAAUAUUCAAUUAAAUUUAUGCUUUGGUCUAUAAAGUUUUUAUAUUAUUAUCUUUGAUUCUAUAUCUUUCAUUAAAUUGUUUACAUAGAGUGCUUAGGAAAAUUUUGACCAUUUGUUAUUCAAUAUGUUUACAUAAGAUGCUUGGAUAUCAUACUAUUAAGCAGAAAAAGAACCUACAUUAGAUUUAAUUACUUGGGCUUAAUUGUUAUAUUCAUAAGAUGACAUAAAUUGAUUUCGAGUUGUCACUCUAAAAUUGGGGAUUAAUUAACAAUUAGAUAAUUACUAAUUGAAUAGUGGUGAAUUCUGAAACCUUGAUAAUUUUUGUCUUAUUAAAUUCUCUUUUAUUUUAAUUGCCUUAGUUUAAUUAGUUUAAUUUAUCUUAAAACUUAAUUUGCUCAACUAUUUUAGAAUUAAUAUUAAUUUUAGAUUUAAAUUAGACUUUUCAAUUUAUAACAAUCCCUGUAGGUUUGACCUCAUUACCACUAUUCUAUUUUUAAAUUCGUGUGCUUGCAAGUAUAUUAAAAUUUUUCACAAUAAGUUUUUGGCGUCGUUAUUGGGGAUUGUGCCAGAAAGUCAGUUUAAUCUAGAUUGAUUUGAUUUUUCCAGUAGUUAUAAUUUAAGUUGUCUUUUAUUUUUAUUUUAUUUUUUUAAUAAAAAACACAAAAAAUAUUUAUUUGUCUUUAAAUUUAUUGUUUGGUUGUUUGAUUUGUUUUAUUUUAAAUUCCGUUUAUUUUUAUUAUUGUUGCUUUAUUUUCCUUUCUUUGUCUAGUUAGUUUAUGAGUGUUUGGGAACGCGAUUCAACAAAUCGUUUGGUAAGAAAAGAGUUUAAAAUUGAUAGUAGUCGAGUUAGUUCUUCAAAAGUGAUGGAUGACCCAAAUAGAAUAUUGUCAGUACUUCCACCAGUACAAGCAGAGAAAAUCCUUAGAGAAUCUUUUUCACCACUUGCAGCCAACCAACCAUCUUGUAUUGUGUUGCCACAGACUACAUCAACACACUUUGAACUCAAGCCCUCUGUCAUUUAGCUUUUACCAUCUUUCCAUGGGUUAGAGAGAGAGGACCCAUAUUUGCACAUUAAGUACUUUUUUGACAUGUGCUCUACAUUUUAUUUUCAAAAUUUUAAUGAUCAGUCAAUUAGGUUUCGUAUGUUCCCUUUCUCAUUAAAAGACAAAGCGGAAGCUUGGUUGAAUUCACUUCCUGCUAGGUCUAUUACUACUUGGGAUGAAUUAAGUAAUAAGUUUUUUACCAAGUUUUUCCCUAUGUCUAAAACAAAUGUCAUUAGGAGAGAGAUAAAUGAUUUUUGUCAAAGAGAGGGUGAACAAUUUUAUGAGUGUUGCGAAAGAUUCAAUGAUUUACUCCUCAAGUGUCCCCACCAUGGUUUUGAGAAAUGGAGACUUAUAUAGUGCUUUUAUAAUGGUUUAACUAUAUCAAAUCAUCACAUGAUAGAGUCUAUGAAUGGUGGGAGAUUUUUUAAUUUACAUGAAGGGGCUGCAUGAGAUUUCUUUAUUUUACUUUUUGAGAAUUCUCAACAAUGAGAUUUUUCAAAUCAAAGAAAAAAAUGAUCUCAAGUUUCUAGGAAAGUCUAUAUGAAGUUAAUGAAGAUUUUGAUGUUAAGGUCAUUCUAGCUACACUUUCUAGGAAAAGUAGACGCCUUAACUCUGAACCAAUCAAUGAAUCAUCACCCUAGUGUACCUAAUGAGGUUUGUACUCUUUGUUCUAACUUGUCUCAUACAGCACAUAAUUGUCCAUCAUUGCCAGCCUAUCAAGAGGCUUAUUAUGAGCAAGUACAGGCCUUACAAUCAUAUGAAAAAAACCUUCAAUAGUCCAUAUUCAUCCACAUAUAAUCCUAAUUGGAGGAACCACCCUAAUUUUUCUUGGAAACAAAGUCAGCCUUUAUCAAACCAAGGAGGACAACAAUUCAACGUACCCAAUCAACAAUUUGUCCUUACUAACCAAGUAUAUCCUCCUGCCCAACAGCCUAUGUCUCAAUUUGUUACACCUUAGCAAAGAAAACCUUUUUCAGAUGAUACACUUCAAAGUUUCAUUCAGUCAACCCAACAAGCUUUUCAGUCAAACACUCAAGCUAUUCUAAAGCUUGAACAUCAAUUGGGUCAAUUAGCAACUGCUGUGGCUGAGAGAAAAAAAGGAAAAUUCCCAAGUCAGCCAGUUCUUAAUCCUAAAUGAGUGCAUAAAGUUGGAUCAACUUCAAGCCAUCAGUAUAAAGAAGCAAAAUCUAUUAUGACCUUGAGAAAAUGAAAAAUAUUUGACAACAAGGUGGAGGUUCGAACAAGAAAGACAUCUGAACCUACUUAUGCAGAUCCAGUUCCAUCACAAGACUCAUCACUAAAUGAUCCAGAAGAAAGUAAUCCACCAGCUUACAUUCCUAAGGCUUAUUUUCCUUAAAGGUUAACAAAGGUAAAGAAAGAGACUUCAACAUGUGAGAUUAUGGAAAUCUUCAGGCAUGUAAGUAUAAGCAUCCCUUUACUCGAUGCUAUUAAGCAAGUUCCUCAUAUGCCAAGUUUUUGAAGGAUUUAUGAACUAAAAAAAGAAAUUUGCAUGUCACCAAAAAUGCAUUUUUAACUGAACAAACUAGCAAUUUACUUCAAUAUAAAAUGCCACCAAAAUUUAAGGAUCCAGGUUCCCCUACUAUCUCAUGUGUUAUAGGGAACCAAUUGUUUGAUAAAGUAUUAUUGGAUUUGGAUGCAAGUGUUAAUCUCUUGCCUUACUUUGUUUACAUGCAGCUUGGAUUACAUAAAUUAAAGUCAACUUCCAUUAUUUUGCAACAUGCAGAUAGGUUAAUGAAAAUACCUCAUGGUAUUAUAGAGGAUGUGUUGAUACAGAUUGAUAAAUUUUAUUAUUUUGUUGACUUUAUUGAUAUUGAUACUCAGCAUGUACAGGAUCCUAAGAAACACACCCCAGUUAUUUUAGGUCGUCCUUUCUUAGCUAUAGUUGAUGCUCUUAUUAAUUGCAGGAAUGGAAACAUGCAAUUAUCUUUUGGUAACAUGACCAUGGAAUUAAAUAUUUUUAAUGUUCCUGAUAACUCUAGGAAAUGAGAGUUAUUACAUCAAUUCUAAACUUAAAUCAAGAUCACUUAGAGAACAAAUAAGGUGUUUUUAUUACAUUUUGGUUAUAUUUUGCAUAAACAUUCAUUUUAGUUAAGUUUUAAUAAGUUUUGUUUGAAUCAAAGUAAUUGGUGCUAAAAACAGGUGCAUAAUUGUAGGUUUUUAGAAAGUCUUAAUUCAUGAGAGGAUGGUGAGACAGUGGAUGAGCAAGAUGAGGAAAGAAGAUAGCUGCAGAAGAAGUAAAGCACAAUCGGGAAUAGUACAGUGUUGUAGCGGAUGUUAAAGCAACCAGUGCUAUAGCAAUCUGGGAGCAAUGCUGGAGAAAAUUUAGGCGUGGGUCAGCUGCAGAAUCGCGAUUUGCAUGUUUCCUAAUUUAACUCAUGCACGCUUAUGAACUUUUAUUUUACUCUAGUUUGCAGAAUAAAAGAGAGGCGUGCACCACAUAGAGAGGCGGCAAGAGGAAUUAUCAUAAAAAUCAUUAAAGAGAAAAAGAGAAGAAGAUCAGAAUUGAAGAGUGCUGUUUCGGCAACAUUGAGGAAUCUGGCAGAAUUAUUCGAAUUUGUCUUUCACUGUACUCAACUAAUAUUUAUCUUCUUCCUUUGAUUGUUUUAAUGUAUCCCGUGAACAACAUAUUUUUUUUUUUUUUUCUUAUUCAAAAUAUGAACUAUAUUUUCUUGUAGUUGAGUGACAAACAAUCCAAUGGGUUCUUGACUGUUCUUAUGUGUUUGAUUUUUUUACAAAUUUGUUUUCCAAGUCCAUUGAUUUUCUGCCUCUCUUACCAAUCAUGUUAGGCUUGGAAAUAUCCACUUUGGUAUUAUUAUUUUAUAAAUUUUAAUUAUUUUAAUUAUUUAUUAAUUAUUAGUAUUAUUAUUGUUAUUAGUUUUAUUAUUUUAAUUAUUAUUAUUGAUUAAGACUAGAAAGUGUACAUUUGAUAAAAGUUAAAAUUAUCAUUUUCCACUUACAUUGUUGAUAAGACUAACAAUGGCAUCAAAUUUACAAAUCCCUAACACAUUUUAUGAAUUUUCUAUUUUUAUUGGUUUUAAAGUAUGAUUUUUGUGCUUUGUAGAUAAAUCCCUAAAUUCAUGAUGUUUGGAUCGAAAAAGUGAACGUGAAAUUUAGAUUCUGGAGACUCAAAAUCCUUUAGAAGAAUUGCUACCCUUUUGAUCCAACAUUAAUUAUAAACGGUUGAGAUCAUGCUAUGUGUCUAAGCUAAAGUGCACCUUAUUGUACUAGAUUUAACACUUAUCAAUUUGAUAGAUCAACUAUCUUGACAAAUGAGCCUAUGGAAGAUCCCAUUUUGACCUCAUUUAUAGCCAUUGAUUAUAUUGAAUCCGACUAUUCAUAAUGGUUGCAAUUUUAAACCCUUGGAUUAUAUUAGUAAAGCUCAUUUAAAGGUUGUGGUUGCAAGCUCAUCGAAAAUAUUAUGUAAAUGUCCAACUUUAUCAACUCAAAAUUUGCUUAUAUAAAGGCAAGAGCUCUCACAAAUUUGUGUAGAGAAUUUAGAGAGAAGUUGGUAGAGAAUUGGUAGUGGAUUUUACAGGUGAGUUUUGUAGAGAAAUUUAAUGUAAAUCUAAAGUGAAUUUUACAGAAAAGCGUGAGUUUGGUGUAAAUCUAGAGUGAAUUUUAAGAAAAAGUGUGAGUUUGUUGUAAAUCUAGAGUUAAUUUUAGACCCUCAACAUUUUUUUAAUUUAAACUAUUCCUUAUUAAUUUUCUUUUUUACAAUUAUUUUUAUUUUAUAAUUAGCUAUUAUAUUUUUAAAUUCCUUAUGGGUUGACUCGAGAUUCACAAGUUAUAGUACAUCUAGACACUCUUAUAUUUGGGAGUAAUCAACUAUUUUUGAGUCAUGUUAAUUAUCAUUAUUUAUUAUUAUUGUCUUUAUUGUUAUUUUUUUAUUGUUAUUAUUAUUGUAAUAGAAACAAUUAAUACUUAGGAUAACAAUUAAAAAAAGAUAUUUUAGUAACUUAAAAUAAUUAAUUUUGAUUUUAAGAUAAAGUAAACAUAUUAAUAGUAAUAUAAUUCUGACUCAUAUAAUUUAAGUAAAUAAUUUAUUUUAAUAUAUAUUUUUCAUUUUAAUUUCAACUUAUUCCUAUUAGUAGUUAGACUUUCACCUUUGGAAGGCUCCAGGACUUGCUUAUUAGACCUUUGAUUUUUCCUCAAUUUGUUAUUCAAGUCCAUUGACUUUCUACCUCUAUUACCAGUCAUGUUGGGCUUGGAAAUCUCCACUUCUAGUAAUAAUGAGCAUGAACGUGGGCCAGAUUAUUUAAAUGGAUUCUCUAUUGGAGGUAGAUUAUUAGUUGUAAUAUUAGGAUCAUCAUUCGUCAGCCCCCUUCGCCGCAGAGAAAUUUUCUUAUCUUUAAAUUCCUGGCCCCCCUGUCUGUUGUGAAGGUUGAGUUGUGUUGGCGUUACCUCGGAUGUGAAGAACUGGCCAGAAUACUUCCAUGAGGGGCCAUGUCCACUUCUUCUACAGUGCCUAAAUGACUGCCCAAGAAGUGCCCCACCACUCUUUUGUCAAACAUACAAUCGGCAAAUUGUGAACCUAGUAACCAAAGUGACGCAUGAGAGAAAUCCAAUCAAGUUUGGAUAUGUCCCCCUUUUACCGUUGGCUGGACUAGACAAAUUUGGACCAUUCCUGUUAGGCUGAACUUUUUGAGUACAUUUUGAAAGUAACAACCAUAGUGACAUAAAUAAUGGACAUAAUACCAAUAGCACCAACAGUCCAAUGAUCCUUCUUUUUUAUUUAUUUAUUUUUUUUUUUUUGUUGGCUACAUUAUAGUUAUUCACUUAUUUUAUUUAUACUUAUUACAUAAAUUCAAACUCAUUUUGGGUACUAUAGUCAAUGGGCAUAAUUGUGAAAAGAAAUUUUGGGUGACUACUUGUGAAGGGGUGGAAUUUUCCUCCUAACACCCAUUUUCUUAAGAAACCGAUUAUUAAAAUUUAAAAACUUAAUUUUUACUCUACACAUCCUCUAUAUUUCCAAAAAGCUGACCUUAAUUAAAGAUAUACUUUUUUUUUAUUUUUUUCUACAAAUUUGUUUCUACAUCUGCAGCCACUUCUUACCUCUUCUGUUAGCGUUCUCGCUUUGUCUUCAUCUCAAAAAAGUACUGAAGUUGUUCUCUUAUCAAUCUCCACAAGAGCAUGCAUAUUAAUAAGGAGAAAUGAGACUUAAAUAAAUAAACAUGACAUAAUUAAAAUAUUUAAGAUUAUUAAAAUAAUAAUAUUCUGCUAUAAAAAUAUCUCUUUUCAACUUCCAGCCUGCUAUAAUACUUCUUGAAAUUUUUUUGGGUCGCAAACUCGCUUGUCCCUGUUUUAUAUUUGAUUUGCUCAAGGUUCAUAGAUGAGAAAGAAACUAUGGUAUCAGAAGCACCAAUUUCUAUUAUGUUGACACUUCUUGAGUUCGUAUCAUGUUGUUAGUUAGCUGCACUUGGGACUGCAAAGCUAUUCACGUUUUGGAUAAUUAUUUUAUGUUUCAGUUAAUAAAUUAAGUUUGUCCUAAUCUUUAGGAAGUUGUUAGUUUGUUCAACAUGUAUCAGCUUAUGGCUUGAUUCUCGGUCACUUAGUUUCUCAAUUUUUAUUAUUUAUUGUAAGCUUAAUGCAUAAAAGAAAUAAGAAUUUCCAGUAUUGCAUUCCCGCAUAUCUUUCUUUGUUCUUCCUCAAAACUCUUUAAACCUCUGUUUUUAUCUUUCCAAAUUAACACAUGUGCAUUCGCUUUGUUUGUUAUUAUUUGCGAAAUACUCUUUUAAAUUUGAAAAAGGAGAAUUUUUAAAUGAACGACCCAGAAGAAAAUGAAUUAGGGUUUAAUGUUGGGAUGACUUCUCUUAGGUGAGUGUAAAGAGAAUUAUUUCUUUACUAUAAAUUAUCUUAUUUUGUCUCCAGCAUUAAUUUCCUUUAAGGAUAAUUUAAGAAUAUAAUUUUUAUCAAAACAACAGGUGUAAAGAGUAUUUUUAUGAGUUCAAAUAUCUUGGAAAGGGUGAGAAUAACUAAUUUCCUUAUACUCUCUUUUUAAUUAAAAUUUUUAAUGUUAAUUUGGAUAAAAUUAUCUAAUUAUCUAUCUUCUAUCUUUCACACACGUUUCUUUUGUUUUGAGGGUGGAUCUACGACCACGCUCACAUUGUAGUAAAGGAGACUAUAUAUAAGUGUGUGUGGGUGGGUGUGUGUGUACACGCUUAAUAAUAGGACAUUAGGAGUCUUACCUUUAUGAAUACUUACUCUAAGCAAAAUAGUUAUAUAAAAAUGUAGAAAAUAAAAAUGCAAUUCAAAUACAAGCUAUAUAUUCUUCUUAAAAAAAUAAAUUAAAAGUUUAAAUAUAUUAAAAUCUCAAAUACUUAAAUAGAAUGAUUAAAUAAAUUAAGCAACUAAAAAUUGAUAUCUUUUCAAUUUUUCAAAAAGUAUUUUUAGUUAAAAAUAAAAAAUAAAUUAAGCCUAUUGGACACUCAAUAGCACACAACUUUGAGCUUGCUUCAAUUUAUAGAAAACAGCUUCCCUUUAGCACAGCAAUUUCUUCAUUAAAUUUCUCAAACAACAUGAGCUAUGUCUAAUAGAGCUUCAUUGUUUAAAAGACAAUAGAAUUUUAAAAUUAAUGAUAAGAUACUAAUAACUGAUAAAAUUUGAUAACUUAAUAAUAAAAUUCAACUUUAUUGCCUUAAUUAGGACAAUAACUUGAUCAAAAUUGACUUUAAAAUUAAGGUGAAAUUGGCUUGGCCGUAAAGUGAGCACUGAUAUUUGUCUUUUGUUAGUAGUUGAUCGGUGGAAAUUGGAAUAAAAGAAGAAAAUGGAACUUGAAAUUUUGACUUAAGUAUCCAUUUAAUAUUUGUAUUUUUUAAAAAUACCUUAAAACAACCUUAUAGUUAAAUAUGUUAGCCUAAAGGGUUACACAUAAUGUAAUUUUGAUGAUAACAAAAAUGUGUCUUAAGCGAUUUAAUAAAUAUUGUAUUUAACAUUUUCACAAGUUUUUGAAGGAUAAUAUUUAUGCAAGUGAAUCAAGUGAAAUCAAGUUCAAGACACUAAACGGAUAACGGCGAAAUAAAGAAUAAAGUUUAGAGCUCAACGGAUAAAUUAUUGCGACAAAUUCUUGUAAAGCCGAUAUGAUUUAAUUGAUACAUGAUUUAGAAUUUGAGAAGCUCAAGAGUUUAUUUAAAUAAUUACUUUUCAUAAACUAAAAUGUUUUAUAUUUAUAAGAUAAAAUAUUUUGUGAAUUUGAGUAAUUUGGACUAAAAUAAAAAGUUUUACAAUCUUUGAAUUUAAUAAGUAUUAUUUUAAAUUCUGAAAUUGAACCUAUUUGACAACAUUUGAAAUAUUUUGCAUCAUAUUAUAAUUUAUGAAAGAUUAUGGACCCGAAUGUAAUUCAAACAUUUGAAUUCGGAAAGAGAGUGCGGCUAACCCCCUGAGGGCUGGCGGCUAGCCGUCUGAGGAAAAUCUCAUAUUCUCAACUUUUGGAUAAAAUUGUAAGGAUUUGAGAACUUUGACAUUUAUGAAUAUUUUGUUAAACUUUGAAAAGGAUGUCUUUGAAACAUAUUAUUAUAUAUUGGGCCAUAACAUAGUUUCAAAAAGUUUUGGGAAUGAUAAAUAUUAUUUAAAAAUUCUAAAAUUGGAUCUUUUUGUAAAAUUUUAUGACAUUUGGGCUAUAGUACAAUUACAAAGAGUUUUAGACAAAAAUAUAAUUUUAUGAACAGUGUUAAGUGGCUAACUGCUUGGGCGCGGAAAUUUACCUAUAACGGCUAGUUUUCGAGCUUUAACUAUAAAAACUCAACUCCAACUUCAUUUUAAAUAUUAAUGUAAGGAUAAACAAGAUCACAUAACACAUAUUGAGCUUCCAUUUCGCAAAUCAUCAUUUAUUGAAUCAUUAUUGUGCUAUUAUUUACAUAUCCACUCUUAAAGAGAGUUUUUGUUGUAAUUUUCAUUUCUCAUCAAAUUGUGAGUGUACAAGUGUGAGAAACACUUGGGGUGAAGAGAUUUGGGAGAUAAUAUCUUGAUUGUAAAGGUUAUUGACACAUUGGAAGUCAAUUGUAAGAACUUGAGGCCUUGAGAGGCUUGGAUAGUGAAAUCUUUAGCUUGGUUGGCUUGGAGGUGUGGACGUAGGCGGAGAUUGCCGAACCACGUAAAAAUUAUUGUGUUUGAUUUCUAUUCCCUUACUAUUUUAUUAUUGUGCUUUACUAAAUUUAUUGUUUUUGUAUUUGAUUAAGGCAAUAGAUUAAAUUGUUUAGCAUAAGUUUUAAAAUCCCAAUUCACCCCCCCUCUUGGAUUGCAUAACUUGCAUUUCAAAAUAUAUUACAUUCUUUCUUUUACUUUUUUUACAAAAAUACCUUUCUAAUAAUAUUCUUGACAUUAAUUUAUUUAUUAAUAAGAAAUUAAUUAACAAAUUAACCAAUACUUAUUUACUAAACCAAUAAAUAUUGAUGUAAAAGAAUUAUUAUUAUUUAUUUAUGCAACAAGUUUACUAAUAAUUAUUUAUAAAUAAAAUUAAUAUCAAUCAACUUAAAUCAAUUUUUAUACAAAAAUACCCUUGCAAUAAAAUUCUUGGGAAUACCAAUAAAAAGAAAAAAAUUUUAUCAAAUUGACUUAGAAAUAACAUAAAAAUUUACACAAACUUUUAUAUUAUUAUAAUUUUUUUUUUUUACUUUUAGGAUUAACUUAGGAAAUUAUUUUUCUAUAAAAUAAUUAUUAGUAAGAUUGCUAUAAGGAUGUUUGACCCACUCAAAUCAACCCCCACUCUUUAAUUAACAAAAAAAUAUUACCAAAAUUACCUUUUAAAAAUAAAUAUAGUUUUUUAUUUUAAUUUUUGGUCUCUCUCAAAAUUCAUCAUAUUGAAUUCUUGAUCUUCUAAUAUAAAACGGCAAAGCCAUUAGUAAGAAUUAAAUCUGCAAUAAAAAUAUAAUGAUUUGUAUGGGGUUCAUAUCCGGAAAAACAAAAUAAAUUUAUAUCAUGGGGUUAUCAUUGUUUCUCUAAAUUCAUUUUACAGCUAAAUUUUCUUACUAUUCAUGCAAGCAAACUUUUCAAUUGCAUAUCAGACUGCGAUGGUGGUGAGGAAAAAAAAAUAAACAAUUUUUUUUUUACAUUUUAAGGAUAAUUUUAAAAAUAAAAUGAUUAAUUGAAUACCGGAAAAUAAUGAGAUCAAUUAAAGGAUCAAAUAUCAUUUCAAAGCUAUGGUAAUGUGCGCUGACAAAACCUCUCAACUGCCACCGGCGGCUGACCGAUCUACCAAGAAAGCAAAGUUUAAGGCUCAAGGGGCAGAUGGGGAUAACCCAUCUCCUUUGUCUUUCCGCGACAUGCUAAUGGACAUGCACGAACAAUCUGAUAGUGGGAAGUUUGGCCGGAAGGAUGACUGGGAGUUGGAGGAGGAUGAUGUGACGUACAGGGAGGAGGAACCUAUGCCAUUCAUAGCAUUCUCAAGCAGAGUUCAUGAACGGUUAGUGGAACCCUGGGAAAACUCAGUGGUGGUCAAAAUAUUAGGGCGCAACUUGGGGUAUCGUGUUCUCAGUUCUCGGUUGAACAGGAUCUGGAGUUCUACCACAAGGUUUGAAAUAAUUGAUUUAGCUAAUGAUUAUUUCCUGAUCCGUUUCUACAACAAAAAGGAUGUGGAGUAUGCCCUUACUGAGGGACCAUGGACGGUGAUGGGGCAUUAUUUAUCAGUGCAGAAAUGGUCUCCAGACUUCGAUGUAGUUAAUAAUAAAAUCAACCGCAUCAUGGCUUGGAUCCGUCUGUCUCAAAUGAAUAUUCAAUUUUAUCAUAAGAGUAUUAUCCGGCGACUAGGGCACAUUAUUGGUCCAGUCAUCAAAAUUGACAAUAACACAAUUACGGCACAGAGAGGCAAAUUUGCUCGUCUUGCGGUUGAAUUAGAUCUUCAGAAGCCUCUAGUUUCUCAGUUUAAUCUUGAAGGAAGGAUUCAAAAAGUGGAAUAUGAAAAUUUGCCGACGAUUUGUUUCGGUUGUGGUAAAUUUGGCCACUUCAAGGAUGCAUGUCCUGAUAGUGCUGACAUUAACAUCAUGGCCAAGGACAAUCCAGCCCCUCCUACGGAGGCUGAGGGGCAAGCCGUUGUGGUGGCUGCAGCAACUGACUACCGAGAGCCUAAAUUUGGAUCGUGGAUAGUGGUGGCCCGCCAGCCGCGCCCUCGUAAAGUCUUCGCCAAGGAUAAUCCUAAAGUUCAAGAUAAGGAUCGGUACAUGCCAAAAACUAGCCAGUCUCUGUUUGGUGUUUUGGAAGACCUUGAUAUUGAGGAUGAGAUCUCUCAAGAUCAUGAUACAGACCCCGGUUCUCAACGGGAACCUAUGAUGCAUGUAUCGGAGAGCAUCCAAUUCCUAGCCCCAAAACCUCGGAGCAUGAAAACGAAAAACCCUAGUCAACUCACUCGGAAAUACCCCCCUCGUCAAGUUUCCAUCACCAUUCCUCCAAGUCAACACGUAACUGAAAAUUUUGACCCCAAUACUCAAAUUCCCACUGAUUAUUCCCACCAAAAUAACCAACCCCCAGCCAUGCAUGGCAUGCAUGCUCCACCCAAAUUUUCCACGUCCACUCAUUCUGCUCCAUCUAAUGCCGCCUCCACUUCCAUGCAUGGUAUGCAUGCUUAUCAUAAUCAUGGCCAACACAAUCCAGGUCCAUUUCCAGUAUCCAUCACCCUUAACCCGCUACACCAUAGUGCCGUAUCUUUCUCCAAGACUUUUUCCCCAAAGGCAACUAAUCAUCCCCCCUCUCAACCUGUUGGUGACCCCUCUCUUGUUGGUGAACCACCGGACAAGGGCAAUCUGAAUGACCCUUACAUUAUGGAAGCCAUUGUUGAGCCUGAAGACUCCCCAGUUGCAAGCAGGAGUGGCUCUCCUUUGUCUACUACUGAUAUCUUAUUUGUUGCUGAUUCUGGCAUGGAAAUUGAGGCUGCGGCUUUGGAGUCCUCCCAGUAACUCCACUUGUUUCCCUUUCCAAUAAAUUUUAUGUUUAUUAGAACCAUGUUUUGGAAUUCUCAAGGUGCAGCGUCACCGUCUUUUUGUCGUUCCUUUUCGGUUUUAGUUCAGAAUUACAAGCCUUCCCUGGUUGUGUUGAUGGAGCCCCGUAUUAGUGGUUAUAAGGCUGAUCAUUUUAUUAAAAUAAGUGGCUUUGACAAAUCAUUCCGGGUGGAAGCAGAGGGUUUUUCUGGUGGCAUUUGGGUCCUAUGGAAAGAUAUUUUUUAGGUUGAGAUUGUUGCCAGCCAUUCUCAGUUUGUUCAUCUUCGAAUUUCCAACAACAAUAAUGUUCUCUCUUGGUUGACAGCUAUUUAUGCAAGCCCUAACCCCAGUCUUAGAAAAUAUCUUUGGAGUGAGCUAGAUAAUUUAGCUCAAACAGUUUAUGGUCCCUGGAUUUUGGGUGGGGACUUUAACACUAUUUUGUACGAUUCGGAAAAGAAAGGUGGGUCCCCUACAGGCACAGGAGCUUGCACUCUCUUCCAGUCUUGGUUCAACCUUCACAACAUGCAUGAUCUUCAAUCUCAUGGGCCACGUUUUACUUGGUCACGUGGAAGCCUAUUAAAACACCUUGAUCGCGUUAUUUGCAACAGUGAGUGGGCUCGUACCUUUUCCAAUUCUUUUGUGCUCCAUCUGCCGAAACUGAACUCUGAUCAUAGGCCUAUCCUGGUGCGAAGUACUGAUUUGUCUUCGAGAGUUUCGAUCUCUCGUCCUUUUCGGUUUCAAGCGGCUUGGCUUACUAAUGAAGGUUUCAAAGAAUUUGUGUCUGAAUCUUGGGAUCAGAACCUUCAUUACUUAGAUGGUGCUAAUAAAUUUCGUCAUAAGGUUACUGAAUGGAACAAGCAGUGUUUUGGGAAUAUUUUUUGGCGGAAAAAAUGUUUAUUAGCUCGUUUGGGAGGGAUUUAGCGGGCUUUAGAAAGAUAUUACUCUAAAGGGUUAUUAAAUCUUGAGAAACAACUAAACGCGGAUCUGGAAGAGGUGCUCACCCAAGAGGAAAUUAUUUGGCAUCAGAAAUCUCGGAGGGACUGGCUGCUUCUCGGUGAUCGUAAUACAUGUUACUAUCAUCACAAAACUCUUUCUAGAAGAAAACAAAAUAAUAUAGCGGCCAUCCAAAACAAUGCAGGGCUUUGGCUUUAUGAGGAAGAGGAAAUUAAAUCUCAUGUAAUUCAGUUCUACUCAACGUUAUUCUCUUGUGAUUCUCCUGACCUUCAGCACUACCCCCAUCCAAAUUGUUUUCCGCUUAUUAAGGAUGACUUGCUCCAUACCUUAAAUAAGUGCGUGGAGGAUGCUGAAAUUAAACAAACUAUCUUCAGCAUGCACCCUCUGAAAGCCCCGGGUCCUGAUGGUCUCCAUGCCAUUUUUUAUCAGACGCAGUGGAACACUGUGGGCUCUCCUUUAUGUCGUUUGGUGAAAGCUGUUUUCCAUGAAAAAUAUAUUCCUUUGGGGCUCAAUUCCACGCUGAUUGCUCUCAUUCCCAAGACAGAAAGCCCCUCCUCGUUGAAAAUGUACCGUCCUAUCUCCCUUUGCAAUGUUGGCUAUAAGACUAUCACCAAGCUGUUGGCUAAUCGCCUUCAAUCUAUUUUACCCUCUCUGAUUGGCCCCCAUCAAACUAGCUUCGUCCCUGGUCGUCAUAUCACGGAGAACAUCGUGAUUGCUCAAGAGGUUGUUCACUCUAUGCGCAAGAAGACGGGCUCUACUGGUUUUAUGGCUAUUAAAGUUGAUUUAGAAAAGGCUUAUGAUCGUCUCAGUUGGGAGUUUAUCAGUGAUACUCUGCGUGAAGCUCGCAUUCCUUCCGAUCUUAUUCAUGUUAUUAUGGCAUGCAUCACUUCGGUUACUAUGAGGGUUUUGUGGAAUGGGGAGGCUACGGAUGAAUUUUCUCCUUCCCAAGGAAUUCGUCAAGGCUGUCCAUUGUCCCCUUACCUAUUUGUCCUUUGCAUCGAACGGCUCAGUCACGGGAUUCGCAAUGCUAUUAGUGCCGGGAAGUGGCGUCCGAUCGGGUUAUCUCGCCAUGGAACACGUUUAUCUCAUCUUUUUUUUGCGGAUGAUCUUCUUUUGUUUGCAGAGGCUACAGUUGAGCAAGCUAGAGUUAUUUCAACAGUGUUAGCAGAAUUUUGUGCUUGUUCUAAUGCCAAAGUUAAUACAAGUAAAACUCUGCUUUAUUUUUCAAAGAACAUAGGUGCCAGAGAUGUCUCUGCAAUUUCGGGUCUUCUUGGCUUCUCAGUUACUUCUGACCUCGGCAAAUACCUUGGGGUCCCUCUUCACCAUUCAAGGGUUUCUACCAAUAUGUAUAAAGGGAUCAUCGAUAAGGUGGAGAAGCGGCUGUCGGCUUGGAAUGCCUCUCAUUUGUCCUUGGCUGGCCGCAUCACUCUAGCUCAGUCAGUUCUCCAGGCAAUUCCCAUCUAUGUUAUGCAGACUGUUUCCCUUCCUCGUGGGGUUUGUGAGAAAAUCGAUAGAGCGUGCAGGAGGUUUAUUUGGAGCGGUUCGUCUCCUCAACAGAAGCUCAACAUGGUUAGUUGGAAGAUUGUGUGCAAGCCUAAAGCUUCUGGCGGUCUUGGUUUCAAGUCUUUGGCAAUGAUGAAUCGGGCUUUACACAUGAAGCUAGCUUGGGGCAUAAUCUCCUCUUCGAAUAAUUUUUGGGUCCAGGUCCUUACUUCGAAGUACAAAGUGGAUCCUUACAACUUGCCUCCCGUCCUUCCAACACGCUAUGGUUCUCACUUGUGGAAGUCUCUUGGGCAGGUUUGGAGUGAGGCUCUUGCAAGCAGGCGCUGGAGUUUGGGUGAUGGUCAAUCUGCUCGUUUUUGGUGGGAUCUUUGGGUCACUGAUACGGUCCCUUUAAUCGCAUGCGCAACAAAUACUAUACAUGUGGGCAUUUUGGAUUGUAAGGUGGAAGAUCUUGUUGAUGUAAAUGGGGCUUGGUGUUGGCCUCGUUUUGAUCGAUAUCUUCCCAACCAUAUUGUUCUACAAAUAGCUGCUCUUCACCCCCCUUCCCACGUGAAAGGCAUGGACACUAUCUUUUGGGCUCAUUCAAAACACGGAGCUUUUUCUACAAGCUCGGCGUAUUUGGCUCUCUCUGAGUACGAUCCAAAGUCUGAAGAUAGAGAUUGGCAGUUAGUAUGGAAGUGGAAAGGCCCUCAAAGCGUGAGAAUCUUCUUGUGGCAAGCGUUUCACGUUGGUUUGAAAACUAAGGCUGAGUUGGCUCGGCGGCACUUACCCAUCUCGCCUUGUUGUGAUCGUUGUAGGGCUGUGUGUGAAGAUAUUACGCGUGCUCUACGUGAUUGUUGGUUGGUUAAGCAGUUUUGGCUCAACAUUAUUCCGACAAGCAAACGUCACAGUUUCUUUAAUUCUCGGCUUCAUCUUUGGCUAUGCUCGAAUCUGGUUGUUAAUCGUAAGGUAGGGAAUGUUUCAAACUGGGCUGUUUUUUUUGGAGUGGCGAUAUGGCGGAUCUGGUAUUGGUGUAAUCAGUUUCUCUUUAACAAAUUGAUGUUAGACCCUUUGGCUUUGUUGGUGGAUGUCCAUACAAGAGCUGAGAAGAUUCACAAGCUUCAUAACCACCUGUUGCUCACUAGGAAUAUUAGGACUCACAUGUGGAUUUCUUGGCAUCCUCCUGAGUGGCCCUGGUGUACUCUGAAUACGGAUGGUGCUCACAAGUCUCACGGAAAUUCUACUGCAGGUGGUUUAAUUCGAGAUCACUUAGGACGUUGGCUAAUAGGCUUUGGGAUGAUGAUUGGUUCUUGCUCUAUUACUGUCGCGGAGCUCUGGGGCUUAUAUCAAGGGUUUCAGCUUGCAUGGAAUUCUGGUAUCCGUAGAUUGAAAGUUGAAACGGAUAGCCUUUGCGUUACUCAAUUGGUGGCUAGACCUUCGGUGGUGACCAAUGAAUAUGCUCCCUUGGUCCAGGCUAUAAAAGAUUAUCUCAAAUUGGAUUGGCAUGUUUCCAUUUCUCACAUCUACAGAGAAGCAAAUUUUGCUGCAGAUUAUAUGGCGAACCUCGCUUUUUCUAUUCCGCUAGGCUUUACUGUGUACCCUUCCCCCCCUUUGGGCGUUAGGGCUCUGUUAUUGCAUGACUCUUACGGGGUUUCUCACCCCCGUUCUGUUGUUCUCUAGCUCUUCUUAGAGCCCCAAUUAAUCAAAAAAAAAAAAAAUCAUUUCAACAAAAGUAUUAUUAUUAUUAUUAUUAUUAUUAUCAUCAUUAUUUAUUUUUUAAACUGGUUCAAAUGUGCUCUAUUUCAUUAUAUUCUUAGAACUUGAGUUAAACUUGAAAUUGUCACUCUCUUUGCACAAUUUAAGAGAGUAGGUUCGCAUCUCAAGGAAUUCUAUAUUUCAUAUUUGUCACGAGUAACAAACAAAAAAAAAAAAGAAGAAAAUCUAGAAAUUGUAAAUGGAAAAUAUGAGAAAUUUGAAAUUACCUGCAAAAUGAUUUUAUCCAGUCAAGAUGAGACGGUGAUCAUUCAAGAUAACGAAUAGAUUCCUUUCAAGAUUACAACUGGACAUGAGCUGACAGCAUUUUUUUUUUCUCUCUUUUUGAGCUUUUGAGAAGAACAGGAGAGCACGUUUUUUUUUUUUUUCAUUUUUUUCUUUUUUUUUGAUGCUAGGAGAGCACGUUAAUUAAACAAACAAACACCAAUCGACAAAAUUAUAAACGACAAGAACAAUUAUUUCAUUCAAGUUUAUGUGGUGAUAAUUCAAUAUAACAUUGGGGCACGAUGAGGAUGGUCAACAGACAAAUUACCAUCACAAUAAACGUGUCAAAUAAUUGCAGGUGCGCCCCGAAGAGAGGAAGAAUCUCCAAAUUAUCGGAUAAUGAUAGCAGAAUGGUAUUGCUUCAGAAGUAAUCUUGUAUUAAUUCUGAAUUUGUCCUGAGUACUGAAUUAAUAAUCAAUAAUUAUUUUACGUGGCCCUCAAAUAAUUGCUGUCUAUUUAUCUAAUGUUCAGGAUAAGCUCAGAUCAGCACCGGAUCCGUUUUCCAAUUUUUCUUCCCCAAAUUCUGUUUCUGUACACUGUAAGUAUUUUUCAUCCUCAUUUUCUUGUAUCCAUUUUGCGUGGCCCUCAAAUAAUUGCUGUCUAUUUAUCUAAUGUUCAGGAUAAGCUCAGAUCAGCACCGGAUCCGUUUUCCAAUUUUUCUUCCCCAAAUUCUGUUUCUGUACACUGUAAGUAUUUUUCAUCCUCAUUUUCUUGUAUCCAUUUUGCGUUAUGUCACCAUUUAUUUUCAUCUCGACAUUUGGUUUCAAUUAGAUCACCGGAGGAAAUACGAUGGGAAGAACACAGAUCAUCUCAAAGAGCACCGUCUGUGCAGCAAUUCACAAGGAACCAAACCUUAGAAUCGAUUUAACUCUAUGGGAUCUUAAGCUCAUUCAAUUUGAUACCAUUCAGAAAGGACUUCUCUUCCGCAAACCUUCAGAGGAUAACACCGAUACCAGCAGCUUGAACUUGAUCCACCACCUCAAGACCUCCCUUUCACGUACGCUAGACUACUUUCCCCCACUUGCCGGUCGCCUAGCCACCAUCGAGCAUCGUGAUGACAGCAACACAAUUUCUGUUUACAUAAAUUGCAACAAUGCCGGCGCAGAGUUUGUGCACGCCAUGGCCGAUGGAGUCUCUGUUGCAGAUAUCAUUACACCUGUUUAUGUUCCUAAUGAAACUGUUUACUCUUUUUUCCCACUAAAUGGAGUAACAAACUGUCAGUGUAUCUCCGAGGCCAAGCCGUUGCUUGGGGUUCAAGUGACAGAGCUUGUGGAUGGAAUCUUCAUCGCUUGCACUAUCAAUCACUCCGUUGUUGACGGCACUUCCUUUUGGCAUUUCUUCAAUUCCUGGUCUGAAAUCUCACGGGGUUCUGAUUGUAUUUCAAAAGUUCCAGUUCUCGAACGUGGGUUUCUCUCUGAAUCAGAAUAUUUUCCCAUUCGCCUCCCUCUCUGGAGCAUUGAACCUUCCGGAACUCGCACUCCACCGCCUAAUUUGCAACAAAGGUUUUCCACUUUACGAAGGAAAACGUUGCAAAACUCAAAGCAAAAGCCAAUGCUGAGAUUGGUAGUACCAACAAAAUCUCCUCUCUCCAAGCAAUCCUUUCCCAUAUUUGGCGAUCUGUUACUCGUAAUCGAUCUCUUGAUCCUGAUGAAGAAGUUCAUUUCAUGUUAGGAAUGGGAGUUAGACAAAGAUUGCAACCACCACUGCCACCAGAAUAUUUUGGAAAUGCAGCUCAGGUACUGGGAGAGUUCGCAUCCAUGAAAGCUUAACAUAUAGACUUUGUAAAUUAUUUUGAAUGCUUAACAUAUUUCUUUUAAUGUGAUCAAUAAAAGUUUUAAAAGCAGUCUAACAGAUUAAUGAUAAAUAAAUUUGUUUCAUAUUAAAAAUAAUUCUCGAUGACUUGAUAAUCCUGUGAAGAAGUUCCUUUCGAACUAUCGAUAGGAGUUAGAAUAAGAUUGCAACCAUCACUGCCGCCUGAUGAAUAUUUCGGAAAUGCAAUUCUAUAAAGCGGGAGAUCAAAUUGAAUAUGCGGCACUGCGAAUGAGCAAUGUUAGUGAAACUGAUAAAAUGUGAAGAACAGAGGAAACGAGUACAUGCUGUCACUAUGUAUUUGACAGCAGCUGAAUAGCUCACUCAGCUGACGUCGCUUAGUUAGUUAUUUUGAUUUAAGCAUUCUUCACAUGUGUGUAACAAAUUGCCAACAAUUAGUAACAAAUUGCCAACAAUUAGUAACAAGUUGCUUCACUUGCUAUAUAUAUGUAUAAUCUGUACUCAUUCGAUUAAUGAGAAGUUUUUACAAGUUUCCAUUAUGAGUUUUUCAUUCAUUUUCCUUUUAACUUUCUCGCUUCCCAAACACAAAUACUUGAGUUUCUAUCAUGGUAUCAGAGCCAUCAAUGGUGUUGUAAAAAAUUUUAAUAUACUCGUAAGCGCACAAAUGUAGAAUAAAAUAAUGGUAAUAAUGUCAAACCCACAGGGAUUAUUAUAAAUUAAAAAGUCUAAUUUAAAUAAAUUAAUAUUAAUUCUAACCUAGUUGAACAAAUUGAGUUUCUAAUAAAAUUACACCAAUUAAACUAAGAAAACAAUUAAAACAAAGGAGAAUUUAAUAAGACAAAAAUUACUAAUGUUUCAGAAUCCACCACUAAUCAACUAGUAAUUACCUAAUUAUUAAUUAAUCCCCAAUUUUAGAGUGACAACUCGAAAUCAAUUUAUAUCAUCUCAUGGAUAUAACAAUUAAGCCCAAAUAAAAUUAAUCUUGUGUUGGUUCUUUUUCUUCUUAAUAAUAUGAUAUCUAAGCAUCCCAUGUAAACAUAUUGAAUAACAAAGAGUCAAAGUUUUCCGAAGCACUCUGUGUAAACAAUUUAAUGAAAGACACAGAAUCAAAGAUAAUCAUGUAUAAAUUUUAAAGACUCAAGCAUAAAUUUAAUCGGAUAUUAAGUGUAACAAUCAAUAAUACAUGACAGAAUUGAUGAAAAGAUUUUAAUAACAUUCAACUAAUCAUGUGAAACACGAACCAUAAAUAUUAAAGAACAUAUGUAGAGAAUUAAUUAAAUAAAAAGAUAAUUAUUUCAUUAAAUAGAGUUUCAUCUUUAACCUCAGUAUAAAAAAAUUAGUUAGACACACUUAAAUAGAGAAUAACAAAUAAAAUAAAAUCAGCCAUGGAGAAGCCGAACUGUUGUUGCUGCUGCCACUCCUCUUCAAAGCCAAAUACUCCCUCUUUUUCUCUCGUUUGGCGGCUGCCCUCUCAAAAACCAAAGUUGGCUUUUUAUAAUGCUUAGCCACCCACUGACUUAACAAAGCCCACUCACCAAGCCCUUUUUAAAUUGUUUCCUUAUUAAGGGUUGAAAACUAGCCACACGUUUAACUUAAAAGUAAAAGGCCAAUUAAUAGUUUCUUCUUUUAAUGCCCUGCACAUGCAUUCCAAAUUGCCAAAUCUUUGCUUUCCAAAUGCAUGCCCACCAGUCAUUAUUUGAUGAGAUUGACUUCCAAUUUUGGUCUUCUUGACUUCCAUUAAUUCUUGACUGUAUUUUUGUCUUCUAAUUUAAUCUUUAUUCCUUCCCAAUUUGAACUUCUUCAUGCCUUUUUUAUCCUUAAUCUUCAAUUAAUUUCCUAUUGAAUAAAAUAAUUCAAUUAAUUAAAAGUAAAAAAUAAAAAUAACUAGUAAAUAUGUAAUUACGGGUAAAAUAUGUAUAUAAAUUAUGAUCAUCAAAUGGCAAGCAUGAUUCAAUCCAAUACAUCCUCCUCUCCUUCAAAUAAUUCCCUACCUCAUAUCCUUCCUGCACCUCCUCCCAUUGGUCAUCCUAUGACGACCAGAUCCAAGAAUGGCAUAUUCAAGCCAAAGUCUUAUCUAUGUGCUCUUUUAGCCUAAUCAUUUGAACUUUCCUCUGUCUCUCAAGCUUUAUCUGAUCCAUUAUAAUUCAAAGCCAUGCAAGAAGAAUUUCAAGCCUUACAAGCCAAUCACACAUGAGACUUGGUACUACCUACUGCUCAUGUUAAAGUGGUUGGUAACAAAUGUGUUUUUAGAAUAAAAUACAACCUGAUGGGUCAAUACUAAAGUACAAAGCACGACUGGUUGCUAAAGACUUCCAUCAGAUACAUGGUAUUGACUACACUGAAACCUUUAGUCUAGUAGUAAAAGCCUCUACUGUCAGUAUUACUGUUAUGAAUAAUUGGGUUCUUCGGCAAAUAAAUGUCAAUAAUGCUUUUCUAAAUGGUAUUCUUGAUGGGGAAGUGUAUAUGACACAUCUCGAAGGAUUUAUUGAUCCUCAUAAACCUUAGCGCAUAUGCAAAUUGAGGAAAGCUAUCUAUGGUUCGAAACAAGCUCCAAGAGCUUGGUUUGCCAGACUUAAAACAACAAUGCUUUCUUAGUGGCAUUUUUAGAGCUCUAAGUCAGACAAUUCACUCUUCUAUAAGAGAGAAAAUUGUCAUUUACUUUUGGUUUUGGUAUAUGUGGAUAAUAUUAUUGUUAUUGGUUCUAGCUCAGCGAAAGUUCAACAAGUAAUUCAAGAUAUGUAGAAGACUUUUGCCUUGAAGGAUCUAGGAGAACUCAACUAUUUUUUAGGCAUUGAAGUCUCAAAACUUCAAAAUGUCAUUCAUUUAUCCCAGGCUACGUACAUUGCUGAUAUUUUGGCAAAAGAUGACUUAGUUAAUUGUAGUCUAGUGCCAACACCUAUGUCUACAGGUCAGCAACUCACCAAAGACUCAGGUUCUGAAAUUUCAAAUAUUUCUCAGUAUAGAAGCAUUAUUAAGGCCCUAUAAUAUGUUACUCUCACUAGACCAGAGAUAGCCUUUACUGUCAAUAAGCUUAGCCAGUUUCUAUCUAAUCCUAGAACUACACAUUGGGAGGCUUGCAAAAGGUUGUUAAGAUAUCUAAAAGGCACAAUUCAUUUUAGUCUUCAAUUUUACAAUUGUGGAGCUAUGCAGAUCAACUCUUUUACAUAUUCAGACUGGGCUUGUGAUCGGGAUGAUAGAAAAUCAGUAGUUGGUUUUGCUGUUUAUCUAGGUGCCAAUCUGGUUUCAUGGUCAUCCACGAAACAAUUAGUUGUCUCAAGGUCCAGUACAAAAGCUGAGUACAGAGCUUUGGCUCAUGCUGCAUCAGAGGUCAUUUGGAUAUAGUUUUUACUUGUUGAGCUAAGAAUUCAGCUAAGUACUACACCAAUUAUGUGGUGUGAUAACCAGGGAGCAAUUGCCUUAGCUUAUAAUUCAGUUUAUCAUGCUAAAACAAAGCAUGUUGAGCUGGACAUUCAUUUCAUCAAAGAUAGAGUGGGAUCAAAAGAAAUAGUUAUUUGUUUUGUGCAUAGUGAAGAUCAAACAACAGAUGUCUUAACUAAGGCUCUUACUUUCACUUAGUUCCAUUACUUGCGCAGUAAAUAAAAUGUUUAUCCCAGAAACGCCAGUUCCAGAGGGGAUAUAAGUAAAGAUGAUAAUUUGUGAAGAAUAAAAGAAGGGAGUAAUGUGAAAAGCAGAAACUCCAGCUUAAGAGAGGAUGUUAGUGAAACUGAUCCCUUGGAGUCCUGGAGACAAAACCUUGUGGUCUUAACAUGGGAAAGCUAGAAGACGAAAUCUUAUUGGUUUCCAAAUAGUUCGUCGAGGUUCAAUAGCAAUGAGAAGUGGUAUAAGGAAUAAUGCUUAUGGAAAUAUCACUUUGUUUACAGGAGUGGAAGAAGGUAAUGUCGACAUUGAAGCUUGCUUUUUGCCGGAGACACAACAGGGUAUAGGACAUGAGACAUAGUUCAUGCCAUCUACGUGUUAACGUCUUUGGUGAUCCUAAAAUAUUACUUUCUAAUCAUUCAUUUACACGUUAUCACGUGUAAAUGAAUGGUAUCAUAAUUAGUUAAAAGCACACAAAUGAUAAAAAGUGAAUUCAUUACUAUAACUAUGCUUUAUUUAGGCACCUCAUGCAAUAAAUUAUUUCAUCUCAAAACUCAAUUUAAUAAUUAAUCCCAUGAACAUCCAUUCGUUAGAGCAUGACAACAAAAUUUAUGUAUGGCAUAUGUGGCAGAGCAUAAUAGUUGUAGAGAAAUGGAAAUUGAAAGGAAGGAGUUGGUAGCUUAUAACUGUGAUUCAAGUUUUUGCUUUAGAAUCUUUCAAAAAAAAAAAAGUUUUUGCUUUAGAAAUUUUUUGACUCGACCUAGUAAACUGGUCAAUACCUCACGUGCUCAUUAAACUAUCAAAUUUGGGGCCCAAUUUGAUGGGCCUAGUUGGUUGCAGUGUUGGGUCUGGUUAGUCUCAACAAAUACUGGUCGUAGCCUCGUAGGCAGUUCGCAUUAGAGAUUUAUAAUGAUUGUAAUGUGUGAAUGAGUAAUAGAAAGCUCUAUUUAUUGGCACAAGGAGUAACCUUUGUGCGGUUGUGCAGAUAAAAAGAGAAAACAUGUAGUGGGUUAUAUGAAAUUAAAAGUAAUAUGUUGUUAUAAACACAAUUAGAAAACUCCUGAUUUAAGCCAUAAAAGCCUUCAACUCAACACUAAAGUAUUCAGGGAACUACACUUAUGGUUUGAAUAGAAAUGCACAACCAUGGUUCUAAUACCAAUGGCUAAAAUAAUUUUAAGCUUUACGGCAAUGAAUCCAUUCAACAUAUUUCAUAAGGGAGAAAAACUGCAUUUUAUCUUGGUUGGCCAUGAAAAAGACUUGCUGGUCAGCUUGUUUCUUGCCCGUUAAUUCAACCUUUUGUUCUUGACUUCAAUCUCAACAGCAAAAUCAAGCUCCUCAUUCACUGCACACACACACAAUUAGGAGAAAGGAGAAAAAGAAAGACAGUGUAUAAUGGAACUGCAUUUUAAAGAAAUGUGUAGAAAACAAUCAAAACCUCUACAGAAUUCUUAGUAUUUUUGUCAACACAAUACUUCUUCUUUUAAAGACAUUUAUGCCAUAGUACAAAACCUUAGCCUACAAGAUUUGUACACACAAAAUGAAAAAAGAGCCAAGUAAUUCAUGAAUAAAAAACAUAGAGCAAAGAAGGGAUAAGUAACAUAAACACGCACACGAAAUUGGCACAGAUGAACAAAGAACGAGUUGCAAGCUCUUUAUUACCGAAAGAAACGAGCCCCAUAUCAUAUGAUCUCCCUACAAGCUUUACAAUGAGCUAUCAUAUGCUUUCUAACUCUCAAAGAUUAACAAGUUACAGGCCUUAGAAACUGCCCUCGUAAAUUCAUUUUACAGCUAAAUUUUCUUGCUAUUCAUGUGAUGAGCAUAUACUAUAUACAUAUUUUACCCUUAAUUAUAUAAUUGCUAAUUAUUUUUAUUUGAUAUUUUUAAUUAAUUAAUUAUUUUGUUGAAUAAAAAAUUACGUGGAGAUUAUGAAUAAAAAAAAGGGCAUAAAGGAGCUCAAUUUCGGAAGCAUUAAUUAAUUGAUUUUCGGAGCAAUUAGGCAUAUUUGCAUGUGAAGUCAAGCCAAGGAAACCAAAUUCAACAAAUUAAUUCAUCCAUGCACAUGAAGACAAAGAAGAUUAUGGCCAUCACGUGAGAAGCAAUCACCAUUAUUGUUAGCAUGUGCAUGGCAUUAAAAAAAGGGAUUCUAAUGCAAUUCUAAGUGGUGAACACGUGUGAGAGCAAAACAAAUUAAAAGGCCAAGCCUUUCGGCUUUAGAGUUGGAAUGGUUGGUGGCUCAUUUUGGAGAUUAUAAAAAGAAAUAUGAACUUUGGCUUUUAAGAGGCCAACCGCAAGAAGAGAAAAAAGAGUGCAACGUUAGGCAUUCGGCAGAGGAGAAAAUAGCGGCAGAAGCUCUUUAAUUCUUUUAUGGUUGGUUUUAUUUUAUUUGUUGCUCGCAAUUCAAGUAUGUCUAGCUAAUUUUAUUUUACUGAGGUUAAAGAUGAAACCUUAUUCAAUGAAAUAAUUAUCUUUUUAUUUAAUGAAUUCCCUACAUGCGUGUUUUAAUGUUUAUGUUUUUUUAUUUUACAUGAUUAGUUGGAUGUUAUUAAAUCUUUUCAUCAAUUCUGUCAAGCAUUAUUGAUUGUUAGGAUUAAUAUUCAAUUAAAUUUAUGCUUUGGUCUAUAAAGUUUUUAUAUUAUUAUCUUUGAUUCUAUAUCUUUCAUUAAAUUGUUUACAUAGAGUGCUUAGGAAAAUUUUGACCCUUUGUUAUUCAAUAUGUUUACAUAAGAUGCUUAGAUAUCAUACUAUUAAGCAGAAAAGAACCUACAUUAGAUUUAAUUACUUGGGCUUAAUUGUUAUAUUCAUAAGAUGACAUAGAUUGAUUUCGAGUUGUCACUCUAAAAUUGGGGAUUAAUUAACAAUUAGAUAAUUAUUAAUUGAAUAGUGGUGGAUUCUGAAACCUUGAUAAUUUUUGUCUUAUUAAAUUCUCUUUUAUUUUAAUUGUCUUAGUUUAAUUAGUUUAAUUUAUGUUAAAACUUAAUUUGCUCAACUAUUUUAGAAUUAAUAUUAAUUUUAGAUUUAAAUUAGACUUUUCAAUUUAUAACAAUCCCUGUAGGUUUGACCUUAUUACCACUAUUCUAUUUUUAAAUUCGUGUGCUUGCAAGUAUAUUAAAAUUUUUCACAAUAAGUUUUUGGCGUCGUUACCGGGGAUUGUGCCAGAAAGUCAGUUUAAUCUAGAUUGAUUUGUUUUUUCCACUAGUUAUAAUUUAAGUUGUCUUUUAUUUUUAUUUUAUUUUUUUAAUAGAAAACACAAAAAAAUAUUUAUUUGUCUUUAAAUUUAUUGUUUGGUUGUUUGAUUUGUUUUAUUUUAAAUUCCGUUUAUUUUUAUUAUUGUUGCUUUAUUUUCCUUUCUUUGUCUAGUUAGUUUAUGAGUGUUUGGGAACGCGAUUCAACAAAUCGUUUGGUAAGAAAAGAGUCUAAAAUUGAUAGUAGUCGAGUUAGUUCUUCAAAAGUGAUGAAUGACCCAAAUAGAAUAUUGUCAGUACUUCCACCAGUGCAAGCAGAGAAAAUCCUUAGAGAAUGUUUUUCACCACUUGCAGCCAACCAACCAUCUUGUAUUGUGUUGCCACAGACUACAGCAACACACUUUAAACUCAAGCCCUCUGUCAUUUAGCUUUUACCAUCUUUCCAUGGGUUAGAGAGAGAGGACCCAUAUUUGCACAUUAAGUACUUUUUUGACAUGUGCUCUACAUUCUAUUUUCAAAAUUUUAAUGAUCAGUCAAUUAGGUUUCGUAUGUUCCCUUUCUCAUUAAAAGACAAAGCGGAAGCUUGGUUGAAUUCACUUCCUGCUGGGUCUAUUACUACAUGGGAUGAAUUAAGUAAUAAGUUCUUUACCAAGUUUUUCCCUAUGUCUAAAACAAAUGUCAUUAGGAGAGAGAUAAAUGAUUUUUGUCAAAGAGAGGGUGAACAAUUUUAUGAGUGUUGCGAAAGAUUCAAUGAUUUACUCCUCAAGUGUCCCCACCAUGGUUUUGAGAAAUUGAGACUUAUACAGUGCUUUUAUAAUGGUUUAACUAUGUCAAAUCAUCACAUGAUAGAGUCUGUGAAUGGUGGGAGAUUUUUUAAUUUACAUAAGGGGCUGCUUGAGAUUUCUUUAUUUUACUUUUUGAGAAUUCUCAACAAUGAGAUUUUUCAAAUCAAAGAAAAAAAUGAUCUCAAGUUUCUAGGAAAGUCUAUAUGAAGUUAAUGAUGAUUUUGAUGUUAAGGUCAUUCUAGCUACACUUUCUAAGAAAAGUAGAUACCUUAACUCUGAACCAAUCAAUGAAUCAUCACCCUAGUGUACCUAAUGAGGUUUGUACUCUUUGUUCUAACUUGUCUCAUACAGCACAUAAUUGUCCAUCAUUGCCAGCCUAUCAAGAGGCUUAUUCUGAGCAAGUACACGCCUUACAAUCAUAUGAAAAAAACCUUCAAUAGUCCAUAUUCAUCCACAUAUAUUCUUAAUUGGAGGAACCACCCUAAUUUUUCUUGGAAACAAAGUCAGCCUUUAUCAAACUAAGGAGGACAACAAUUCAACGUACCCAAUCAACAAUUUGUCCUUACUAACCAAGUAUAUCCUCCUGCCCAACAGCCUGUGUCUCAAUUUGUUACACCUUAGCAAAGAAAACCUUCUUCAGAUGAUACACUUCAAAGUUUCAUUCAGUCAACCCAACAAGCUUUUCAGUCAAACACUCAAGCUAUUCUAAAGCUUGAACAUCAAUUGGGUCAAUUAGCAACUGCUAUGGCUGAGAGAAAAAAAUGAAAAUUCCCAAGUCAACCAGUUCUUAAUCCUAAAUGAGUGCAUAAAGUUGGAUCAACUUCAAGCCAUCAGUAUAAAGAAGCAAAAUCUAUUAUGACCUUGAGAAAAUGAAAAAUAUUUGACAAUAAGGUGGAGGUUCGAACAAGAAAGACAUCUGAACCUACUUCUGCAUAUCCAGUUCCAUCACAAGACUCAUCACUAAAUGAUCCAGAAGAAAGUAAUCCACCAGCUUACAUUCCUAAGGCUUAUUUUCCUUAAAGGUUAACAAAGGUAAAGAAAGAGACUUCAACAUGUGAGAUUAUAGAAAUCUUCAGGCAUGUAAGUAUAAUCAUCCCUUUACUCGAUGGUAUUAAGCAAGUUCCUCAUAUGCCAAGUUUUUGAAGGAUUUAUGAACUAAAAAAAGAAAUUUGCAUGUCACCAAAAAUGCAUUUUUAACUGAACAAACUAGCAAUUUACUUCAAUAUAAAAUGCCACCAAAAUUUAAGGAUCCAGGUUCCCCUACUAUCUCAUGUGUUAUAGGGAACCAAUUGUUUGAUAAAGCAUUAUUGGAUUUGGAUGCAAGUGUUAAUCUCUUGCCUUACUUUGUUUACAUGCAGCUUGGAUUACAUAAAUUAAAGUCAACUUCCAUUAUUUUGCAACAUGCAGAUAGGUCAAUGAAAAUACCUCAUGGUAUUAUAGAGGAUGUGUUGAUACAGAUUGAUAAAUUUUAUUAUUUUGUUGACUUUAUUGUUAUUGAUACUCAGCAUGUACAAGAUCCUAAGAAACAUACCCCAGUUAUUUUAGGUCGUCCUUUCUUAGCUACAGUUGAUGCUCUUAUUAAUUGCAGGAAUGGAAACAUGCAAUUAUCUUUUGGUAACAUGACCAUGGAAUUAAAUAUUUUUAAUGUUCCUGAUAACUCUAUGAAAUGAGAGUUAUUACAUCAAUUCUAAACUUAAAUCAAGAUCACUUAGAGAACAAAUAAGGUGUUUUUAUUACAUUUUGGUUAUAUUUUGCAUAAACAUUCAUUUUAGUUAAGUUUUAAUAAGUUUUGUUUAAAUCAAAGUAAUUGGUGCUAAAAACAGUUGCAUAAUUGUAGGUUUUCAGAAAGUCUUAAUUCAUGAGAGGAUGGUGAGACAUUAGAUGAGCAAGGGGAGGAAAGAAGAUAGCCGCAAAAGAAGUAAAGCACAAUCGAGAAUAGUACAGUGUUGUAGCGGAUGUUAAAGCAACCAGUGGUAUAACAAUCUGGGAGCAAUGCUGGAGAAAAUUUAGGCACGGGUCAGCUGCAGAAUCGCGAUUUGCAUGUUUCCUAAUUUAACUCAUGCACGCUUAUGGACUUUUGUUUUACUCUAGUUUGCAGUAUAAAAGAUAGGCGUGCACCACAUAAAGAGGCGACAAGAGGAAUUAUCAUAAAAAAUCAUUAGAGAGAAAAAGAGAAGAAGAUCAGAAUUAAAGAGUGUUGUUUCGGCAACAUUGAGGAAUCUGGCAGAAUUAUUCGAAUUUGUCUUUCACUAUGGUCAACUGAUAUUUAUCUUCUUCUUUUGAUUGUUUUAAUGUAUCCCGUGAACAACAUAUUUAUGUUUGUUUUUCUUAUUCAGAAUAUGAACUAGAUUUGCUUGUAGUUGAGUGACAAACAAUCCAAUGGGUUCUUGACUGUUCUUAUGUGUUGUUAUGUCAUUGCUGUAGCAUUAUACUCUAGUAGUUAUUAUUAAUAUAACUGUUAUUUCGGUUGACCACCCAUUUAAUAGUUCCAGUUAAGAUAGAGCAGCAAAAAUGCAUGUCUUAGCGGACAUUAUUAGAGUAUUACUUGAUCUUAAGUUAAGUUUCCUAGAUUAAGUUAUCUUGAAUCCCAUAAGGGCAAUACUUGAAGUUAAGAUUUGUGACACACUAGACAUAGGUGCUCACCUUGUAGGGUGGAGAGAUAAAAAAAGAUCAUAAAGCCAUAUCAUGAGUAGAUUAGCAACUGGUCAUUGCUAGUGUAUUUAAGGGUAUGAGAGUUCCAAUAUGCAACAGCUGAGGAUGCAGAUUAAUUCCGCCCAGUACUGCAGCACUUGCUGUAACAAUUGGAGUCCACUUGAUGAAAAACAGUCAGCCCAUAAGGAGAGUUUGAUCAUUCAACUACCAUGUUCUUACUUGAAUCUUAGACACAUUUAGUUUAGUUUAUUUCAUUGUGGUUUUGUUUAUUUUAUUCUCUCACAAUCAUUAAUUACGAUAGAACACAUUUUACGUUUGUUAACUUCGGAUUUGAAUUAGUUUGCACUAUUGUGAUUGCUACAAUAUUUUUGGUAACAUCAAUCCCUGUGGAGACGAUCUUGAAUACUCAUCACUUUAUUACUUGUUGUGUACACUUGCACAUUGACAAUAAUAGCUUUUGAUUAUAAAAUCAACCAACAAGUUUUUGGCGCCGUUGCUGGGGGUUGAUUAUUUAUUUUUGAAGUGUUAAGUAAAUCUUGAUAGCACCAAAUUUGAUUUAAUUCAUUCUAUUUAUUGGCAGAUCAAUACUUGCAUGCGCAAAGACAGAUAUGUGAUGUUUCAGUUCGAUCCUGAGAUUGAAAUGACUGUUAGGAGAUUGCGAAGAGAACAAAGGAAGUCAAAAACUGUUUCAAGCAUGAAUAAUUUACAGGAUGAGGGAAAUUGAACCUUCACGGGCCCUUACAACCAGUUAACAUUCAAGAAGAGCAGAAUGAACAUGCUAACGAGAGACAACCAGGCAAUAACAAUAUUAUUUACAUGGCUAAUGACAGAGACAGAGCUAUUAGAGAUUAUGCUGUGUUAACUCCUCAAGUUGUACACCUUGGGAUAAUCAGACCUGAAGUAGAAGUUGUAAAUUUUGAGUUGAAGCCAGUGAUGUUUCAAAUGUUGCAAACAGUUGAUCAAUUAAAUAGAUUACCAAAUGAAGAUCCUCAUCUCCAUCUUAAGUUGUUCUUGGAAGUGAGUGAUGCUUUCAAGAUUGCUGGAGCAACACAAGACGCCUUAAAGCUGAGACUUUUUCCUUAUUUCUUAAGAGAUCGAGCAAGAGCAUGGUUAAAUUCGUUACCAUCUGAUUCCAUCACUACAUGGAAUGAGUUGGCUGAUAAAUUCCUAAUGAAAUAUUUUUCACUGACAAAAAAUGCAAAGUUGCGGAAUGAGAUAACUUCUUUUCAUCAACUUAAAGAUGAAAGUUUGUACGAGGCUUUGGAAAGAUUCAAAGAAUUGCUCAGAAGGUGUCCUCAUCAUGGCAUUCCUUGUUGCAUUGAAUUGGAAACUUUCUACAAUGGGUUGAAUCCAAGUACAAGGUUAAUGGUGGAUGCUUCAGCAAAUGGAGCCCUGUUAUCCAAAUCUUAUACUGAAGCUUAUGAAAUUCUGGAGAGAAUUGCCAAUAAUAAUUAUCAGUGGCCAUCAACCAGGCAACCAGCAGUAAGAGGAUCAGUAGGGGUACAUAACAUAGAUGCAAUUACAGCCUUAUCAGCACAAGUAACCUCAUUGACUAACAUGGUAAAGACCAUGACAUCUGCUCCAACAGUAGUGAAGCAAGUUGCGGAACUUUCUUGUGUAUACUGUGGUGAAGGACACGACUUUGAUAAUUGUCCUGGAAAUCCAGCAUCAGUAACUAUGUGGGUAAUUUCAAUCGACAGCCUCAGAACAACCGAUAUUCAAAUACUUACAACCCUGGAUGGAAACAACACCCAAAUUUCUCAUGGAGUAGUCAGAAUCGAAAUGCUCCAGCAGUAAAUGGACAAAAUAGGAACACUCAACCAUCUGGAUUUCAUCAGCAGAGUCAGGGGAAAAAACAUAGCAAUCAGGAUCCAAUCAUUUCACUGGAAGCAUUGAUUAAAGAGUACAUUACAAAGAAUGAAGCAAUUGUGCAGAGUCAAGCCGUAUCCUUGAGGAACCUGAAAAAUCAAAUGGGACAACUUGCCACAGCAAUGAGUAGCAGGACUCAAGGAAGUUUACCUAGCAACACAGAAGACCCUAGGAGAGAGGGUAAAGAACACUGCAAAGCAAUUAAUUUGAGAUCUGGAAAAAAUGUUGAUAUCCCAAUUGAUGUGAUUAACAAGGGUAAGGAAGUUAAUUCCUCACAAAAACCACCUCAAGAUGGAAGCAUGUUACAACAACCCAACCAUCAAAACACUAGUUACAUGGGCCAAGCUACAGCAACUGCAGAGGGAGUUCAAUCAGAACAUGUUGAAAAAGAAGUUGCAACACCAGUAGCCACGACCUACACCAAACCAAACAAACAGAGUUUGGUACCUCCUGAAGCUACCCAGCAGUUUAGACAUCCACCACAUUUCCCACAGAGAUUCCAGAAGCAAAAACAAGACAAGCAGUUCAGUAAAUUCCCGGAAGUGCUGAAACAAUUACACAUAAAUAUACCUUUUGUGGAAGCCUUGGAGCAAGUGCCAAAUUAUGUGAAAUUUCUAAAAGACAUCUUGGCACGAAAGAGAAUGCUGGGAGAGUUUGAAAUUAUUGCUUUAACACAGGAAAGCAGUCAUAUGCUCCAAAGUAAGAUUCUUACAAAAGUGAAAGAUCUAGGAAGUUUUACAAUAUCAUGCUCUAUAGGAACUAGGUAUACUGACAGAGCACUUUGUGCUUGGGAGCUAGUAUUAAUUUAAUGCCAUUAUCUGUAUUUAAGCAGCUGGGAGUAGGGGAAUACAGACCAACAACAGUCACUCUGCAAUUAGCUGACAGAUCUCAUGCAUACCCUGAAGCAAAAAUUAAGGAUGUACUGGUGAAGGUGGACAAAUUCAUCUUCCCAGUAGACUUCAUUGUACUAGACUUUGAAGCUGAUAAAGAGGUGCCCAUUAUACUUGGAAAACCUUUUCUAGCAAUUGGAAAGACUUUGAUAGAUGUGCAAAAAGGAGAGCUCACCAUGAGAGUAAAUGAUCAGCAAGUCACAUUUAAUGUACUAGAGGCUAUGAGAAGUCCUGAUGAAGUAGAAGAUUACAAUUUCCUAAGUGUUGUGGAUUUUGUUAUAGCAGACAGAAUGGACAAAUGCUGCAGUAAUGAAAUCAACAAAGUCACCACCUUUGAGAAUGUAGAAGAGGAAGAUGUUGUAGAAAAUCAGAUAGAUUGGAUAAAAGAAAAGAAAUUUGAUAGGCACAACAGGUUUAUUGAGCAUCUGAAUCUUUCAGACAGGAAAGUAAAAAUAACUUUACCAUCUAUUGAAUCACCUCCUAGUCUUGAAUUAAAAUUGUUAUCUUCACAUUUGAAGUAUGUUUAUCUUGGUCAAAACAACACACUCACUGUGAUCAUUUCUUCUACUUUGGAUGCAGGUCAAGAACAGAGUUUAGUAGAUUUGUUGGGAAAAUACAGAAGAGCAAUUGAAUGGACCAUGGCAGACAUCAAGAGGAUAAGCCCAUCAAUAUGCAUGCAUAAAAUCCUGUUAGAAGAUUGCUACAGCAAUUCGGUGGAGCAUCAGAGAAUGUUGAACCCUAUUAUGAAAGAAGUGGUGAAGAAGGAAAUCAUCAAAUGGUUGGAUGCUGGACUCAUAUACCCAAUAUCAGACAAUUCGUGGGCGAGCCCAGUUCAAUGUGUUCCAAAGAAGGGAGAGAUAACUGUGAUAGUUAAUGGGAUGGAUAACUGUGAUAGCUGAUGAGAGAGAUGAACUUAUUUCUACAAGAACAGUGACUAGAUGGAGAGUAUGUAUGGAUUACAGGAAGCUCAAUAAAGCCACAAAGAAAGACCACUUCUCACUCCCAUUCAUAGAUCAGAUGUUGGACAGACUUGUUAGAAAACAAUACUAUUGUUUCCUAGAUGGGUAUUCAGGCUACAACCAGAUUGCUAUAGCUCCAGAAGAUAAGGAAAAGACUACAUUUACUUGUCCUUAUGGAACAUUUGCCUUCAGAAGAAUGCUCUUUGGGUUGUGCAAUGCUCCAGCAACUUUUCAGAGAUGCAUGAUGUCUAUUUUUUCUGAUAUGGUAGAACAAACUUUAUAAGUUUUCAUAGAUGACUUUUCAGUUUUUGGAGAGACAUACAAUGAUUGUUUACACAACUUAGAAGAAGUUCUUAAAAGAUGUGAGAUGACUAACUUAGUACUUAAUUGGGAAAAAUGUUAUUUCAUGGUGCAAGAAGAAAUAAUGUUGGGUCAUAAGGUGUCCAAGAAAGCCAUUGAGGUAGACAAAGUCAAGAUAAAGGUAAUAAAUAAACUGCCACCCCCCACUCAAUAAAGGGUAUAAGGAGUUUUUUGGGCCAUGCUGGAUUUUACAGAAGAUUCAUUAAGGAUUUUUCCAAGGUAGCUAAACCAUUAUGCUCAUUGCUGGAACAUGACAAGCCCUUUCACUUUGACAAAGAUUGUCAUCAAGCAUUUGGAGAAUUAAAGAAAGCUCUUAUCACUACUCCAGUUGUUAUAUCUUUAGACUGGACGUUACCAUUUGAAUUGAUGUGUGAUGCUAGUGAUCAUUCUAUUAGAGCAGUAUUAGGACAAAAAAAGGAUAAGGUUUUUCACUCCAUAUACUAUGCAAGCAAAACUCUUACUCAAACUCAAAUCAAUUACACCACUACAGAGAAAGAGUUGCUAGUAGUAGUAUUUGUUUUUGACAAAUUCAGGGCCUACUUGGUGGGUACUAAAGUGAUUGUAUAUACAAACCAUGCAGCCAUCAAAUACUUAAUUUCAAAGAAUGAUGCCAAGCCAAGAAUAAUCAGAUGGAUCUUAUUGCUUCAAGAAUUUGAUCUGAAAAUUAAAGAUAGAAAAUGGACUGAGAAUCAAGUAGCAGACCACCUGUCACGGCUGGAAGCAAAUACAAGUACAUUGACAAGAAAUGACAUCACUGAAACUUUUCCUCAUGAACAGCUGUUGGUAGUACAACAAGCACAUAUGCUGCAGUUAGGAUCUCCAUAGUAUGCAGAUUUUGCUAACUACUUGGUAAGUGGAUUGCUACCACCUGAGCUGAAGUUCCAAGAGAAAAAGAAAUUUCUUUAUGAUGUAAGAAGUUAUCAGUGGGAUGACCCACAUUUAUAUAAGUUGUGCUCAGAUCAAGUAAUACGAAGAUGUGCUGCAGAAGGAAAGAUUCCCCACAUACUGGAGUCAUGCCAUGCUGCAGCAUAUGGAGGACAUUUUGGUGGUCACAGAACAGUUGCUAAAGUUCUGCAAUCAGGUUAUUACUAGCCUACCAUUUUUAAAGAUGUUUAUGAAUUUGUUAAAUGUUGUGACAGGUGUCAAAGGACAGGGAACAUAACUAGAAGACAUGAAAUGUCAUUGACCAACAUUCUAGAAGUGGAAGUUUUUUAUGUAUAGGGAAUAGAUUUCAUGAGACCUUUUCAACCAUCCUUUGGGAACUUGUAUAUCCUUGUUGCUGUGGAUUAUGUCUCCAACUGGGUAGAGGCUGCAGUAUUACCUACCAAUGAUGCUAAAGCAGUGGUGGUUUUUCUUCAGAAAAAUAUUUUUUCCAGGUUUAGCACUUCUAGAGCAAUUAUUAGUGAUGAGGGUACUCAUUUUUGCAACAAAGUCUUUGCUGCAGCUAUGGUAGAAUAUGGAGUCAGACACAAGGUAGUAACAACAUAUCACUCGUAGUUCAAUGGUUAGGCUGAAGUGUCCAACAGAGAAAUUAAAAAGAUCUUAGAAAAAGUGGUGAACCCAACAAGGAAUGAUUGGUCUUUGCAAUUACAUGACUCUCUAUGGACCUACAGAACAGCAACAAAACUCCACUUGGCAUGUCUCCUUACCGAAUUGUUUAUGGGAAGGCUUGUCAUUUGCCACUAGAGCUAGAGCAUAACGCACACUAGGCACUGAAGAAAUUAAAUUGGGACAUUCAUGCUGCAGCAGAGCAAAGAAAGCUUCAACUUUGUGAGCUUAAUGAAUUACGACUAUUUUCAUAUGAAAAUGCUAGAAUCUAUAAAGAAAGGACAAACCACUGGCACGACAAGCAUAUUCAACACAGACAGUUCAGCCCUGGUCAACUAGUGCUGCUCCACAAUACAAGACUAAGAUUAUUUUCAGGAAAGCUAAAAUCACGAUGGUUUGGAAUUUUUAGGCUGUUAAAAUGUUAUCCUCAUGGAGCUGUUGAUCUUUUAGAUGAAAAACAGGUCACAAAUUUAAAGUUAAUGGACACAGGGUUAAGCAUUACAUACACCCAGCAACAGAUUGUUCAAAGGAGGUUUUACUCCUUAAAGAACCCAGCUAUUGAGCAGUGAAAGAAGGUCAGGCUGAAGGACCUUAAAUCAAGCGCUCCAUGAGAGGCAACCCAUUGUGGAGAUAGCCACUUCAAACCAAGUUUGAUCAUCUUUGGUUUUGUUAAUGGUUCUCCCUCUCUUCCAUUUUAUUUAAUCUUGUUCUUUAAUUUAAGUUACUUAGUUUUAUCUUUUCACAUUAUUGCAUUUUUUUUAUGUUGCUAUCAUUUGAUCUCUUUAUUUUUAAUUAUAUUUUUAGAAUCGAUUUUAGUUUUUGUGGUAAGUAUGAGUGGCAUUAGAUUUUCAUUUUAACCAGUGGGGUUGUAUGGUGACAGAGUGCAGAGGCAAGCCACGUGUCAAAGAGCAUUGGAGGGACGUAUGUAACCGUUGCUAGAGCAAGCAAGUGUGUGCUGCAACACCCAAUAUUACCAUUACAGUAAAUUAAAAAUUAGAGCCUCUCACUUACCGUUGGAGAUAAAUCAUGACAGAUGGCAGCAUGGAUUUGGAUAGCAAUUGCGAAGAAAUCUCCUAAAUUAAUGCAUUAAUUUCGCUGGCCUAUGUUUUAGGGAUAUACAUAUUAAAUUCAAAAUAUUUUCUUCCCUUAUUUAUCUAUAGUUACCGGAUUUAUCUUCACUUAAAGUUCACUAUAAAAGGGAGUCACUGUGCGUAGUGAUCUACGGCACUAUUCCCCAUCUCCUUCGCAAAUACAACUUUCAUAAUUCUUAACCUCUUCUUCUCAUUUUACCAUCAGAUUGUUACUGCUAUAGCAAUGCCAAGGUAUAAGAAAAUAACCAGCCGCCUCAAAGAUCCUUCACACUUCCAGAGUUACCACGCCAAAGAAAAAUAUGAAGAAUUUAUAGAGCCGCGUAAGAUUCUAGAAGAAAAAAGGGUUUCAAUUUCCAGAGCGACUCAUCGGAAUUGUGCAAACAAUACACAAUGCUGCAGCAAAUGGUGGAUGGUUGGACUUUUGCAACCACCCUCGAAAUCCUGUGCUACCGGUAGUCAAGGAAUUUUACGCCAAUUUGGUAAGCCCUGAUCAGCACAACAUUUGGGUAAGAAACACACUUGUUCCAUUAGACUCCCGCGUUAUAAAUGCUUUUUAUAAUUUACUUGCUGAAAUUAAUUGUGAGUAUACCAAGUUGCUUGAUAAAUUGACCCCAAAGAAAUGGAACACCAUCUUCACAACUCUUACAAUUGAAGGGGCAUCAUGGGCUAACGAGGAAGGGUGUGUAGUUAAUAGGAUAGAUUUGAAACUUAUUGUUAAGGUGUGGGUGAAAUUUUUAAAAUCUAGGCUUAUGCCAACCACUCAUACUACUACGGUUUCACAAGAGAGGUUGGUCUUGUUAUAUGUCAUUGUUCGAGGGCUUCUCAUAGAUGUAGGUAGCAUCAUCGAAAAAGAAAUCAGGGACUAUGCAGUUAAGAAUCACAAAACUAAUGCUCUGCUAUUUCCUUCGCUCAUCACCAGCAUUUAUGUAGUAUCCGGUGUUCGUCUUGACGUGAGAAAUGACCAUAUCAAGAAUGAUGGUGCCUUUACGACACGUACCAUUGAGAGAGUUGCUGGUGAGAGUGCUGGAACAACAACUGAACCAACUACUGUAAUAGGAGCAAGACGAGUUAUUGGUUUAGAACAAACAAUUCAGGCGCUCAGCAAAGCUCAGCAGAGGGAAAAUGAUUGGUUUUGGAGCUAUCUACAGCACCUGAACAACCAACUACACUAAUUUGCUUUGUACAUGAAACGCACUCACCGGAACUUCCCUGAUUCAUUGCUCCAGCAAUACAAUUUUGACACCAACACCACAGGUGCUCCAGCAGCAGCCAGUGAAGAAGCCACUGCCACAGAUGAACCAGAAGAAGAAGCUGCAGUCGAACCACAAGCAGAGGUAGAAUCAGAAGAUGCUGAAACAUCUGAUCAACCUGAGGAAGAAGGUGACAAGUUUGCAACUGAUAGCUCACCCACAGAGGCAGAGGACAACUCUGAGAAAGAACGUGAGGAACUUUCCAUUCCAACUCAUUCCAAAACCAGGAAAAGACACAUCAUUCAAGAAGAGGAAGAGGAAAACCCUUAAAAGGAACCUUUCAUUCCAGUCCUUACGGGCAAGGGCAAGGGCAAGGGCAAGGUAAAAAUAGCAACACCUCCAGCCUCUGAAGAUGAAAUAGAGCAAAUCGAUGCAGAGCUGGCUGCUGCAGUAACCAGAGUUACGCCUACACCUGCAGAAGCCAAGCAGCUACUUGAUAUCAUUGCUGCCAUCACAGCUGAAGGUCAGGCAGCUGAUGCCUCAACUCCAAUUCCUCCACAGAUGACUCCUAGCCAACUUGUUCGUACCAGUCCACGAUAAUCCAGUAAAAGAAAAGGCAGUACGUUUAAAGGCACUGCUACAACAGCCUCGCCUCAACCAAAACGGACCAGGUCGGUGUCAACUACACAACCUACCCCAGCCGCAACUCCUCUCGCCAGCCCAGUGACGAAAAAGACAAAGACAUUGCCAGUCACUUCCCCACAAGUUUCACCAAAGGAUAAGCUGCGCAGUGCAUCCAAGAAACGCUAAUAUCAUCCCGUCAUUUGCAGCAGUCCCAACCACAUGGAAGUAUCCCUACCUUGCUAGUUAAUUUAUUGUUAAAAAAAAAACUUUUCUUUCAGUUUUAUUGUUAAAAAAAAACUUUUAUUUCAGUAUGUUUUUCAAAUUUUGUGGUAUUUUCUAAUGUCUUCCAUGUCCUUGUCCACUUGUGUGCCUUUGUUAUGUAUGCUUGUGAGGACAUAGCAACUCUCAAGUUGGGGGGGUUGUGUUUCCAAAUGUUUGUGUUUAUGUGUAUGCUUGUGUUGUGUGUUGUGUGAAGCUCUGUUAUCUAAUAUUUGUGUAUGGAUUUGAAAACCUAAUGAAGAUAUAUUGAGUGUUAUUCAAAAUUUAUGAGAAUGCCAAGUAGAGAUAGUUAUAGAUGGAGGUUGAAAUUAUGUCCUGACACUUAGACUUUGGUUGAAUUGUAUGAGAUUGCUAGAGCAAAGCCAAAAGAAUGGAAAAGAUCUUAAGUUUGGGGGGGAAAAUAAGUUGAUUGACUGUGAUAUCUAUGUAAUAAACUCUGUUUCAAUAGCUCAAGUUGCUGAAUAACCAGAUAUGAGUAUGUACCCCAUAUGUAGAAUUGUGUUCAAAGGUAGCAAGAGUUAUGAGCAAUGCUGUAGCAUUUUUAAAAAAAAAAUCCUAUGUCUAAGGCAUUGAGUAGUCAGGUCUGUUCAUGAGCCCCAUGUUCAGCCUUGAAUAAAAAAUAUCUCUAGAUAAGACUAUAUUACAGAUAUUGCUACAGCAACUCUGAUCUGUGCAUGGUUUGAGUAAUUGGGUGUCAUCAUUACAAUUGAUUGACAUUCACAUGAAAAAUAAAUGUUGCAAUGAGGAAGUUGAAUACUCUCCAGUUUCUCAAUCUUAAAAUCAUCACAGUUCGAGUAUGUGAAAUUUAUGCUGCCCCAUAUAUGAUGAAGUUUUAUCACUGCUGAAAUUCAUGCAGUCUCUUAGUGAUGUUAUAGCAUCUCUGGAAUACAAUCAAAGUAGCACACACACACACAAUGGACAGAAAGAAGCUUAAGCCUAGAACUGAUUUACUAUAGUCACGUUGCAUGAUUGGGAUUGUGAUCUGAAGGUGGAAGAAUCCUUGCAAAUUUGAUAAAAGAACUAAAGUUAUUUUGCAUGAUUGUUUGUGUGAAGUAUUAGUAUGUUGUCAUUACUUGAGGACAAGUAAUGGUUUAAGUUUGGGGGUGUGAUAACUCUAGGAAAUGAGAGUUAUUACAUCAAUUCUAGACUUAAAUCAAGAUUACUUAGAGAACAAAUAAGAUGUUUUUAUUACAUUUUGGUUAUAUUUUGCAUAAACAUUCAUUUUAGUUAAGUUUUAAUAAGUUUUGUUUGAAUCAAAAUAAUUGGUGCUAAAAACAUGUGCAUAAUUGUAGGUUUUUAGAAAGUCUUAAUUCAUGAGAGGAUGGUGAGACAGUGGAUGAGCAAGAGGAGGAAAGAAGAUAGCUGCAGAAGAAGUAAAGAACAAUCGGGAAUAGUGCAGUGUUGUAGCGGAUGUUAGAGCAACCAGUGCUAUAGCAAUCUGGGAGCAAUGCGGGAGAAAAUUUAGGCGCGGGUCAGCUGCAGAAUCGCGAUUUGCAUGUUUCCUAAUUUAACUCAUGCACGCCUAUGGACUUUUGUUUUACCCUAGUUUGCAGUAUAAAAGAGAGGCAUGCACCACAUAAAGAGGCGACAAGAGGAGUUAUCAUAAAAAAUCAUUAAAGAGAAAAAGAGAAGAAGAUCAUAAUUGAAGAGUGCUGUUUCGGCAACAUUGAGGAAUCUAGCAGAAUUAUUCGAAUUUGUCUUUCAUUGUGCUCAACUGAUAUUUAUCUUCUUCCUUUGAUUGUUUUAAUGUAUCCCGUGAACAACAUAUUUAUGUUUGUUUUUCUUAUUCAAAAUAUGAACUAGAUUUGCUUGUAGUUGAGUGACAAACAAUCCAAUGGGUUCUUGAUUGUUCUUAUGUGUUGUUAUGUCAUUGCUGUAGCAUUAUACUCUAGUAGUUAUUAUUAAUAUAACUGUUAUUUCGGUUGACCAUCCAUUUAAUAGUUCCAGUUAAGAUAGAGCAGCAAAAGGGCAUGUCUUAGCGGACAUUAUUAGAGUAUUACUUUAUCUUAAGUUAAGUUUCCUAGAUUAAGUUAUCUUGAAUCCCAUAAGGGCAAUACUUGAAGUUAAGAUUUGUGACACACUAGACAUAGGUGCUCACCUUGUAGAGUAGAGAGAUAAAAAGGGAUCAUAAAGCCAUAUCAUGAGUAGAUUAGCAACUGGCCAUUGCUAGUGUAUUUAAGGGUAUGAGAGUUCCAAUAUGCGAUAGCUGAGGAUGCAGAUUAAUUCCGCCCAGUGUUGCAGCACUUGCCGUGACAAUUGGAGUCCACUUGAUGAAACACAGUCAGCCCAUAAGGAGAGUUUGAUCAUUCAACUACCAUGUUCUCACUUGAAUCUUAGACACAUUUAGUUUAGUUUAUUUCAUCACGGUUUUGUUUAUUUUAUUCUCUCACAAUCAUUAAUUACGAUAGAACACAUUUUACGUUUGUUAACUUCGGAUUUGAAUUAGUUUGCACUAUUGUGAUUGCUACAACAUUUCUGGUAACAUCAAUCCCUGUGGAGACGAUCUUGAAUACUCAGCACUUUAUUACUUGUUGUGUACACUUGCACAUUAACACCAAUAGCAUUUGAUUAUAAAAUCAACCAACAGUUCCCAAGCAGGCACAAGACAAUAAUGAAGUCAUUGAAGUAGAUAUGAUAGAAGCAUCAAUUGAUUAUUCAUUUAUUUCUAACCACUAUGCUAAUUCAUUAACACCAUGCACAACUGACUCUAAUUUAUCUUUUGAUGGUGAGAGUGGUAUUAAAGAAGUUAAUGCUUUACUUGAUUCAACUCUUAUCACAGAUCUAAUUAAGAGGAAAGAAAAUAUUAAGCUUAUAACACCCCAAAAUUUUCCAAGAAUUUUAAAAGAAAUUUGAAAUGUAAUCUCUAAACAAUUAAAAUUUAUUAAUAAUCCCAAAUGAAAAUCAAUAAUGUCCAAAGUCGAAACAUAGUCUCUAAAACAAUAAAUAUAACAAUAACCCUCCAAUAUCAAAUUCAGCUCUAAAAUAAUAACCAAAAUAACAACAAUUUAUCCAUCACGAAAAUGCCCAAAGCUUUCGGCUAAUAAAUCAUUUUCUCUAAAACCAAAAAGGCCACAUCUUUAAAAUCACUUUGCAAAAAUAUUGGAGACGAGAGGUGAGGCGUCAACUCAAUAAGCAAACACAUGCAUAAGGUUACUAAUAACGAUAAAGUACAUAAUAAUUAUUAUUAAGUGCCAUGAAUUUGAAAUCAAUAAUCAUUUUAUAUUCUAAUACAUACGUACAGUAAAAUUUAAAAUCAAUUAUAUCAUAACAUAAUGACCAUUUUCAAUAAAUAAUCAUUUAUUAAUAAAAUCUUUCAUUUGUUCAAUUUUGCUCAUGCCUCAUAGUGUCACCUGUACUCCCGGUGACCCAACCGGUAGUUCAAUCAGGGUAUUUUACCCCGCAAUAAUUGUCAAUGGUGUGCACAAUACAAUUAACUGUUCAGUCAUAUCAGUAGCAGAUACUACAGACAAUGAGCAAAAACCUUAAAGUAAUUUUCAAUCUUUCAAUAUUAACGUUCAAUAAUUGAUCAACAAAAUCUCUUAUAAGACAUUUAAUUGGCAAAGCUUUACAAAUUAUUUUAAGGAAAACAAUUUAUGGAACAGAAGUAUUUUAAAGCCAUUAUUUUAAAAACAAUUUAAGAAAAAUAUUUUAAAUAAACUUUAAACCAAAAUGUAAAUCAUUAUUAUAAACUAUAACAACAAACAAUAAUUCAAAAAUAUAAAUAUGCCAAUCCUUGUGAACAACAUUAUUCUUUUCAUACAUAAAUUCGUACACACACACACAUAUAUAUAUAUAUAAUAUUUUGAUGAUAGGUUUUACAAAUCCAAUCCGAAGCUUUUUGUGAAAGCUUUGAUUGAGAAACAAUAAUUUGAGAAGAAGAGCUUUCACAAGAAAUGAUACCAGUACUUUAUUAGAGCCAUGGGGAGGAUAGUGUAAUAUAGGAUAUAAUUUCUAUCCUAUAUUAAAUGACCUUGGACAUUUGUUUAAACCAGUACUUCUAAGAUCGUGGAGUGUGUGUGUGUAUUCAAAAGAUUAAAUAUUUUAAAGACAAAAUAAUAAUCAAUAUUAAAUUGGUACGUGGCGUUGUUUUACCAGAUCAAUGCAGAACUUAAUCUGCCUUAGGGACCAGAUCUGACUUAGAACAGAUCAAUAUCCCGCAUGUUCAGGUUUCCAGUCGAUAUACCAAAAAUUUUAAAAAUUCUUUAUGCAAUUAACGCAAAGGCUCAUGGAUAAUACUAGAUCUGGAUCCCAGAAAUAGUAUUCUGAUUGAAUGGAGGGAGAAGAGAAAAUACGACUAAGGGAAGAGAUCAGGUCUCUGUGCCUUAGAAGAACGUAACAGUUUAAAUAUGCAUAAACUUAAAUUGCAAAAUUAAACAUACAUUUAAAGCUUGAAAUGAAUUAUAAAUUCUUUAAAGAAAUAUUAAAUACUUACAUGAUUUUCUUGAAUCCAAAAUAAGUUACAACUUUUUUAGAAAGGAAAAUUACAAGACAGGAAAUGUUUCCUCUAAGUCUUGAUCCAGAUUUCCCGAAGAGAGAGAGAGAGCUUUCAAAGCCUGCCUCGAUCUACUUUCUGUCCUUCUUUUAAGGGUGCAAGAAGGAAGGCUUUUUGCUGUAGCUUCACAUGCGUUGGAGGAUAAAGGAGUCAGCAAUAGUAAAAGCAGGAUGUGCUUUUGAAAUGUGGGAGCCAGCAUUAUUGAAGGCAUCUUUUGCUUUUGAAGACUUUAGGAAAGCUUCACGUGGAGAGAUGCUCUACGAGGCAAUAGUGUAUACCUUUUGAAAACAUGGCACAUGUGCGGCCACACUUGUGUCUCGAAAGACGUUUUCAAAAGAUAUUCUUACCAAAAUCUUUAUAGGAUGCUUUUGACUUCUUUCUGGACGCAGCAAUGAAGGCUUUAAAAGAUUGGAAAAAUACAAAAAGUACAAGCGAUAAUAAAAAUUACAGAAAUGGGAAAUAUAAGGGAUAAUUACAGAAAUAGAAUUACAGAGAAAAUACAGGAAUGGGAAAUUACCUUUUUUUUUUUUCAAUCAACAAGUUUUAAGUAUGCUUUAAUGGAGAAAGUAUUCCGAAGCAAUCAUCUUCAUUUUCAUCUCCAAGGGAGAUGAAAGGCUUAGCAUCAUCAGAAGAACUUGAACUAGCAAUGGAUGAUUCUGAUCUUGAUGCAAGGAGCUACUGCAUAACUUGAAAGUAUUCUUCCUCCGUUUUUGUACUGGCCAAAAGUGAUUGGGCCUUUGUCCUUUGAGCGAGGAAAGUGCUUUGGGCUUUAACAUCUUGAAUGCUCGGGGUGAGAAGGCCUUUUGAGGAAAGCCAAGCCUGGAUUGUGGCUUCCGAUAGUUUGGAUUGUUCAUCAAACUUAGACCACCAUUUUACUUUAAAGGUCCUUUGUAGAAUGAGUUGGGUAUCUUGAGUGUGGUAAAUGAAGUUCCACAUCCAGACCCAAGGAAGAAAGAAAUUUGUACAGAAACAGAGAAAAUGAGGAAAUCCCUUCUCUGACUCAGAAGGGACAUAAUGAGCUUUAAAAAGAUUUAAACAAUUUAUGGCAUUUGGGGUUAGAAUGUCUGGGCUUGGCCCAAAGUAGUUCCACCAUUAUUGGAACCAAUUUGGAAGGCUUUGUACGGUUAUUUUCGAGUUGAAGAAAAAUAACCAAGAAUAGGUCUUUUUGGGGUUUUGAAUGAAAAAUGUGUUAAACCAGGCCUAUUGGUAAUCCCAGUAAGAAAAUGAUAAACAGUGGUUUAGACGCAUUUGAAAAUUGGCGGGAAAGGUUUUGGGUUUGUGAAGUUGGUCACCCCACUGUUUUGGGCUCAAGACUUUUAAAAUGGUAGCUGUGGAAUGCUUUUAACAGACUCAGUGAACUCAAGAAUGCUUUGAUAGAAAGCCUGAGGUUUUGAUAAAUCCCAUAGUUUGAAAAACCAGCCUUUCGGGAAAAUCUUUGAAACUGCUUGAAACGGAUCAGAGUGAUAAAACCCAUCUUCCAUUGAUAAAAUAUUUUGAUGAUAGGUUUUACAAAUCCAAUCCGAAGCUUUUUGUGAAAGCUUUGAUUGAGAAACAAUAAUUUGAGAAGAAGAGCUUUCACAAGAAAUGACUUCUUUAGAAUAAGAAUGUUUUGAAAUUGCUUUAGAAAUAGUUUUUUCUUUCUCAGGAACUUGAGAAAGAGCUUUAUUUUGGGAAAUAUUUUGUAAAGCUAACAUAAGCUCAGGAGACUUUGUAAUGGAGUUCAUCCAUUAUUUUACCUGCUUAUCGGAGGCAAUGGCUUUAGACUGUGCUUCUUGUUCUUCGACCAUGUCAAUCCAAGAUUUAAUAGGCAUGGCAGAAGAAAGUAAUUUUUCUUUAGGAGGGGUUAUCUGAGUUUCUUUAGAGGUUGUUUGAGGUUCAUGGUCUUUAAGGAUACCCUUGCCCUUGUCUCUUCGUUUGGGCGGCAUUAUCUGUUUUGAAGAAAUUCCCUGGUUAGAAAAUCAGGGAUAGAAUUUGUAUCUCCUUUAAUGAAUUCAAUGUCAAAAUCAAAAACACUUAAAAUGGCUUGCCAUCGUGCAAAAAUCUGUUUUGAUGCAAUAUUUUGAACAUCAUUUUCUAAAACGUGUUUUGCAGCUUUGCAGUCAAUUCUAAGUAAGAAUUUUUUAUUUAACAAAUCACUUUGAAAUUUAGAAAUGCAUAAAACAAUAGAAAGAAUUUCCUUUUUAAUAGUAGAGUAGUUUCUUUGACAUUCAUUCCAAUGAGCAGAAACAUAUUGUACUAUUUGUUCUUUAUUAAUUUCUUUUUGCUUUAAUAUUCCUCCAUAUCCUAAAUCAGAUGCAUCAGUUUCAACAAUCUUAGGUAAUGUAGGAUUAGCAAGAAAUAAGCAUGGAAUAUCUUUAACAUAACUUUUUAUGAGCUUAACAACUUUAGUGUGUUCAUUAGUCCACGCAACAGGAUUUUUCUUUAAUCUAUCAUGCAAAGGUUUUGAAAUUCUAUUAAUAUUAGGACAAAAAUCAAGAACAUAAUUUAAACUUCCUAAAAAUCUUUGCAAUUGGGUUUUAUCAAGGAUUUUAUCAGGAAAUUUGUCAGCAAAAAUAAGAGAUCGCUCAAUAGGUGUAAUGGUUCCUUUGGAAAUGUAAUGACCAAUGAACCUUAUUCUUGUUUGAAACAAGGAAACUUUAGAACUAGAAAUGGCUAAACCAGUCUUUCUAGUGGCAAGGAAAAACGUCUUUAGAUGUUUGAAAUGUUGGUCGAUCGUUUGAGAAAAAACCAACACAUCAUCGACAUAAACAAUGCAAAAUUCAGACAAAGGAGUAUAAAUAUCAUUCAUAAUCUUUUGAAAUUUGGAAUGUGCAUUCUUUAAUCCAAAAGGCAUAACAGUCCAUUCAUACUGUCCAAAAGGAACAGUAAAUGCAGUUUUAUAACGGUCUUUUGGAUGGAUUUGAAUUUGCCAAAAUUCAGAUUUCAUAUCAAAUUUUGAAAAAAUGAAUGCAGCAUGUAGUUUCUGGAGCAAAUCCUUUUUAUUAGGUAUGGGAUACCUAAUCCAUUUUAAUGUUUUAUUAAGGGGUAAUUUAUGACUAGUCUGGGUGUCCCUCUUUCUAUCUCAGAAUUCUUAUUGACAUAGAAAGCAGCACAAGACCAAGGAGACCAAGACUUGACUAUGAGACAUUUAGAUUCUAAAUCUUUUAUCUCAUCUUUGCAAUGUUGCUCUAAUUCUAUGUUCAUUUGGAUUGGACGGGCUUUGGUAAGUAUUUACUUUUCAUCAAAAGAAUUUUCAUAAGGUAAAUCAACCAAAUGUUGUUUUAUGUUCCAAAAAGCAUAUGGUAGAUCAGCACAUAUUUCUUUUUCAAUGAGGUCUUUAAGAUCAGAGAUUUUUCUUUUUACAAAUUCAUUUUGUAAUUAGUUUUCGAUUCUUUGUAAACUCAAAUCCUUUUUUAAAUAAAUCAGAUCAUUUUGUUUUGUUUUGAGGAGUGUAUUGAUUUGGUUCUGGUAAACAGAACAAGCUUUAACAAUAUUCAAAUUUCUUGUUUUAGGUUUCUCAAUAAAAGGAAAAACAAGUCUUUUGGUCUUUACUUUAAAGCAUAUACUAUCAUAGUUGACAGUAUAAGGAGUAAUGAGAUUGAUAAAGAGGGUUCCUAAAAUGACAAUAUGGUGUAUGUCAUUUGUAAGAAUAAAAGAAGUCCUGAAUUCAAAACCAUUGUUAUGAAUAGAGGCGUCAACUUUAGAAUUGACAUUAAGUUUUGAAUUAUUAGCGGCAGAAAGUCUCUCAUUUUUUUUUUCAUGAAACCUUCUGGGGACAAUAUCUUCUUUAAUGCAAUUUAAAUCAGCACCAGUAUCAAAGAGGGCAAUGAUGUCAAUUUCAAAAUCUUUAGAAAAGAUCAAGGUGAUUUUGAUCAAAUAUUUUCUUGUGGUGAUUUGUUUUAAUACGAAAAGAAAAUCAUUGGGUAUAAAUUCAAUGUUUUCUAAACUUUGUUCUCCAUUAUCACCAUUAUCUUCUUAUUCUUUAUCAGAAUUAUCUUGUAAUUGUCUUUGUAAGAGGAGUUGGAUAGUAUCAGAAUCAUUUUUUUUUGUUUUUCUUUUAAGUCUUUUAUCUCGAGUUUGAUAUUUUUUAUUUCUUUCUGAAGAUCUCGGAUAUUAGGAGUCGUUUUUUUCUUUGUUUUCUUUUUAUCCAAAAUUUCAGUAAGAUCAUAUGUAUUCUUUUUAAUUAUUGGGGCUUUAGAAAUUUCUGUUUUAUUUCCUACUUCUAAGGUUUUUAGAAGUUUAUCAAGGUAUUCUCUUUGAAGAGUAGGGUCAGAAAUGUGUUUGACUAAUUCAAGAAAAGUUUCUUGAUCUUUAGUGAAUACAUUGAUUUUCUUUAGACGAUAUUCUAUGUCAGAAUCACUACUACUAGAUUCUGAAGUAUCAGAAUCCACCAACUCGUCAAUUUGUAGGGGUCAUUGUCUCCUGUCAUGGAAGACUCAGAGUCAGAAGACUCUACAAGUAAAGGGGCAACUUUAGAAAGUAUUUCUUCGUCAAGGCCAAGCUCAUGGAGCUUUUUGUUCAUCCUGCAAAAUUUUGCAGUAUGGCAUUUCUUUCCACAUUUGUAACAUGUGGCUUCUUUGUAGUUAAAAGGGGUUUUAUGUUUGGGUCUAAAAUUCUUCUUCUUAGAGAAGUUGGGCUUCUUAUAAGGCCUUGAAGGUUUCUUAUAAGAAAGUUCUCUAAAAUCUUGAAAGGGUUUUUUAUGGCUUUUUUAUUUGUAAUGUUUCUUAUAAGGUUUUGAAGAACAUUCACCAUUACAAUCUUUAGAGGUGGAAGUUUUAAAGGGAUUAUAAUUGAAUUGCUUACAUAAACUGUCUAAUUCUUGUUUAGAUUUUCUAAGCUCCCAUUUUAGACGUUUCUAAAGUUUCAAGUCUUGACAAAUCUUUAAACAUUCUUUAUUAACAAAACUAACUAAUUCACCGUAUGUGAGUUCGUUAUAAAGAAUACGGUUGUCAUUCAAGGCUUUAGUAGAGUUCCUAACUUUUUCUCCUAAGAGGGUUGGUAAACCUGCAAGGAAUUUUUAUUUCCAAGUGAUAUGGUUUGCAUCAUCUCUUAGGAAGAAUCUAGUAAAGAAAGUGGUUUUAUAGCUUUGGAAUUCACUAAGUUUCCUACAUCUCAGGUUGUGUAGUAACUCAGCAUUUUUGUCUCUAAGGUGUGAAGGAUCACUUAUGAAAUGAAGGGAUACAGUCAGAAUUAGGGUAGCAACAGCAUCCUGAAUAUGGUCAUUUAAUUCGUCACAGAUGGGGGCUCCAUUUUCAUCUGUUUGAAUUGAAUUUAGGAUAUCUGAUUGUUGUUGUUUAGUGAGAAGAUGAUCCCACCAACCUUUAAGUUGACCAGUAAAACCCGCAAUGAGAAUUUCUGCAAUAGCCUUGUCAGAAGUUCCCGACUGAGUUUUAUAUGCAUUAGCUGCCAUAGUCAUAUGUUGCAAUAAUCCUAGAAUGUUGUAUUCAGACAUACCAUCAAUGUUCCACUCAUAGACAGAGGAUGCAUUAAAGCGUGAUUGGUUUAAUGCACUAGGUCCGUUGUCUAUGGCUAAGUCAGGUGGAGAUUUGACAGUAGGUAGGGCUAAUUCCCAAUGAAUUUUGUUGGCUUUAGAAACAGGUUCUUCUUUAAAGGCUUCUAUAUCAGAAGAGGCUAUAGAUAUGUCGUCUUGUUCUAGUACACCAAUUUUACUAGAUUGGGCACUAUCAGGGGCUAUUUGGAUUUUACUAGACGAAGAAGAAGAAGCUUCUAUUUUAUUUAGUUAUUCUCUAAUAGCUUUAGCAAAAUCUGAUUUUGACUCUUGAACAAGCUUUUGACUAGUUUUCGAAACCUGAAAGGGUUUGAAAAUAGGCUCUUUAAGCUUUUUGUCAGAAUCCGAUUUUGAAGUAAUAGGAGAAACAGUUAUGGUAGACUUCUGGAAUUGGUUUUCUAUCCUAGUCAACUGUUUUCCUAAUGUGUUUAGGUUAGCAUUACAAAAAUUAUUCUGUUGAAUAAUGCUGCCUAAAUUUGUCUCUGAAUCAUUUGGUUUAUGGAUUUUGUAGGGUGAGGCUUUAAUCUCAACAGGAGGCACACCAUGUUCAAUGGUCAAACUCCUAAGAGGUGGAUGUUCAGAUUCUAUGGUUCUAUCAUUAUCAAUAAGAUUCCAUUCAGGAAUCUUUUUCCUAAUAAUAAUAGGAUUUGAUUCUUUAAAAGGAAAAUCAAUGUUAUUAUCAGAGGCAUACAUUUUAAACCAGCUAAAGAAUAAAAUAUGAACUUUAUGCAGAUUUAUAAAUUCAUAAUAAAUUUCUUGUAUUUGUUUUCUUUGGCUUAAGAAAUUUUUGAAGAACCAAAGUCUUUUUUCUUUAUUGCAAUCAGAAUAAAAGUCAUUAUGUAGAAGAGUUUUAUCUAAUUCAAAAUCUUUUUCAAGAACAUUUAUUACAUUUUCAGUGACAGCGGAAAAUGUAGGAGAGGUUGGAGGAGAAGGUUCCUUCUCUUCCUGUCUUUGUUCAUGUUGACUGCUAGUGUAGAUUGGGUGAGGAACACUAGUGGUAUAGUCAACAGAGUGGAUAGAGGAACUAGGUAUAUCCGAUGUGGAAAACCUAGGUUGGUUUCUUACUGGUUGGAAAGGGAGGUUUAUAACGGAAGGAAUUUUUGAAAAUCUUCUUUCUAAUGAAGGAAUAUUCGUACUUGAGUCUUUAUCAGAGAACCUAGAAGAUGUAGAUCUCCUAAAGGACAGUUUAACCUUCCCAUCUGAAUACUGAGUCAUAUUUUGCAACUCUGUAUUAGGCUCAAGUUGUUUUGGAAUCACUGGUGCAGUGGCUCCUUCAAGAAUCCAUUCGUCUGGAAGAUUGACAUCUUUCCAUUGGAUUGGUUUUGGAAUAACGGUGUUGGCUUUAGAUAUAUCAGUCUGUAAGAGAAGAGUCUCAUCUCUUUUUGACUGAAACUUAUGUUCCAUACUAAACGCAGAAAUCAUGGCUUUGUAUGAGAUUUUAAAAAUUAAGGCUACUGGGACUGAUCCCUCGAUCAUGUAAUAAUUAUGGGUCUUGAUUUGCAAGAUCAUGCUUUUCAUAAUGUUUUUGUCUUUUAGAGAAAUUGUUAUGUUCGGGUAACAGCUAAAUGAGAUGGGACCUUUGCAAAGACUUGAUUCUAUACUACUUAGCAAAGAAUCAUCAAAAGAGAUGAAUCUCCCAUCUCUUAAGACAGCAAGAAUAGAUGUAUUAAGACCUUCUUUUGUUAAGGGCUUUAUACCAACUUGUAUUAAGCCGAUGUGAACAUAAUUAAAAUUUUUAUCUUUUAAUUUCUUUAAGGAGUGUUCUGAAAAUAGGUGAAUAGUUUCAAAUGGCUUUGAAAGGUUAUGUCACGUUCUUCAGUUUUUAUGACAUAAUCAUUCUUUAGAAAAUCAAGCUUUUUUGUUUUGUAAAUCAUUUCUUUAGAAAUCUUUGGUAAUUCCCAAUUAUCAAUUGCUUUAUUAAAGUCUUCAAUUACAAAUUCUUCUGAAUUAACAACAUUCUUAGAAUCACUAGUUUUCCCGGAAGAAGAGCUAGAAAAGGAUGAUGCUCUACAGAGUAGAGAAUCCAUGGAUAAAACCUAUAUUCUAGUUUUAGUCCUGUAGGUAUGGCUACAAUCCAAGGCUAAGAAUUGGUUUUACUGCCCUUCAACCAAAUCGGGACUUACGACCAAAUGCUACCAAGGCACCCAGAGGUAAACACUCACCACACAAACAAUGUUCAAUAAGAACACAAGUCUUUAAACACAGAAAUUCUAUCCUAUAUUACACUAUCCUCCCCAUGGCUCUGAUACCAGUACUUCAAAGGAAGAAAGAAAUUUAUGGGGUUUGUAAGGGGUUUGUAAUUUAUGACUAGUCUGGGUGUCCCUCUUUCUAUCUCAGAAUUCUUAUUGACAUAGAAAGCAGCAUAAGACCAAGGAGACUUAGACUUGACUAUGAGACCUUUAGAUUCUAAAUCUUUUAUCUCAUCUUUGCAAUGUUGCUCUAAUUCCAUGUUCAUUUGGAUUGGACGGGCUUUGGUAAGUAUUUGCUUUUCAUAAAAAGAAUUUUCAUAAGGCAAAUCAACUAAAUGUUGUUUUCUGUUCCAAAAAGCAGAUGGUAUAUCCGCACAUAUUUCUUUUUCAAUGAGGUCUUUAAGAUCAGAGAUUUUUCUUUUUACAAAUUCAUUUUGUAAUUGGUUUUCGAUUUUUUGUAAACUCAAAUCAUUUUUUAAACAAAUCAGAUCAUUUUGUUUUGUUUUGAGGAGUGUAUUGAUUUGGUUCUGGUAAACAGAACAAGCUUUAACAAUAUUCAAAUUUCUUGUUUUAGGUUUCUCAAUAAAAGGAAAAACAAGUCUUUUGGUCUUUGCUUUAAAGGAUAUACUAUCAUAGUUGACAGUAUAAGGAGUAAUGAGAUUGAUAAAGGGGUAUAUAUAUAUAUAUAUAUAUAUAUAUAUAUAUAUCCGAAGCAACCAAUAAAAACCCUCAAUACACAAGCUCACUCUUGGCUUAUAAUUUUGAAGAUGAGAUUUUUAUCAAUAUCAUAUUCAAGUAUGACCUUCAUAAGAUAUGCAACAUCCCCUUCAUAAACCAUUAACUCUAACCUAAACAAAUCAAUUCCCCAAACUACCCUCGACCAUCUUAUAGGAGCUGAUUUCUAACCAGCUAUAACUAUUGUCGGAAAAUCACAAUUAUUAAAAGUUACCGUAAACAUGUUGGCAUUCAAUAUAAAUGUUAACAAAAUUAAUUAGAGUUCAUAAACAUUUCCGAAAAACUAAUUUUCCACAAAAACAUUAAAACUGUCUAGUGACAAAAUAAACAAAGGACUAUUGGUUUAAAAAUUCAUAAUUUUAGUGAUAUGUGUUCAAAAAUAGUGAUUCAAGUUUUGAUCAUCAGAGGAGACAAUAUAGAGCUAAUGAAAAAGUAAUUAAAAUUAGCUUCAAUAUCACCAGCUUGAAAUUCUGGAAAGCCGCUUCCAAGAUUGCGGCAACCCAGCUCUAUGAUUUUUAAUGAUUUUCAUAUAAAUCCAAAACUUACGAUAUUAAAUACAAAAAAAAAAAAUAGACGUGGAUAUAUAGUAAUAAAAUUUUCUAGAAAUUUUCGGAAGUCAUUUGGAUUACAAAAUAAAUUAUAGAAUUGAGGAUUGCUGUCGAAAAUUGAAAUUUUUCGGUACUAGUAUUCCAAAUUUGAAAAAUCAAAACAAUUAAUAUGCAAUGAAUUUUUGGACAAUAAAUAUAUGGAUACAAAAAUAAAGAUGUCUAGUUUAAUAGGAUAUGAAGUUUUAUGCAUGAGAUUUAACGACAACAUCAACUAUAUAACAUUGAAUCUGCACUGUUUACAGUUUUCAGGAUAAUGUAAACAAAACCAUUCAAAUAAUGACAUAGAAUCACACAUACAAUAGAAAUUCAAAAGAUUAUAAAUACUUACCUCUCUAAGAAGAAUUUCACUCCAGACUACACCUUUGAGACUUAAAGCUUUUGUUCAAACACUUCUUGAAAAUUGUUUUAAUGCAAAUGAGAUACAACAUCAAGACACACACGCAAGCCACACACAAAGAAAAUAAAAAUACAAUCAAACUCAAUCAUUUAGCAUAAUUACUCUAGCCCAGUGUCUCCACUUUCCAAACAUUAAUCAUUCAACAUAAUCAUUACUCCACUCCACCAAUUUCUCCACUUACCAAACAUUAAUCAUUCAAUUUAAUUACUAACAUAAAAUAAUGUAUUCUAUUUAAAAAAAAUAAAAAUCCAAAAGACACUUUAAUCAUUCACUUGUAUAUAAUAAGUAUAAAAUACUACAUUAUGAAAUACAUACAUGAAAGAAAUAGAAGAAAUUUUAGGGUUUACAAAGCCACAUCCUCCUGAAGAGAAAAUUAAACCAUUCAAGUUGGAGCCACUUCCUAAAGAAUCACAUUCUGACAUGAAAAAGGUGGUAAGAUCUAAAGUGCUUAAAUUGUUAGAUUUUUAUAUUACUUCAGAUAACUCUUAGGUAAGCUUGAAACAGAAGAGAUCAAAGCAGUGUGAUAUUGAGGAGUUUCAUUACCAUCAUCCUUUUAUAGAUAAAAAGCUCCAGUGCUUAGUCAAUUAUGUUUUCUGGUAUUUUCUGUAUAAUUGCUUUGAUUUUCACCAAAUUCUUAUUGAUUCUAGUUGAUUUGUUAUUUACAUUAAUUAUUUAGUUUAGUACGAUUUUAUUUAUUUUAUUUUUUUAUUAUUUAUAUUUAUUCGAACGUUUUUUUUUUUAGUUGUCAUUUUCUUUUAAGCUUCCCCAACCCAUUCAGGUGUGUUCUCUCCAACUUUUUCUUUUAUUAUUUAUGUUUUUAUUUUAUUUUUUCAUCUUUUUGCAUACAUAUCUUUUAUUUAUGAAACAUUGAGGACAAUGUUCCGAAUAAGUUUGGGGAUGGGAAUGGUGUGUGCUUUGUUUGUUAUUUAAAAAAAUCAAAAAAAAAAUCAAAUUUUUUUUUUUUUUUUGUGAAAAGUCAAUGAUAAGAACUUGAUUGACAAGGAAUAUGGUUCUUAGAAAGGGUUGAAUAUUGUCUUAGUUUAUACUUGGUUCUUGUGUUAAUUGCUAUUGAUUGAGAUUCUUUAAACAGCAUGAGUACUAAUAUCAAUUCUUUCAUAAUUUUGACUUGAAAUCUGAGAUUGACGCAGCCUGAAUUGAGAAUUUUAGAUAGAGUAAAUGAUUGUUUUCUUGAUUCUUAUCUCCACAAUACAAAAUAGUAUACACAGGCACCAAAUUCAAAAAUAAUUAUCUAUAACCCUUAAGAGUGAAACUAUCUUUAAGUAAUUUGGGCUUACAUACCACCAGUAUAUAGAGGAUAAUCUACCGUAAGAAGAAGGCUACCUUAAGGGGUAGAGUGAACGUUUCUGACUUUGGUUUAAAAAAACAAAAGAGAAAAAAAUCAAGUCCAUGUGCUAAAAAAAAACAAAAUAAAAUGCGUAUAAAAGCCUAUAAAAAAAGAAAAAAAUUGGAGAUCAAGAUGAUAAGAUUAGUUUGACCUACUUUUUUCUGUAUUAGAGGCGAAGGCUAUUGAUAUUGAAGAUUUUGGGAAUUGAUUUGAUUGAAUUGAUUUCACACACACACACACACACUACAAGAAUCGAAAGAGAACUGUUGAAUUAAAGUUAGAAAUUUGCCAAUAUUUGAAAAUUUCUUUGAGCUAUAUAACUUAUGCAACCAUUAAGGCUAUUUUUAUGUUUUAUUUAAAGUUAUUUUAUUUUAUGUUUUUUUAUUUUAAAUGAUGCUUGUGGAUCGUUGGUAUGAAUUCAAAUGCUAUUAGUGUCAAUGUGCAAGUGUACACAACAAGUAAUAAAGUGAUGAGUAUUCAAAAUCGUCUCCACAGGGAUUGAUGUUAUCAGACUUACUACAGUAAUUUUAACAGUGCAGAUUUUGUUCUAAAUUAAAAUAAAACAAUUAAUGAAACUAAUAUACUAAUUAAAAUAAAAACGCAAUAAAUAAAAUGCAACAAAGUAAAUUAUCAGUCAAACUCAAGGAUAAAACCAAUGGGAAUAUAGAGUGGUUGAGUGAAUAAACUCUCCUAAUGGCCUUGAGUAUUUUCUACUGGUUGGCUCGGUUACUGCAGUAUCUGCUACAGCACUGGGCAGAAUCCUUAUGCAUCUUCAGCCGUCCCAUGUUGGAUAUCUUAUAUCUAUAUGCAACCUAACGGUGAUCAAUUGUUAUGCAAACAUAAGAUAUAGCAUUACACGCUUAGGUUCUAUUUACCCUACAAGGUGAAUUCAUAUGUCUAAUUCAUCACUAAUCUUAAAUCAAGUAUGGCCCUUUUGGGACUCAAGUAAAACUCAAUCCAGAAAACCCAAUUUAAGAUCAAGUAUUGUUUUGAUAUGUUCCACUAAGAUAGACUCUUUUGUGGCUCUUCCUUAGCUAGUAUCAUUAAAUGGGUGAUCAGUUGAAAUAAUGAAUAAAAAUAAAUUCUAUCAAAACAAAAUGCUACAGCAAAUAUGCAGCAACACAUAUUUUCAGUCAAUAAACCAUCAAGAUUGUUUAUCACUCAACUACAAAUAAAUUUAGUUCAUAAUUUGUAAAAGAAAAAUAAAGAGCAAAGUUUCAGCCAUAAAACACAUCCCCGUGAAUAAAUAGAAAACAAUAGAAGAAUAAGAAUGGCUGAGCUCCCAAUUGAUCUCUAUAAUUUCUCCUCUUGUGGAGCCCUUAAUCUCUCUCUUGAAUCUUGUUUUUCUUUUGUUUCUUUGUAGUUUUUCUCCUUGGGUUACGGCCCUCUUUAUUCCUUAUGAUGUGUGCUUCUUUUAUAGCUGAAAAUUAGAGUAAACGGAAGCCUAGGGCGCGCAUAAGUCAGAUUAGGAAACUGCAGAUCGCAAUUCUGCAAGUAUUCCGUGUGAAAUUUUCUCUAUCGUUGUUCCAAGAUUGCUACAGCAACGGCUACAAAAAAUGCAUUGUUCUAGAUUUGUUUCAAUUCUUUUGUAGUUAAGUUCUUUUCCAUCUUUUGCAAGCUUAUUACAUCAGCAUUCCUUCCUUGAAAUUUGGACUUCCGAACACCUACAUUUAUGCAUAUGAUUUAGCACACAAAUUAUUCUAAAUCAAACACAAUUUAUUACGAAUAAACUAAGAUGAAUGUUUAUGUAAAAUAUAAUAAAAAUGCAAUGAAAACACAUUAUUUACUCUCUAAGUAUUAUUGAUUUAAGUCUAAAAGUGUUAUGAUAACUCUUAUUUUAUAGAGUUAUCACACCCCCAAACUUAAACCAUUACUUGUCCUUAAGUAAUGACAACAACACUUCACAAUCAUGCAACAAUUAACUUAGCUCUAAUGUCAAAAUUGCAAGGAUUCGUCAACCCUCAGAUCACACUCUUAAUCACGCAAAAUAACCAUAGCAGUUCAAUUCUAGACUUAGGCUUCAUUCUGUCCAAAAUGUAUGUGUGCCACUUUGAUCAAAUUCCAGAGGUGCUACAACACUACAGAGACAUUGCAUAUAAUUUAGAGGUAGAACACAGAUGUAUUCACAUAUGGGGAAGCGGAAUUCACAAAUAAACUCAAAUUGUGCUACAACAAACACAAUUAUUUUUUUGGGAGCAAUUAGACAUAUUUGCAUGUGAAGUCAAGCCAAGGAAACUGAAUUCAACAGAUUAAUUCAUCCAUGCACAUGAAGACAAAGAAGAUUACGACCAUCACGUGAGAAGCAAUCACCAUUAUUGUUAGCAUGUGCAUGGCAUUAAAAAAGGAAUCCUACUGCAAUUCUAAGUGGUGAGCACGUGUGAGAGCAAAACAAAUUAAAAGGCCAAGCCUUUUGGCUUUAGAAUUGGAAUGGUCGGUGGCCCAUUUUGGAGAUUAUAAAAAGAAAGGUGAACUUUGGCUUUUAAUAGGGCAGCUGUGAAAGGAGAAAAAAGAGAGAAAUGUUACGCAUUCGGCAGAGAAGAAAAUAGUGGCGGCAGCUCUUUAAUUUUUCCAUGACUGGUUUUAUUUUAUUUGUUGCUCCCAAUUCAAGUAUGUCUAUCUAAUUUUCUUUUACUAAGGUUAAGGAUAAAACCCUAUCCAAUGAAAUAAUUAUAUUUUUAUUUAAUUAAUACCCUACAUGCGUGUUUUAUUGUUUAUGGUUCUUGUUUCAUAUGAUUAGUUAAAUGUUAUUAAAUCUUUUCAUCAAUUCUAUCAAGCAUUAUUGAUUGUUAGGAUUAAUAUUCGAUUAAUUUAUGUUUUGGUGUAUAAAGUUUUUAUAUGAUUAUCUUUAAUUUUAUAUCUUUCAUUAAAUUAUUUACACAGAGUGCUUAGGAAAAUUUUGACUCUUUGUUAUUCAAUAUGUUUACAUGAGAUGUUUAGAUAUCAUACUAUUAAGCAGAAAAAGAACAGACAUUAGAUUUAAUUACUUGGGUUUAAUUGUUAUAUCCAUGAGAUGACAUAGAUUGAUUUCGAGUUGUCACUUUAAAAUUAGGGAUUAAUUAACAAUUUGAUAAUUAUUAGUUGAAUAGUGGUGGAUUCUGAAACCUUAGUAAUUUUUGUCUUAUUGAAUUCUCCUUUAUUUUAAUUGUUUUCUUAGUUUAAUUAGUUUAAUUUAUCUUAAAACUCAAUUUGCUCAACUAGGUUAGAAUUAAUAUUAAUUUUAUAUUUAAAUUAGACAUUUCAAUUUAUAACAAUUCAUGUGGGUUCGAUCUCGUUACUACUGUUUUAUUUUUAGAUUUGUGUGCUUAUGAGUAUAUUAAAAUUUUUCAUAGCAUCAUGCAAGCAAACUUUUCACUUGCAUAUCAAAUUGCGAUGGUGGUGAGGAAAAUUUUUUUUUUUUACAUUUUAAGGAUAAUUUUAAAAAUAAAAUGAUUAAUUGAAUAACGGAAACUAAUGAGAUAAAUUGAAAGAUCAAAUAUCAUUUCAACAAAGGUAUUAUUAUUAUUGUCAUCAUUAUUUAUUUUUUAAAUCCAUACGGAGCUACAGCUCGAUGCACUGGUUCAAAUGUGCUCUACUUUAUUAUAUUCUUAGAACUUGAGUUAAACUUGAAAUUGUCACUCUCUUAGUAAAAUUUAAGAGAGUGGGUUCGAAUCUCAAGGAAUUCUAUAUUUCAUAUUUGUCACGAGUAAUAAAAAAAAAUCUCGAAAUUAUAAAUGGAGAAUAUGAGAAAUUUGAAAUUAGCUGCAAAAUGAUGUCAUCCAUCUAGGGAUGGCAAAACCCCGGGCUGGGUCCGGAUAUUGCAAUGACCGGACCCUGCCCGAAUGCAACCGGUCUGGGUUCAGGUCCGGGUUUUAAUCCAGGUACUUAAAUUUUAUAUUUUUUAAUAUCAUAUGUGUAUAUAUUUUAUAUUUUUUGGUAAUUUUAUAAGUUUUAAAUUUAUUUCAAUAAAAUUUGACAUGAAAAUAUAAAUUUUAAGUGUUUAAAAUUUUAUAUAUGUAUAAUAAAUGAGUCAAAUAAAUAUAAAUAUUUAAAAUAAUAAAUAUUUUAUAAUUUUUUUAAAAAAAUUUAGAUUCCAAAUUUAUCAAGUGAUGCCCAAAAUCAACCCGACUUCAUAUCCAAACUAAAAAAUACCCAACCUACAAUACUUAAAUACGAUCUAAGUCUGAACCAAACGGAUAUUUUUACCACCUCUACAUCCAUCCAAGAUAAGACGGUGAUCAUUAAGAUAACGAAUAGGUUCCUUUCAAGAUUACAGCUGGACAUGGGCUGAGAGAAAAUUUUUUUUUUUUUUUCUCUUUUUGAGCUUUGGAGAAUAACAGGAGGUGAUAAUUAAUUAAACAAACAAACACCACUCGACAAAAUUAUAAACGACAAGAAGAAUUAUUUCAUUCAAGUUUAUGUGGUGACGAUUCAAGAUAACAUCGGGGCACGAGGGGGACGGUCAACAGACAAAUUACCAUCACAAUAAACGUGUCAAAUAAAUGCAGGUGCGCCCCGAAGAGAGGAAGAAACUCCAAAUUAUUGGAUAAUCAUAGCAAAAUGGUAUUGCUUGCCUAGAUCAGAAGUAAUCUUGUAUCAUUUUUUAGCUUCCCCAAAUUCUGUUUCUGUACACUGUAAGUAUUUUUCAUCCUCAUUUUCUUGUUUCCACUUUCCAUUAUGCGUUAUAUCACCAUUUAUUUUCAUCUCGACAUUUGGUUUCAAUCAGAUCACCGGAGGAAAUAAAGAUGGGAAGAACACAGAUCAUCUCAAAGAGCACCGUCUGUGCAGCAAUUCACAAGGAACCAAACCUUAGAAUUUGAUACCAUUCAGAAAGGACUUCUCUUCCGCAAACCUCCAAAUGAUAACACCGAUACCAGCAGCGUAAACUUGAUCCACCACCUCAAGACCUCCCUUGCACGAACGCUAGACUACUUUCCCGCACUUGCCAGUCGCCUAGCCACCAUUGAGCAUCAUGAUGACAGCAACACAAUUUCUGUUUACAUAAAUUGCAACAAUGCCGGCGCAGAGUUUGUGCACGCCACGGCCGAUGGAGUCUCUGUU